AAAGCUACAGAUACAACCGCCGGAAACGCAACUCCUAAGUAAAACAAAAAUCUCCUACAUAACAUAGUUUUUCUACAAAUCAAGGAUGAAGACUGUCCAGGUGGUGCUCAUAUGCCUUGUCCUUUCGGUGCUCUGUUCAGGUAUUUUGCCGGUAUGUUUUUCUCCACCGCACUUGUAGGAAAUAUAUUUCGGCUUAUCCAUGCUCCUCCUCUCGAAACCCCGCAGGCAUCGCUGCUCGCUGUGCCCAGUACAACGUCUCCAAGGCAUGUCCAAGCAUAGCUUCAUGCACAGCACUAUGCACCUAUAAAUAUAAGGCGGACACGGUUUAUGGUGUAUGUGCUGAUAACGGAUGCUGGUGCGUAGUCUGCGUGAUACCACCUGCAGCUCAAUCUGCGUCUGCAGCCCAGAUUGCGCCCGCAGGGAAUUAAAGGAUAUCGCUUGCUUCCCUUUCUGCCUAAAUAGAAUAAAACAAUGUCUGAUUAAUGUAUUUUUCUCGUACCGACAACAUUGUAUCGGUGUAAGGACCCGUGAGGCAAAAUAACAUCCUAUUAAUAUUGAGCGCUCUUUGGCGAAAUGCAUGAUUAAUUAAUUGGACACUGUAGAGGAUGUAUAAAUAUCCUUUCAUUGCGAGUGGCCAUGAAAAUACGUUUGUGGAUUUUUUUUCUCUCCAUGUUGAGAACAUUACCAAACCAUCGGAAUCGGUCCUCCAUGCAAGUUGCAUCUGGAUGGGAGAUUCACAGCCAAGAUAGUGAAUAACCAGUUCCAUAAGCAACCUUGUUCUGAUCUCAUCAAAACUAUCAAACCCAUCACUUCACACCAUAAACCUGGCAAGCCGGUUCAAAUCUGGUCGAGAAGAAGCCCUUGGGGCCUUGGUGGUCGUCUGAAAGGCAACUUGAAUCACAAAGAGACUGUCCCUGACGGACCUGCAGGGUCUGCAGCGGCGAUCAUCAGCAUAGCGGAUCGAUCAUGAGAUGAAUGCUAAAGCGGCAAGCUAACAUUUGGCAAACGCUGGGUGAAGACAACUGAUGAAAAGUACCCACACGGAUAAUCCAUGCUAACCGAGGCCAGCAGCCGCAUGCAUGGCCAGCACGAGACCUUGGUGCACUAGUAGAAAAAGGCCCAUUUGUCCCGGUUCCAGAGGCCCUUCUGUCCCGGUUUUGGACCCGGGACUAAAGCCCAUGACCUUUAGUCCCGGUUCUCUUACGAACCGGGACAGAUGGGCCUCCAUGUGGCCUCUCCGCCGAGCCCAGGCAGGAGGGCCUUUGGUCCCAGUUCGUAACACCAACUGGGACCAAAAAGUGUCCACGUGUCAGCAGCUCAGGAGCUGGGGCUUUUGUUUUUUUGAAGGGGAGGAGGUUGGGGGUUUGGGAGUUGUUAAUUGGGCCAGACAGCCCAUCUAAGGAAGCCACACGAGACGGUCGACGGAGCCCAGUCGCGCGAGUGGAUCGAGCACCAAGAUCCCAACCGAGGCGAGCGAGGAGGAGCGCGAGAAUCGAACGCGACGCCCUUCAUCUGAGGUUGCAAGGGAAGCCGAUCCAGCCGACGAGGGAAUCCAGCGGACACGCCGGAUGCGGAUGAAGAAGAGGCCCGGUCGAUCCCUCUAUGAAGUGGGAAGGGGGACGCGGGCGAUGAUGUUGGGCAACCCAUCUGCUGGGAACUGAUCGCAAUCAUACUUCAGUUUCUAAGAUCGCAUUCAUGGCGAUUGUUGUGCCCAUCCUUUUCGCUGUCAUGUGGUACUUCUAUAUUGUUCCUCCCAUAACAAUCCUCGGUCACCCUCUCUACUCUGACAUCACAAGCAUCUUUCAGCAUCAUGCUCUGGUAUUACUUAUGCAUGAUUCCUCAAGAUUCGUCAUUGAGGUUUACAAUCGUUCAUUAUUAUACUUGUUCUUUCAGAUUCGUCAUUGUGCCCUACAUGAGUCUCUGUCAAAAUUUGCAUGUGUUAACUCUGUAUGUAUGUAUGCAAUUUGAUAUUUUAAAAUACUAACAUUUGUCCACUUUGUCCUAAAGUAGUUUUUGCUGCAUGGACGUGAGCAGAGCGAAGGUAUCCCAUUAUCAUGAUUCAGAGGACUCAUGUUAUUCUCUCUAUUGUCAAUGCAACCGACUCCGGUUUAUAUCUCUUCUUGGAAUAAAAAAAUGCAUAUAUGAACCUGACUUCUUAUGUAGCUAUGUUCAAUCAACACAUCAGAAUGUUUUUGUUGGGCUGCAGACAUCCCUGUUCUACGACAGGUGAUACAUAGGGAAUUAGGAUUUUAGAAAAUUUGCAUACAUAAAUCUUCGGACGUAAAACAUGUAAAUGUGGACAAGUAUGAAAGCAAUACAAAAGACAACAUUUUUAUUUUCAAGUUAUAAAGUGGAAUCCAUAGAUUACACAGGAAUGUUAUCUCCUAAAAGUGAAUAAUAACAAGACAUCCGUUCAUUCAAAUUGGUGAAUAUUUCUCAAGAUGGGUAAGAUUGACUUUCUCAGAUAGAGUGCAGUAUUGUGACGGUCUCUUUGACUACAUACAUGUUUGUCUCUCUGUUGUGAACUUGCAAGACCUGGAACAACCAGCCUAUUUGUUCAAAUUUCGAAAUCUUGGUGAUGUUGUUUUUCCCUCUUUGCGCAUACUUCUCCUAUUGUUUGGCGACAAACACUUCAUUGCUAAUCUGCCUUUCAAUGACUAUAUCCUUUUUGGCUGAUAGUCCUCUUAAACCUUUAAAUCAGUUUUUUUUAACUGGUGCUCAAUAUAAUGGAUUGUAAUGGUCAGCUGCUUAAUAUAAGAGCUUGGUAACUUGACUUUACGAAUUUAUCGUCCCUUUUUUGAAAUAUUUACUGUCAAUUCUGAGGUGGUGGGCGGCCUAGUGGAGGCUUAGGUAUGUUGAUGGUCCAUCUCCCUUGAUUCCAUUAUUUACAUCCUCUCGACCGCUAGCUCUCACUAGCUACCUGCAGGCACAUAUUUCGCCUAGCCACGCCACACAUGGUGCUCGAGAACUGAUGCUGCCGAGCAUAUCGUUGUGUACAUUCUACUCAUGGGUUAGAUUUUUUAGUUGAAUACAGUUUUGCAAACAGAUUAUUUAUGUAUGUUUCUUAGAAAACAUUGCUCCUUGAAUAAUACCCCAUGAUACUUAAACAAGCUCUAUGUCAUUUUUACUAGUUCAGUUUGGUGGUGGUUUAUAUUGAGGAUUUGAUCAUUGCUCAUGCAUGCUAAAAAAUUUAUCUAACAUGCAGUUUUGUUCAGGUACAUUUCAUUCUUUUGUACAUUGAAAACUAUUGUUGGUAUAUUUUAUAGCUAGACUGUGCACAUAAGUGUAGAGGCCAUUAGUUAUGUUGUUCAAGCUAUGUUGGUAUCUGUUUGAAGAUUAAUUCCAGUCGGAUAUGUUCCAUUGUCAUCUGACAUUUAAUAGUAAAAUAUACUAUUGAAAAUUAGUUAAAUAUACAUUGAAUAGUUCAAAUAAAGAAAUGUCAUGUCAGAUAAGUUAAGCUGACUACAUAUUUGUCAAUGGCUUUAUCAAAUGUAGGUUUCAAAUCAGAUGUCAUUCAGAACUCAUCCUUGAAUUACCUGUAUACUUGAUUAACUGGACUACAUCAUGGAGUUGUCGCCUUUGAAGUUUGAUGAAAUAAGGCCCAUGGUUGUUUGCUUUCCACUCUUAAAUUGCCUUUGGUUUGAAAGAAGGCCCAUGGUUGUUUGCUUUCCACUCUUAAAUUGCCUUUUUGACAGCAACAAAAAACUAUACUAAUAGGAGUUUUGAUUUCCCUUCUUCCUGUACUUUUUCUAUAUCACAAAGAAUUGUUCAUGCCUUAUUUGUCCAUUUCAUGUUGACAUUUCAACUUGACCAUUACAAGAACAUCAUGAUUUUCUUUAUGAUUAUUGCUGUUGUAGAGGUGUUAAAUAUAUAAAGUAUGAAAGGUGUAAUUUCAUGAGAGUACUUUGUAAUAUCAGCUUCCUUUGCCUGAUUGAUGUUGCUUUACAGUCUUAUUUGUCGGCAUUUUGUUCGGCGAGUUAAUGCUUUUUCCAUGCUGUGAGGUCGUAUAUGUUGCAGGCACAGAGCACCUAAGUUUUUCCCAUAGACACAAAAGCAAUGUUCCGGCUGUAGCAUUAAUUACACACACUAGUAUUUCCUAGGCUGCUAUAUAAAUAUGUACGAAAGGAUUGCUAUAUCAAAUACACGCUUAUGAUCAGUGCGUAUUAUCUUCCUUCACAAUGCUUACCCUGCUUACAGUAAUCUACAUGGGUCUGGUUCCUUUUAAUAUCAAUAUUUGUCAUCAGAUUCUGAUAUACAUUGUUUCAGUCCAAAUGAUACAGGGUGCACAUUUUCUACAUUUAAUUUCGACUAAGACUUUCUUUUCUUGGUGGUAUGAUCACUUAUCAGUAAUUUGAUGGUUAUCUAUAUAUGUUGAAUUUUCAUAGCAUUUUAACCUCCGAUAUCAAUAUAUUUUCAUAAUAUAAAUUGUUCAAUUUCAUUUCCAACGUAUUUUGCUCAUAUAUUUUUAUUAUUUCAUAAUAUGAAUGGUAUGACAAAUAUAUGAUUUAGUAUUUUGCAAAAAAAAUCUUGACUUGUGUAUUUUUCAAAAUUCCUUUCAUUCUUUUAAAAAUAGACGGGCGCGGCAAUGCGCGCCAUCCAUGAUCUAGUCAUAAGUGAUGUCCCGACCAGAUUCUUUCAACGUCAAUGAUUUUACUUUUUGGCAAGAUACUUUGGAGGUACGUAAAGCUAUAGAUCAGCGAUGGAUCAAAGUUGAGGUCAGGUAAAGAGGCGAUCUGUCCACUUCUUCUAGGGUGGCCGCUACGGUGGUGCCAGAUUUGAGUGACGGGCAUUGGUAUCUUGCUCAAGGGUUUCUUCAGCCGAGAUUGUAAUUUUCUUUCUCGACUAGCUAAGGGUAGUUUUUGCAAUAGCUAGGGUUGUCCUAUCUUUUUUUGGUUCUGUCAAGUUGGUGUUUAAGUGGAUCGUAAUUUGAUAUUUAUUUUAUAAAUGAGACACACAUGACAUCAAGUAAAAAAAAUCAAGGCUACAGAUCAACAUGACCUCGUGUAUCCCGCAUGANNNNNNNNNNNNNNNNNNNNNNNNNNNNNNNNNNNNNNNNNNNNNNNNNNNNNNNNNNNNNNNNNNNNNNNNNNNNNNNNNNNNNNNNNNNNNNNNNNNNNNNNNNNNNNNNNNNNNNNNNNNNNNNNNNNNNNNNNNNNNNNNNNNNNNNNNNNNNNNNNNNNNNNNNNNNNNNNNNNNNNNNNNNNNNNNNNNNNNNNNNNNNNNNNNNNNNNNNNNNNNNNNNNNNNNNNNNNNNNNNNNNNNNNNNNNNNNNNNNNNNNNNNNNNNNNNNNNNNNNNNNNNNNNNNNNNNNNNNNNNNNNNNNNNNNNNNNNNNNNNNNNNNNNNNNNNNNNNNNNNNNNNNNNNNNNNNNNNNNNNNNNNNNNNNNNNNNNNNNNNNNNNNNNNNNNNNNNNNNNNNNNNNNNNNNNNNNNNNNNNNNNNNNNNNNNNNNNNNNNNNNNNNNNNNNNNNNNNNNNNNNNNNNNNNNNNNNNCUUCGUCGCCAUGGAUGACUCCCUGCUAUCCCCCGUCACCGUCAAGGUCGCUGGCGCUCCUUCUCCUCGGGCGGAUCUCGUCGUCGGCCUUAUUGGCCCCGCCGUUGCCCAAGGUCAAGUCGCGCUUGCCCGCAAGCGGCAGGGCAACGUGGUCGUGCAGGGCGGCGCUCCGGCAGCCCCCGCUACGAGGGCCCGCGCUCCGGGCGCCAACGCUGCUGCGCGAUCUCGGACGGCAUCGGAGAAGGUCGCCAAGGUCGCCGGCGUCAAGAGGAAGGAGAUUCCGGCCACAAAGAAUCUGCCUCCUUCAUCCGCUCACUCUGGCCCGAAAAGAGGUGCCCUGGCGAUGCCGCUCAACGGUGCUGCUCCCCCCGCAAGCGAGGUGUUUGACGAAAUGGCCGGAAGGUAUGUGUCUUCGGUCAUGGCAAUUUUCUUUGCUUUUCGCCAUUUUGCGAUAGCUCGUGACUUGUUGUGCUUCACUAUAGCGGUGGUUCGAACAAUGCAACUGCUGAGUUCGUGAACUUGUUGGACACCAACGCCGUUGACAUUGAUCAAGUCCCGUUUGAAGCAUUCGACUACAAUGAAACGGAGGCUAGCAUGGACGAUCAUGGUUUUCAGGACGAUUUAGAGGAGAUCGAAGCGGAAGCAUAUGAGCAAUCGCAAACAAAAACUAGGAAAAGCCAGAGAUUGAAGAACUACACGAUCUUGGAAGAUCAAGUUCUCAUCAAUGCAUGGAGUGCGGUGUCUCUUGAUGCAUGCACGGGUACUUCUCAAGCCGCCAAGUGGUAUUGGCAAAGGCUCGAAGAUCAAUACUUCUGCAUGAUGGCAAAGUACCCCAAUAGGACUCCAUGCACAUUUCGGUCUCUUCAAGGUCGUUGGGAGAAUAUCAAGCCUAUGUGCAGCCGUUGUGGGUGGGGAGGAGUGCCUUAUAUGGAGAGGAAGGGGCUUGGGUGAGAGGUAGAUGGAUCUGAUCGAUCUGCGGCGGCAAGGCGCAGUGCAAAGCCGAGACGGGGUAGAGAUUGGUAGGGUUCCGUGGCGCGCGCGGCUGCGAGUGGUGGACGAUCGCGGCGGGAGGGAAGGGGGCGGGAGUCCGCUUGGGAGACGAUGGCGGCAGGUAGGGAUAGUUCAUCGAUGGAGUUUGUUAGACGGAAGGAGAGGGAGAGGAGACUCGCGCGCGGCUAAAACGGGAUUCACCUGCUGUUAAUUAAUUUGACAGCGCAGCGGCAGAGAGAGAGAGAGAUAGAAAGAGAGAGACUGCCGCGCGGUUUAAACGGCCCGGGAUUCACUUGCUGUUAAUUUGACAGCACAGCGCCGCAGAGAGAGGGAGAUAGAUUCUACCAUACCCUCCAUACGGUUUAAACGGAAUCACUUUCUGUUAAUUUGACAGCGUGGCACUAGAGAGAGAGAGAGAGAGAGAGAGAGAUUAAGUCCCCAAGAGGAAUCGUUGGAACAUAUAUGCUGCAACAUGUAAAUCAAUGUUUCCAAUGACAAGAAGAAUAGAUAACAUGAAAAGUAUUUGGUGGCAUGAGCACAAUAUCUGCCACAGACCUUCGGACUCAUCGGGCAAUGUAACCCCAUGUGAUUGCAACAAACCGAAUGUAGGUGUUUAGAGCAUCUUCAACAGGCGAUCAAAAACUGCUCCGCGCGCUAAAACUUGGGUUUUUUGGGCGCCGGAUAGAGCAGAAACUGUAAAAUAGUGCACACGCAAAAAAAGGUUGGGCACGCGCGGAAAAAUGCUAUCGCAUGCUGUAAAUUUGAGGCGCCUGAUUGCCGCGCUUCACAAUUUACACUGCAUGCUUUUUUGGGCGCGAGUUUUUUCGCAUCUGGUAAAGCAAUGUUGGGUCCGGCACGCUAAAAGUGCUACAGUGGUGCGCUAAAACUAUUUUAGACGCGAAAGUUUUGUACAUCUGUUGGAGAUGCUCUUAUAUAUUGAAGAAAUCUACACCAAACCGUGUGAUCCCGACACUAGGCACCCCCCGGGCACCUUUUCCCCAUGGUCGGGCAACAUAUUUUUUAGAAAUGCAACGACGUUGCAUUUAAUUGAUGAAGAAGAAGAAACAUUUACAAUGCUAGAUUGAGCACACAAACCCACAACAACACACAAGAACGCAAACACGAGCACCAUAGCAACACCACGCCCUAGAAGAGAAGGAACUCAGCUUCAAAGAUCAUGAAGGCUUGAUGGGGCGAGGAAGGUGUAGCAAUUCCAUCAUCCUAACCAAGCAAGGCGCACACCUAGAGACUUAUUCAUCUGGUUGCCAUCCAACAACACCCCCAAAAGAGAGGGAGGGUGUCGUAUGGGAGCAAGCUAAUCGCAGAAGGAUCACACUAGCUAACCUGGCUUCAGACGCAAGCGCCAGACUUGCCAACAUGAAAUUGAGAACUUGGAUCACAUCUGCCCAACACCAACAACAUCGGCACCCUCCUACCACUGGUCCCUCCAACCGGUAGCACAAAAGAUGAUGCCCCAAGAGGAGCUCCGCACCGACAUCAUCAUAUCUAACCUCCUAGAGGGUCGGAGAGCCUUUGUCUACCCCGGCCACAACCGGAAUCGAGGACCUAGCCCAAUAUAGUGCCACCUCCUCUCGCCCGUGUCAAUAACGUUCAGACCGUGACCAUCAUCGCCUGCCCAAUACCUGCCAACCCCCGGCACCCAAUGACUGCCACAACCACCAUUAGAUCUGGGCCCCGGGGCCCAAACUCUCUUCUGCUUAUAAUUUUUAUUACUUCUGGUGUUCUCUACACAGUCAUUAUAUGACAAAUAAUGAAUAAAGUGGAAGUUUCUUCCAGAAAAACUCUCUUACAAGUGUAAUCUCUGCUGAUCAGUUCCCAUGGCGUAAUAUUACGUUAAGGUAGAGCAUAAUAGAAUAUGGGGUCGUUCGACUACUGUCAUGUUAUAUGAUCGAGUCAAUAAAUUGUUGCUUCUUGGACAAUAAACAAGAGUUUUAAACAAGAUGCAGAUGCACGUGUGGGCGUCCGCUCGUCACUCUGUUUGUGUGGUACAAUGGCUUAGUGUGUGUGUACAUCACAUGAGUGCAGAUUUCUGUAUGAUUUUAUUUAUAGCUGCUCAGACUGGACAUAUUUGACAUAACUUAUCAACAGAUUAAUCUAAUAGAGUGAAGUUUAUUUUUCCUCGCAAAAAAAUAUUUAUUUUAUUUUCUUGUGAAUAGAAAAACUGCACCUUUCCCAGGUGUUGAUUUACCAUUUGGCGUUGCCGUUUGUGCAUGCAUGCACUUCAACUUUUUGCAUGAGCUUUCUGUUAGGAUCUUUUUCGUUUCCGAUUAAAUUUUCUGCAACCACGCUUUGCUACUUUUUCGUUCCAAAAGAAAGCUGAUCAGACGAGUAUGUGAUGUGCAGUGUUCAUCCUUGUAAUCGUUAGAAGUGGAUGAACAAAGCGUGCAAUCAAGACACAUUUAUCCAACUUCAAGCACGUAUCGAUCAAACUAUUGCACAACUUUAGACCUAAUAAACCUUCUAAUGGUACCAAUCUACUAACAUUUACACACGUAUGAUGCCUAAUAGUGUUAAUACCACGAUCGUAGCACAUCAGAAUACUCUCUAUCAAUCUGCAUGCUUGCUGUAUCAUCGAUCACUGCUUCUCGUCGACGGGGGCUUCCUCCUCUUUCUUCGCCUCCUGCAUGAUGGUCACGCCGAAGAGCCUCAGGCAUCCCGCCGGCACCACCGGCACUUGCGGGGGCUGCACCGCCGGCACCACAACAGGCGCUUCCAUGGCAGGCGCCAGCCCGGGGAUCGCGACCCCGAUGACGUCCGGGGGUAAGAGGAGGCGCGCCCAUUUCCUCGGCACGAUGGGCUUGCCCGUGUAGUGCUUCCUCAUGUGCCCACCUAGCUGGACGCCGCUGGUGUACACUUCGCCGCAGACCUUGCAGGUGUGGAGCUUCUCCGGCCUAGGCCCGCCCGCUGCUAUGGGGUCGACCCCCGCUGCUAUGGCUGCAGCGGCGGCCGUUGCGAUCCUCCGGUUCUUGUGGCCGGCGACGUGUCCGCCCAGCCCCUGGUGCGUCUCGAACCACCGGUUGCACUCCUUGCACGAGAAUCCAUGCGGGGCGGCCGGGUCCUGGUGCAGUGGCCAGUGGAAGGCCAGCGGUGGGACGGCGGCAGCAUGCUGCUGUGCGGCGGCGGGGAGGGUGGAGAUAGACGGCGGCUGGCUCUGGUGCUGGUGCGACCGGCGGUGGGACGGGGUCUUGCCGAUGUGCAGAAGGCGUUGGGGCGAUGUUGACUUAAUUGGGUGCAGCGGCGGGUGCUGCUGCCUCUGACACCACGAUGGCCAUGGAAAGAUCAGCAGCACUCUGAGUGGGCUCCAUGCUGCUGGACCUCCUGCUGCUGCCGCUGCCGACGAGGACCUGAUCGCUGCUCGGCACCUCCACGGUCAUCGGGUCGUCCGGGGUCUUGGGCUCCUCGACGACAUAUGCUAUGGACGCGGACACGGAGUCAGCCACCUGGUCCACGGCGCUGACCGUGGCAGACGCCUUCGCCUCCUCCUUGGGCUGGGCCUGCGCGUGGACCCUCAUGUGGCCAUGGACGGCCUUGGAGCUGUGGAACUGCCUGUGGCAGACGGGGCAGGCCGGGAAUAACGCGGUGGCGGCAGCAGUAUCGCCGCCGGCGUGGCCGUCGUCUCUGAUGGUCUCGUCGGAGAGCGAGGACGACGGCGACGAGCGCCGGGUAGUCGAUCUUGAUCUUCUUGACCCGGCGCUGACCACGUCCUCCGGUACAGGGCCGGGGCCAGGGCGGGCGACCGUGACCAUCUGGUGCUGGCGGUGGUCGUUGAGGGGCAGUGGAUGGAGGAAGUAGCGCGCGUCCUCGUCGUCGGUGUCGGUGUCGGAGCCCGUGUAGUAGGCGGAGGCGACCUCGCCCUCCUCGAUGUCCCGGCGCCGGCGCGGUGGCUGGGCCGGGCGAUCAUCAUCCGCGGAGCCGGCCAUGGAAGGAAACCAGAUGGUAGAUCGAUCGACUGGCAGCGAGGAGAGAGAGCGAGAAGCUAGGGUUUUGGAAUCGCACGCUGCGCUCGAGAUUUUAGGGCUUGGCUUGUGUUGUGGCCUGUGUGGGGUCUGUGCUUCGCUUGUGGGUGGAGGGAGGUAGAGGGAAAGUGGGGUGCCUUAUAUGGAGAGUGACGGCUUGGGUGAGGGGUAGCUCCGUUGGGCGGCGGCAAGGCGCGGCGGGAGGCCGAGACGGGGUGGAGAAGUAGAGAUAGAGUUGGAGUCGGUAGGGUUUACGACAGCGGGGCUUCCGUCGCGCGCGCGGCUGCGAGCGGGGGAUCGCGGCGGGAAGGGGACGGGAGUCUGCUUCGGAGACGAUGGGUGGCGGGGCUGGGAUGGAUCCAGUUUGUUACGCGGUUUGAAGGGGAUUCACCUGCUGUUGAUUUUUUUUGACAGCGCAGCGUGGCAGAGAGAUAGAGGGAGACUUCCGCGCGGUUUAAACGGUUUGACAGUACUAGGGAGAGAGAGAGAGAGAGAGAGUACCGCGCGGUUUAAACGGGAUCACCUGCUGUUAAUUUAAGAGAGAGAGAGAGAGAGACUACCGUACCGUGCAGUUUAGACGUGAUCACCUUCUGUUAAUCUUUUUUUGCGGGUUAUUUUCUGUUAAUUUGACAGCGUGGCAGAGAGAGAGAGAGGAGUUAGCAGUUCUUUUUUUUUUCUUUGAGCGGGAGAAGAGAUAGCAGUUUCGUAUAUGGAAACGAAUCUUGGCCGGAUCUGAUCGAUAUUUCUUCGCCAACAAGAUAUAGUACACUAGUGGAGGCAAAGGAAAGUUAAUUAAACCGGUGAAGAGAUUAGAGACGGAGAGAGGAGUCUUUUUUUUUUAGAACGAGAGAGAGGAGUCUAGAUAUUCUUUUUUUUCCUGGCAUGAUAAAGCACAUACCAAAAACAUCGAAGCAGUCCAAACAAAUCAAUACAGUAGCAUUAUUUACUUCCUGUAAAUAAAUGUACUAACCAAUCUCCUAAUGAAGGCCCGAGAAGAAUCAUGCAUGGCAACAUAUAUGCUAAUUUUUUGUUGGUAGCUUACCAAGCUGACCACUUGUAAAAAUAUGCUGCAACAUGUAAAUCAAUGUUUCCAACAAUAAACAAAAUAAUUCCCGAAAAAUAUAACGUGAAGAAUAUUUUGCAGCAUGAGCACAAUAUUUGUAGCAGGCCUUUGGACUCAGUCGGGGCAUGUCACGUGUGUGUAUGCAGUGAAGCAAAUGUGGUUUUGUGACAUAUUGAAGGGAUGAAAGACAAAUCGCGGGAUCCCAACCGGGCCUAUCCACCCGCGGGUAACGUUUCCCCAAAGCCAACCAACAUGGAGGGGGGGGGGUCCCUUUUCAGUCCAACUCCAGCUACUCCAUUGAUCCACGACAUAACCUCGACAACCUUCAACCAAGGGCAGACCAAGGGCGGAUGAAAAACAUAGGAUGGUGGGAGGGGAGUUGUGAGAGGAUAACUGUUUAAGAUAGAUUCACAAAAUCCUCGCUCUAAGAUUAAGGAUAAUGCAUUAUAUAUGUGUUCUACGGAGUUGUAAAUAUAUGAUCCAUUUUUCACCGCUUUAUGACAAAUAAUUGUGUUCAUCGACGUACUGGUCUAUAUUUGCAGGCAUAUCGGGUCAGAUAUCGGCCAUACGGUCGAUAUUUCAGUCCAUGUCAGAAGAUAUGUGUGAAAAUAAUAUUUACAAAAUGAUAUUUACUAAUAUAUCAGCCUAUAUAUCAAUCAUAUCAGCCUAGAUUUAAAAGCUUGAUCUCAGCCCUCCGUUUGGUUGAAGAUUGCAAUGCAUGUAUGCUUAUCUUCUUUACAUGCAUGGCGCCACGGACUACUUUUAGGGGGGCCCAUGCAUUCAUGCAUGAUGUCAACUAAUAGCAUUAUGCUCCCCCCAUCCCAUGUCCCAUACGUUUUCAUUUCACCCUUAAAUUUCAAUAUAUUUUUGUUCUAGAUGUGGUAUGAGAACUAACACAGUGAGGCAACACUGAACAUCAUGUCGUACUCAAUAUUUCUGCACUGUACUAGUACUAACUAGGGAUGCAGUGUACUACUAACAAGAUAUUGCAAAUCACAGCGGCACAGAGAUGACAUGGGUGGAGGCGGAGAUAGACGCACCUAUGAUCUCCGUCGUCGUGGAGGUUGAUGCCGUGGCUGCGGAGGAUGGCCCGGAGAUUGGUGCGUUGAGGAUGCUCCUCGACCUUGUGCUCCAACUAUUCAAGGCAGAAGUGGUCAAUGCGUUUGCUCCUGCCCAGAUUACAUACACCAGUGCAUAGAUUUCAGAAUCGAACAAAUCAGAUGUGCAAGAGAGGAGGGAUAGGGAGGAGGGGGCUUACCUGAAGGAGGCGUCUUUGCUGCGGACGAGGAGUAGGACGAGGAGCAUAAACUAUCUUUUGAACCAAAAGUCCUAAUUAAGUUUUGUUUGCAUAUUUGUGUUCCUUGUGACAAGGGCUUUGAAAUAAGACCAAUUUUCAAUAUGUGUUUACAUUUUUUUAAAAGUUUUUGCUAAGUUUCCACAGCCAAAACUUAAUAGCAAUGGACGAUAAAAUUAGUAAACUUAAAACUAGGGAGGAGCAAGAACGCCAGCGCAAGCAGCUCGAGCGACGUGGCGGAGGAGGGCCAAGUACGCCCCGAGCGAGACCCUAUGGCGUAACUCCUCCCGCGGGAUCAGCUUGGCGCUGGCUUCGCGUGCAGGGGCUCCUCCAUCUCCGCCUUGUGCUGAGCGCCGUGGGGGUGGUGAUGGAGGGGGGGUGAGGAUGGAGAGGGCGAGGGCAGCAAGGAGGAAGAUGAGACCGACGGCGCCGAGGAGCGGGCGCUGCGGACAUGGGAAGAGGAGGUGUAAGGCGAGGCAAGAGAGAGGGGGGAACAGAGGAAACGUGCACGAGAGAGCCCUCUCCGACCCGACCAGGGGUACUUUUGGAAAGUGCAGAAAAUGUUUGAACUCCGAAAUUUUGUACUGGAUUCUCUAAAACGACUUAUAAUACGGAGAAGAGGGAGUACAAAAGAACUAGACACUUUUUUUUGUGUCGAUUUAUUUGGCUUUGUGCAUGCAUGCAUGCACUUCCAGUUUGAGCGUGAGUUCUGUACUUCUUUUUUUAGAAUCAAGCGUGAGUUCUGUACUUCUCUUACGAUCGUUUCCGAGAAAAUUGCUGUCAUCGCGCUUUGGUCUUUUUUCGUUCCAAGAAAGCUGAUCAAGGUUAAUGUGCGUGUGUGUGGUGCGCAGUGUGUCAUCCUUGUAUAACAGCCAGCGGACGUUAUAAAACUUGAUGAACAAAGUGUACAAUCAAGAGACAAUUAUCAAGUUCCACGUACCGAUGAAAAUUAUCACACAACUUUAGACAUCUCCUUGGAUAUUUCUGAUUUAAUAAAUCUUCUAAUGGUACCAAUCUCAUAACAAUUUCAUACCUAUGACUAAUAUGUACUGACAUCAAAAUACUUUCAUACUCUUCGAUAUCAAACUGCAUGCCGCAUUAUCGAUCCACUGCUUGUCGUCGACGCAGGGCUCCUCCUCCUCUUUCUUCGCCUCCGGCACGAUGGUGACGCCGAAGAGCCUCACGCAGCCUGCCGGCACCGCCGGCGCCUGCAGCGGCGCAGCCGCCACCUCGGCCGGUGGCGCCUGUGGCGCCGGCCUGGGGAUCGCGAGCCCGAGGACGUCCGGGGGAAGGAGGAGGCGCGCCUGCUUCCUCGGCACGAUGGGCUUUCCUGUGUAGUGCUUCCUCAUGUGCCCCCCUAGCCGGACGCCGCUGUUGUAAACUUCGCCGCAGACCUUGCAGGUGUGGAGCUUCUCCGGCCUGGGGCCGCCCACGGCGUGGUCAAUCGGGUCGAGCCCCGCGGCUAUGGCUGCAGCGGCCUCCGCCGCGAUGCGACGGUUCUUGUGGCCGGCGGCGUGGCCGCCCAGCCCCUGGUGCGUCGGGAACCACCGGUUGCACUCCUUGCACGAGAACCCACGCGGGGCGGCCGUGUCCCGGUGCGCGAUGAUGUGCAGCGGCCCGUGGNNNNNNNNNNNNNNNNNNNNNNNNNNNNNNNNNNNNNNNNNNNNNNNNNNNNNNNNNNNNNNNNNNNNNNNNNNNNNNNNNNNNNNNNNNNNNNNNNNNNNNNNNNNNNNNNNNNNNNNNNNNNNNNNNNNNNNNNNNNNNNNNNNNNNNNNNNNNNNNNNNNNNNNNNNNNNNNNNNNNNNNNNNNNNNNNNNNNNNNNNNNNNNNNNNNNNNNNNNNNNNNNNNNNNNNNNNNNNNNNNNNNNNNNNNNNNNNNNNNNNNNNNNNNNNNNNNNNNNNNNNNNNNNNNNNNNNNNNNNNNNNNNNNNNNNNNNNNNNNNNNNCCGGGGCGGCCCGGUGGAGGUAGGCGGCGGCUGGCUCUGGUGCUCGUGCGACCGGCGGUGAGUCGGGGUCUUGCUGCGGUGCAGCAGGCGUCGGGGCGAGGUCAACUUCCUCCGAUAAAGCGGUGGGCGGUGCUACCCCUGCCACCACGAUGGCCAUGGACCGAUCAGAAGUACUCUGACAAGGCUUCUGGACGCUGGCGCUGUUGCUGCUUCUGCUGCUGCUGCGGACGACCUGAUCGCUGCUCCCCUGCUCCACCGUCAUCGGGUCAUCCGAGAUCUUGGGUUCCCCGACAACAGUGGCCGUGGACACGGACACGGAGUCGGCCACCUCGUCCACGGCGCUGACCGUAGCAUACACCUUCUCCUCCUCCUUGGGCUGGGCCUGUGCGUGGACCCUCAUGUGGCCGUGCACGGCCUUGGAGCUGUGGAACUGCCUAUGGCAGACGGGACAGGCCGGGAAUAACGCGGUGACUGCGGCAGCAUUGCUGAUGGUCCCGUCGGAGCCGAGCGAGGUAGUGGGCGACGACGCCCGGGUAGUCGAUCUUGAUCUUGACCUUGACCCGGUGCUGCCAGUGCCAACGACCACGUUGUCGAGGACAGGGCCGGGGCCUGGCCGCGCGACCGUGACCAUCAUCUCCUGUUGGUCGUCGUAGCGGCGCACUGGCUUUAGGUAGUAGCGCGCGGCCUCAUCGUCGGUGUCGGUGUCGGUGUCGGAGCCCGUGUAGUACGCAGAGACAAAUCUUCACCGGAUCUCUGAUUGGUAUUUCUUCGCCAACAAGAUAUUUAAGUGGAGACAAAAGGAAAGUAAAUUAAACCGGUGAAGAGAGUAGAGAUAGAGAGGAGUAUUCUUUUAGGAGAGCUGAGCGUUUAAUUUGCGGAGGCGCCCAGCCCCAGCCCCAGAUAUGCCGCCGCAUCCACCGUUGGAUGUCACUUUAGCAUUACUAUCAUCUUUUUUUUCAUGGCAUGUCCAAGGACAAUACCAUAAACAUUGAUGCAUUCCUACCAAAUCGACAUAGCAUGAGAAAAAAAAAGUACCAAAGUCCCUGAGAACAAUCAUGCUUCGCAUAUGCUUUUUUUAACACGGUCCAGACGCAGACGCAUAUACACCAUUACCCCUAUAAGCACCUUCGAGAGACAGAGUCGACACAUCAUUUCCAUUUUGGCGAAAUCACCACACACUCCAUCAUGGUCGACGGGAACGUCUCCUUCCACUAAAUGCACAUCGCCGGAAGGUCUGGAAUAAAUACAGAAAAAUGAGAGUCGAGCCUAGGACUUAAACUCUGGUGGGCUGGCGAUACCAUAGUCCUCCUAACCAUUCAACCACAGGUUGGUUCACUCUUGGCAACAUAUGCUACAACAUUUAAAUCAAUGCUUCCCACAACAUGCAGAAUAAUUCACAAAAGAGAUAACAUGAAGUAUAUAGUUUGCAAUAGACCUUCAAACUCAUGGGGGCAUGUCACCCGUCCGCUUGCAGCAAACCAAAUGUAGAUUUGUAACAUACCAAAGGAAUGUAUUGCCAUAUCACGUUUUCCACAAAGCCAUGCAAAUGUUGGGGUGGGGGGGGGUGUCCAUUUUCGGCUUCAACUGGAGCUAUCUCACGGUUCCAUGUCAUAAGCGCUCGUCAACCAUCGACCCAUGGCGGAGGAGGAAUGACUAUGGUAAGCCCGGUGGAAGAAGAAUUGUGAGAGGGUGGAGGCGCGGUGUCAGUGUAUCUCUGAAUUGCAAAUAUAGUUGCUGCCUUAGACUGCCUUAAUAGACGACGGUUCUCACUAAAGCUAUUGCCCACUAUUUCUACGAGUUAAGUUUAAUCAUAAUUGUUUCGAGAAGCAAACUUUGGAGUUCAUAAUAUAGCCACACCGUAGCCACCAGUUUGUCGGUAAGUAGUGAAAUGUGGUUCCAAGUUUUUCUUGGCACUUGCUCUUUGUACACACAUGCAUAUCAGAACAUUAUAUUUCUUCACCAUCGACUUCCUCUCACAAUUUGUGUCUGUUUAGAGCUCACUUCUAAUCACCUCUCAUUUAGAACUAGGUGGUGUUUGUACUGUACAAGAGCCGAUUCUGGAAAAACAAUAGCAACGUGGUGAUCAAUGGCUAGACUCAGGUCUAAGCUCUCUUAGAACCAAGUUUUAACCAUUAACUCAAAUAAGAUGAAGUUUUGACCACAAUUUAGUCCCUUGUACAAGUUCUAAGUCGCAUAUAUUAACCAUAUGAGGUUGAAUGCAUAAAACCGAUCAAUUCCCAGGGCGUAAGAUUAUGGACAUGCUCUCUGACACGGUACAUACAUCAUAACAAGGGAACAAAGCGAGUUUUUUUUUUGCAUGGUAAUAUGUGUCCCAUUCAUAUCAUAAAGAUUAAAAGUACAAGUCACAUAAGGACCGACAUGACAAAACUGAAAAGAUAACAUAACGUCUCUAAGCUUGACACCAACGCUCGUCACCUGCCUCCGGCACCAGCAUAGCAGCCACCGAAAGAAAAAAUGACAGAUCACCUUCUCACCCGAGCUCGACGCGGCUCCGCCGCUGAUAUGUAGCUUUGCGGGCCUCCAAGGUGGCUCGUCAAAGACGAAACCAUUACCGUUGAACGAAUUAGACCGGUGCAACACCCCGGACACGCCAUCGACCUUCAGAUCUGUUGGGGAACAUAGCAGAAAUUCUAAAUUUUCCUACGUGUCACCAAGAUCUAUCUAUGGAGAGACUAGCAAUGAGGGGAAGGAGAGUGCAUCUACAUACCCUUGUAGAUCGCUAAGCGGAAGCGUUCAAGUGAACGGGGUUGAUGGAGUCGUACUCGUCGUGAUUCAAAUCACCGAUGAUCAAGUGCCGAACGCACGGCACCUCCGCGUUCAACACACAUACAGCCCGGUGACGUCUCCCAAGCCUUGAUCCAGCAAGGAGAGAGGGAGAGGUUGAGGAAGACUCCAUCCAGCAGCAGCACAACGGCGUGGUGGUGGUGGAGGAGCGUGGCAAUCCUGCAGGGCUUCGCCAAGCACCGCGGGAGAGGAGGAGUACUUGUGAGAGGGGGAGGGCUGCACCAGAACUUCGUCUAUAGCUCCCAUGCGCCUCCCCACUAUAUAUAGGGGUGGAGGGGCUGGUUUCUUGCCCUCCAAGUCCAUUGGGGCGUUGGCCAAGGUGGGAGGAAAGAAAUCUCAUUAUUUCCUUCCCCACCGAUUGUUAUCCCCCCUUUUUAGGGAUCUUGAUCUUAUCCCUUCGGGAUAUGAUCUUAUUCCUUCUAAGGGGGGAUCUUGGUGCGCCUUGACCAGGGGUGUGGGGCCUUGCCCCCACUACCCACGUCCAUGUGGGUCCCCCCAUGCAGGUGGGCCCCACUCCGGAACCUUCUAGAACCUUCCCGGUACAAUACCAAAAAACCCGAACAUUUUCCGGUGGCCAAAAUAGGACUUCCCAUAUAUAAAUCUUUACCUCCGGACCAUUCCGGAACUCCUCGUGACGUCCGGGAUCUCAUUCGGGACUCCGAACAACAUUCGGUAACCACAUACAAACUUCCUUUAUAACCCUAGCGUCAUCGAACCUUAAGUGUGUAGACCCUACGGGUUCGGGAGACAUGUAGACAUGACCGAGAUGUUCUCCGGUCAAUAACCAACAACGGGAUCUGGAUACCCAUGAUGGCUCCCACAUGUUCCACGAUGAUCUCAUCGGAUGAACCACGAUGUCAAGGACUUAAUCAAUCCCGUAUUCAAUUCCCUUUGUCUAUCGGUAUGUUACUUGCCCGAGAUUCGAUCGUCGGUAUCCAAUACCUUGUUCAAUCUCGUUACCGGCAAGUCACUUUACUCGUUCCGUAACACAUCAUCCCGUGAUCAACUCCUUGGUCACAUUGCGCAUAUGAUGAUGUCCUACCGAGUGGGCCCGGAGAUACCUCUCCGUUUACACGGAGUGACAAAUCCCAGUCUCGAUCCGCAUAAAACAAUAGAUACUUUCGGAGAUACCUGUAGUGCACCUUUAUAGUCACCCAGUUACGUUGUGACGUUUGAUACACCCAAAGCACUCCUACGGUAUCCAGGAGUUACACGCUCUCAUGGUCGAAGGAAGAGAUACUUGACAUUGGCAAAGCUCUAGCAAAUGAACUACACGAUCUUUUGUGCUAGUCUUAGGAUUGGGUCUUGUCCAUCACAUCAUUCUCCUAAUGAUGUGAUCCCGUUAUCAACGACAUCCAAUGUCCAUAGCCAGGAAACCAUGACUAUCUCUUGAUCACAACGAGCUAGUCAACUAGAGGCUCACUAGGGACAUAUUGUUGUCUAUGUAUUCACACGUGUAUUACGAUUUCCGGAUAAUACAGUUAUAGCAUGAAUAAAAGACAAUUAUCAUGAACAAGGAAAUAUAAUAAUAAUACUUUUAUUAUUGCCUCUAGGGCAUAUUUCCAACAGUCUCCCACUUGCACUAGAGUCAAUAAUCUAGUUCACAUCGCCAUGUGAUUAACACUCACAGGUCACAUCGCCAUGUGACUAAUACCCAAGAGUUUACUAGAGUCAGUAGUCUAGUUCACAUCACUAUGUGAUUAACACUCAAUGAGUUUUAUGUUUGAUCAUGUUGCUUGUGAGAGAGGUUUUAGUCAACGGGUCUGAACCUUUCAGAUCCGUGUGUGCUUUACAAAUCUCUAUGUCAUCUCCUAGAUGCAGCUACCACGCUCUAUUUGGAGCUAUUCCAAACAACUGUUCUACUUGGAGCUAUUCCAAAUUAUUGUUCCAUUAUAUGUAUCCGGUCUCUCUACUCAGAGCUAUCCGGAUAGGUGUCAAGCUUGCAUCGUCGUAACCUUUAUGACAAACUCUUUUACCACCUCCAUAAUCGAGAAAAUUCCUUAGUCCACUAGUUACUAAGGAUAACUUUGACCGCUGUCCUGUGAGCCAUUCUUGGAUCACUCUUGUACCCCUUGACUGACUCAUGGCAAGGCACACUUCAGGUGCGGUACACAGCAUAGCAUACUGAAGAGCCUACGUCUUAAGCAUAGGGGACGACCUUCGUCCUUUCUCUCUAUUCUGCCGUGGUCGAGCUUUAAGUCUUAACUUCAUACCUUACAACUCAGACAAGAACUCCUUCUUUGACUGGUCCAUCUUGAACACCUUCAAGAUCAUGUCAAGGUAUGUGCUCAUUUGAAAGUAUUAUUAAGCAUUUUGAUCUAUCCUUAUAGAUCUUGAUGCUCAAUGUUCAAGUAGCUUAAUCCAGGCUUUCCAUUGAAAAACACUUUCAAAAUAACCCUAUAUACUUUCCAGAAAUUCUACGUCAUUUCUGAUCAACAAUAUGUCAACAAUAUAUACUCAUCAGAAAUUCUAUAGUGCUCCCACUCACUUCUUUGGAAAUACAAGUUUCUCAUAAACUUUGUACAAACCCAAAAAUUUUGAUCAUCAUCAAAGCAUACAUUCCAACUCCGAGAUGCUCACUCCAGUCCUUAGAAGGAUUGCUGGAGCUUUGCAUACUUACUAGCAUCUUUCGGGAUUGACAAAACCUUCCGGUUGUAUCACAUACAACCUUUCCUCAUUAAAAUCGUCGAGGAAACAAUGUUUUGACAUCCUAUCUGCAAGAUUUCAUAAAUAAUGCAGUAAUCGCUAAUAUAAUUCCAACAGACUCUUAGCAUCGCUACGAGUGAGAAAAUCUCAUCGUAGUCAACUCCUUGAACUUGUCGGAAAACAUCUUAACGACAAGUCGAGCUUUCUUAAUGGUGACAUUUACCAUCAUUGUCCGUCUUCCUUUUGAAAUCCAUCUGUACUCAUUAGCCUUACGACCAUCGAGCCGUUCUGCCAAAGUCUACACUUUGUUUUCAUACAUGGAUCCUCUCUCGGAUUUUUAUGGCCUCAAGCCAUUUAUCGGAAUCCGGGCCCACCAUCGCUUCUCCAUAGCUCGUAGGUUCAUUGUUGUCUAGCAACAUGACCUUCAAGACAGGAUUACGUACCACUCUGAAGUAGUACGCAUCCUUGUCAUCCUACGAGGUUUGAGAGUGACUUGAUCCGAAGUUUCAUGAUCAAUAUCAUAAGCUUCCACUUCAAUUGGUGUAGGUGCCACAGGAACAACUCCCUGUGCCCUGUCACACACUAGUUGAAGAGACGGUUCAAUAACCUCAUCAAGUCUCCACCAUCCUCCCACUCAAUUUGUUCGAGAGAAACUUUUCCUCGAGAAAGGACCCGAUUCUAGAAACAAUCCAUAUUGCUUUCAGAUCUGAAUUAGGAGGUAUACCCAACUGUUUUGGGUUUCCUAUGAAGAUGCAUUUUAUCCGCUUUGGGUUCGAGCUUAUCAACCUGAAACUUUUUCAUAUAAGCGUCGCAGCCCCAAACUUUUAAGAAACGACAACUUAGGUUUCUCUAAACCAUAAUUCAUACGGUGUCAUCUCAUCGGAAUUACGUGGUGCCCUAUUUAAAGUGAAUGUGGUUGUCUCUAAUGCCUAACCCAUGAACGAUAGUGGUAAUUCGAUAAGAGACAUCAUGGUACGCACCAUAUCCAAUAGGGUGCAACUAUGAUGUUCGGACACACCAUCACAUUAUGGUGUUCCAGGCGGUAUUAAUUGCGAAACAAUUUCCACAAUGUCUUAAUUGUGUGCCAAAACUCGUAACUCAGAUAUUCAUCUCUAUGAUCAUAUCAUAGACAUUUUAUCCUCUUAUCACAAUGAUCUUCUACUUCACUCUGAAAUUACUUGAACCAUUCAAUAAUUCAGACUUGUGUUUCAUCAAGUAAAUAUUCUCAACAUCUACUCGAAUCAUCUGUGAAGUAAGAUCAUAACGAUAUUCACUGCAUGCCUCAGCACUCAUUGGAUUGGACACAUCAAAAUGUGUUACUUCCAACAAGUUGCUAUCUUGUUCCAUCUUACUGAAAACGAGGCUUUUCAGUCAUCUUGCCCAUGUGGUAUGAUUUGCAUAUCUCAAGUGAUUCAAAAUCAAGUGAGUCCAAACGGUCCAUUUGCAUGGAGUUUCUUCAUGCAUAUACACCAAUAGACAUGGUUCGCAUGUCUCAAACUUUUCAAAACGAGUGAGUCCAAAGAUCCAUCAACAUGGAGCUUCUUCAUGCGUUUUAUACCAUUAUGACUUACAUGGCAGUGCCACAAGUAAUGGUACUAUCAUUACUAUCUUAUAUCUUUUGGCAUGAAAAUGUGUAUCACUACGACCGAGAUUCAAUAAACCAUUCCUUUAGGUGCAAGACCAUUGAAGGUAUUAUUCAAAAAUAGAGUAACCAUUAUUCUCCUUAAAUGAAUAACCGUAUUGCGAUAGACAUAAUCCAAUCAUGUCUAUGCUCAACGCAAACACCAAUCUCGGUGGUAGAGGGAGCGUGCGAUGCUUGAUCAUAUCAACCUUGGAAACACUUCCAACAUAUAUCGUCAGCUCACCUUUAGCUAGUCUCCGUUUAUUCCGUAGCUUUUAUUUCGAGUUACUAACACUUAGCAACCGAACCGGUAUCCAAUACCCUGGUGCUACUAGGAGUACUAGUAAAGUACACAUUAACAUAAUGUAUAUCCAAUAUACUUCUAUCGAUCUUGCCAGCCUUCUCAUCUACCAAGUAUCUAGGGUAAUGCUGCUCCAGUGGUUGUUCCCCUUAUUACAGAAGCACUUAGUCUCGGGUUUGGGUUCAACCUUGGGUUUCUUCACUAGAGCAGCAGCUGAAUUGCCGUUUCAUGAAGUAUCCCUUUGUUCCCUUGCCCUUCUUGAAACUAGUGGUUUCACCAACCAUCAACAAUUGAUGCUCCUUCUUGAUUUCUACUUUCGCGGUGUCAAACAUCAUGAAUAUUUCAAGGAUCAUCAUAUCUAUCCCUGAUAUGUUAUAGUUAAUCACGAAGCUCUAGCAGCUUGGUGGCAAUGACUUUGGGGAAACAUCACUAUCUCAUCUGGAGGAUCAACUCCCACUCGAUUCAAGUGAUUGUUGUGCUCAGACAAUCUGAGCACAAGCUCAACGAUUUAGCUUUUCUCCCUUAGUUUGCAGGCUAAGAAAAUCGCCGGAGGUCUUAUACCUCUUGACGUGGGCACGAGCCUGAAAUCCCAAUUUCAGCCCUCGAAACAUCUCAUACGUUCCGCGACGUUUCGAAAACGUCUUUGGUGCCUCUACUUAAACCAUUUAAUUGAACUGUCACGUAGUUAUCAAAACGUGUAUGUCCGAUGUUCGCAACAUCGACAAACGACGUUGGGGUUCAGCACACUGAGCGGUGCAUUAAGGACAUAAGCUUUCUACUGAUCGCAUAAUCGCUACUAUCAACUUUCAACUAUAUUUUCUCUAGGAACAUAUCUAAACAGUGGAACUAAAGCGCGAGCUUACGACAUAAUUUGCAAAAGGUCUUUUGACUAUGUUCAGGAUAAUUAAGUUCAUCUUAUGAACUCCCACUUAGAUAGACAUCCCUCUGGUCAUCUAAGUGAUCACAUGAUCCGAGUCAACUAGGCCGUGUCCGAUCAUCACGUGAGACGGACUAGUCAUCAUCGGUGAACAUCUUCAUGUUGAUCGUAUCUACCAUACGACUCAUGCUCGACCUUUCGGUCUCCGUGUUCCGAGGCCAUGUCUGCACAUGCUAGGCUCGUCAAGUUAACCCUAAGUGUUUUCGCUGUGUAAAACUGUCUUACACCCGUUGUAUGUGAACGUAAGAAUCCAUCACACCCGAUCAUCACGUGGUGCUUAGAAGCGACGAACUGUAGCAACGGUGCACAGUUAGGGGAGAACACUUCUUGAAAUUUUGUAAGGGAUCAUCCUAUUUACUACCGUCGUCCUAAGCAAACAAGAUGCAUAAACAUGAUAAACAUCACAUGCAAUCAAAUAGUGACAUGAUAUGGCCAAUAUCAUUUUGCUCCUUUUGAUCUUCAUCUUCGGGGCUCCAUGAUCAUCAUCGUCACCGGCACGACACCAUGAUCUCCAUCAUCGUGUCUUCAUGAAGUUGUAACGCCAACGACUACUUCUACUUCUAUGACUAACGCGUUUAGCAAUAAAGUAAAGUAGUUUACAUGGCGUUCUUCAAUGACACGCAGGUCAUACAAUAAAUAAAGACAACUCCUAUGGCUCCUGCCGGUUGUCAUACUCAUCGACAUGCAAGUCGUGAAUCCUAUUACAAGAACAUGAUCAAUCUCAUACAUCACAUAUCAUUCAUCACAUUCUUCUUGGCCAUAUCACAUCACAUAGCAUACCCUGCAAAAACAAGUUAGACGUCCUCUAAUUGUUGUUUGCAUGUUUUACGUGGCUGCUAUGGGUUUCUAGCAAGAACGUUUCUUACCUACGCAAAACCACAACGUGCUAUGCCAAUUGCUAUUUACCCUUCAUAAGGACCCUUUUCAUCGAAUCCGUUCCGACUAAAGUGGGAGAGACUGGCACCCGCUAGCCACCUUAUGCACCAAGUGCAUGUCAAUCGGUGAAACCUGUCUCACGUAAGAGUACGUGUAAGGUCGGUCCGGGACACUUCAUCCCACAAUACCGUUGAAACAAGAUUGGACCAGUAACGGUAAGCAUAUUGAACAACAUCAACGCCCACAACUACUUUGUGUUCUACUCGUGCAAAGAAUAUACGCAAUAGACCUAGCUCUGAUACCACUGUUGGGGAACGUAGCAGAAAUUCAAAAUUUUCCUACGUGUCACCAAGAUCUAUCUAUGGAGAGACUAGCAAUGAGGGGAAGGAGAGUGCAUCUACAUACCCUUGUAGAUCGCUAAGCGGAAGCGUUCAAGUGAACGGGGUUGAUGGAGUCGUACUCGUCGUGAUUCAAAUCACCGAUGAUCAAGUGCCGAACGCACGGCACCUCCGCGUUCAACACACAUACAGCCCGGUGACGUCUCCCAAGCCUUGAUCCAGCAAGGAGAGAGGGAGAGGUUGAGGAAGACUCCAUCCAGCAGCAGCACAACGGCGUGGUGGUGGUGGAGGAGCGUGGCAAUCCUGCAGGGCUUCACCAAGCACCGCGGGAGAGGAGGAGUACUUGUGAGAGGGGGAGGGCUGCACCAGAACUUCGUCUAUAGCUCCCAUGCGCCUCCCCACUAUAUAUAGGGGUGGAGGGGCUGGUUUCUUGCCCUCCAAGUCCAUUGGGGCGUUGGCCAAGGUGGGAGGAAAGAAAUCUCAUUAUUUCCUUCCCCACCGAUUGUUAUCCCCCCUUUUUAGAGAUCUUGAUCUUAUCCCUUCGGGAUAUGAUCUUAUUCCUUCUAAGGGGGGAUCUUGGUGCGCCUUGACCAGGGGUGUGGGGCCUUGCCCCCACUACCCACGUCCAUGUGGGUCCCCCCAUGCAGGUGGGCCUCACUCCGGAACCUUCUAGAACCUUCCCGGUACAAUACCGAAAAACCCGAACAUUUUCCGGUGGCCAAAAUAGGACUUCCCAUAUAUAAAUCUUUACCUCCGGACCAUUGCGGAACUCCUCGUGACGUCCGGGAUCUCAUUCGGGACUCCGAACAACAUUCGGUAACCACAUACAAACUUCCUUUAUAACCCUAGCGUCAUCGAACCUUAAGUGUGUAGACCCUACGGGUUCGGGAGACAUGUAGACAUGACCGAGAUGUUCUCCGGUCAAUAACCAACAACGGGAUCUGGAUACCCAUGAUGGCUCCCACAUGUUCCACGAUGAUCUCAUCGGAUGAACCACGAUGUCAAGGACUUAAUCAAUCCCGUAUUCAAUUCCCUUUGUCUAUCGGUAUGUUACUUGCCCGAGAUUCGAUCGUCGGUAUCCAAUACCUUGUUCAAUCUCGUUACCGGCAAGUCACUUUACUCGUUCCGUAACACAUCAUCCCGUGAUCAACUCCUUGGUCACAUUGCGCAUAUGAUGAUGGCCUACCGAGUGGGCCCCGAGAUACCUCUCCGUUUACACGGAGUGACAAAUCCCAGUCUCGAUCCGCAUAAAACAAUAGAUACUUUCGGAGAUACCUGUAGUGCACCUUUAUAGUCACCCAGUUACGUUGUGACGUUUGAUACACCCAAAGCACUCCUACGGUAUCCAGGAGUUACACGCUCUCAUGGUCGAAGGAAGAGAUACUUGACAUUGGCAAAGCUCUAGCAAAUGAACUACACGAUCUUUUGUGCUAGUCUUAGGAUUGGGUCUUGUCCAUCACAUCAUUCUCCUAAUGAUGUGAUCUCGUUAUCAACGACAUCCAAUGUCCAUAGCCAGGAAACCAUGACUAUCUGUUGAUCACAACGAGCUAGUCAACUAGAGGCUCACUAGGGACAUAUUGUGGUCUAUGUAUUCACACGUGUAUUACGAUUUCCGGAUAAUACAGUUAUAGCAUGAAUAAAAGACAAUUAUCAUGAACAAGGAAAUAUAAUAAUAAUACUUUUAUUAUUGCCUCUAGGGCAUAUUUCCAACAUGGCACCUCACAUGACUAAGACGUCGGAGAAGGAAACCAUACCUGUCAUCCACGAACCAUGAGCCCAGCACACGUUCGAUCUUCCAGAUGUGUGAUGCAGAUCACAGUACGCAUCCGCUUCUCGACUACCUCCCAAGCUCCGCGCCGAUGUUGGAGUAGACGUCGUCGCAACGACGGAGCCCGAGGACACUAGUCCACCAUGAGGGUGAUGCUGCCACCACACCAUCUUUACUUGAACAAACUGAUUUCUAAAUCCAUCAUCCAUUCCCAACCAUAGGACCGAUUGCCUCGUUGGAGACAAAUCUCAACCUUCUUUAUUCAGCGCCGCCAUCGCCGCCUCCAAAGUGAAGACGAUGAAUGGCUGGAAAACCAAAGUUACUAGGGCCUAACCUAAAGCUACACGAUCCACACACGUAGAUCUGGCGACCCCUCUCACCACCGACGACCGAGGUCGCCGGCGGAGGGGAGCCGCCGGAGGAACGAGGCUAAGGGACUCCCCUGGCGGCGGCUAGGGCUUCUAGUCGCAGAGCCUCUGAGGAAAAGAAAAGCGGGAACAAAGCGAGUUGAAAACUUCAAAUAUCGUGCAGGUCCACGGUUGCAUACGUACGUAUAGAAAACACAUAAGCCCGCACGUAUCGACUGCCUGCGUCCAGCCUCCUGAUCGCCUGGUUUCCAUGGCCGAUUCCACUGGGCCCUGCCCUUACUCUGUAUAUUGUGGUCGCUAACGUGUCAAACAGGAUUGAACGGGCGAGUUUGUUACUCGGUACGGAUAGAGAGAGAGAGAGAUGCGAGAGAUGCGAGAGAGAGGCUACCGCACGGUUUAAACGGGAUUAACUUGCUUUUUGGCGGGUGAUUACAUGAGGUUGGAUGAUUUUCCCAAAGUUGUUUCAAUGACCACUUGCUUUUUGGCAGCACGGCAGAGAGAGGGGGUGAGAUAGACGUUGUGCUACAUGGAAACAGAUUUUAGUUGGAUCUGAUCGAUCUUUCUACACCAUCAAGAAUUAAUAUAUGUAUGUAUAUAUGGAAAGUAAAGUCAGAUAGUAGAGAGAGAGGAGAGGAGUCUUCUAGAUAUAGCUAGGAGUACCGGGAGAGGAUCUGUAGCACACAGGUGCGAGGGCACCGAGCCCCUUGCGUCUGCAUUUUCUUUUGGCUUUCAAUUUUAAUCUUUCUUAUCUUGUCAACCGAAAGUACAAAUUAAAAUCUCCUUUCAAAUAAGAUCCAUUUUAAAUACAUUUUGACCAGUUUCUAAAAUUGUGUUAUGUUUUAACUUCUAAAACUCAGUACAAGCGACAGACAAAAUCACAACUUUAAUACCUGUGGCUGACAAAAAAUAGCUUAAAAUUUAACUCUGAAACUUGAUAGUAGCGACCACGAAAAUCAUAUGUUUCAGAAGCAAAAUCGCAAGUUUUAGAACUUAAAACUUACUGUGUGCUCGUGAUCGGACGACUUUGUGGACCGCCAUGCAAAUCGGGCGGCCGAGCAGUCUAGGUGGGUGCGUACUUCCGCACAUGCGUGCCCUUGCAAAUUUCCCUAGGAGAACCGAGCGGUUAAGCAUCAACCACAUGGAGGCUGCAACAGAUUGACUACCUCCCCCACUAGUCGUCGUUGCUGUCCUUCGAGCAACCUGUGUUGAGCUUCUGUUUUCAUCUCUCUACUUGUCAGCGACCUUAGACUGAUUGCUGAAGCUGUCUCUCCUGUAUCUGAACCAGCAGGUGCCGACAACCGCCAGACAUCUACAAUAGAAGAAUGCCGACCCAAAUCAUCAACGCCCAAGAGACUUUCUUAGUGGCUUGCUAGCCCAAACUAGACAAGUUAAAGCGGGUGUAAUUUAUUUGCGGUACAAAUACCCGUUGUACGGCUUUGGCCAAAUUGGCUGUAAUUUGGAUAAUUGAGUCGGUGCAUGGGAGGAACAACCACCUCUAUAUAUAAAUUCGAGUUGAAUUCAUGAAUUUCCUAGCUCAUGUGAGCCAGAUCUAGUUACUAGUUCACAGUUCGUAUUCAUAGCCAUCGUCCUGGGCAUCACGACCACUGCACUCGAUUCAGUGAUCGCCGGUGCGAGCAAGCCAUGGAGGAGCUGGGUAUCGAAGGUCGCUUGGUCUAUGAACUUCUUCGCACGGACUUCGCCAUCGACUUGUAGAAAAAACUCAAGGAUCAAGGUGAAUCAUUGCUCCGUUCCAUGAGCAGUUACUGAAGGCGGACAAUUCUACGCUUGAUGGUCUCGUGUCGUCGAGGGUUGAUGACAUUUGAGAAUAGCUGGCACUAGACAUUGACCAGAUCAAGGCAGAUCUGCACAAGGCCCUUGCCUUGAUCAUGAUCACCGGGGGAAAGCACAUAACCUAUAUCUCCAUCCCGCGGUCAGAGGUGUGCUCGAUUCUAUUUUCUCCCCAAAAUUUUCCUCAUCUCGUGAUUUUCCUGUUUCGGAUGCUACCGAAUCAUCUUCGUUUGCUCUGCAUUUUGACCUUCCAAAAUUUGACGGAGCAAAUCCGUAGUUUUGGCAGAACUAUUACUCGCAUGCAUAGAUGAAUCUCUAUGGCCGCACCUCAAUUUGAAGGGGCCACUUUUUUUUUUUAAAGGAGACUUCCCGGCUUCUGCAUCAGAACAAUGCAUACGGCAACUUAUUAAAUAAGUAAACAGGUACAAUAAGGUCUUAAAGUCUCAAACAAAAAAUAAAAGAGAGCUCACAGAGAGCCAAAAAGGCCAAAAACAAACUAGCCACAAAAAGCCACAACCGGCUGGCAUAAGAGAGAUAGGUAAAUUAACUGCCUAUCGUAUUACAUGACCGUCAUCCAAACCGGUUGAAGAUAUCCCAAACUACCAUCUCCCAGCGGAGAGAUCCAGUAACCAAAUGCUCCCUGGCCUCCGUCGGAGUGAGUAGCGACCACAUAUGGAUCAACGCAGUGGUUCGAAAAAUAAACUGCAAAAAACAAAUAUUUGUUGAUAUGUUAAAAACCAAAUCAUUUCUGCAGUUUCAGACUGCCCACAAUAAAGCACAAACUCCUACUCGAAUGUGUCUUGCUGUUUCGGACCAAGGUCCGUGGCAUGCAUUUUUCUCGGCUAUCCCCCCGACACCAAAGGCUACAGUUGCUAUGAUCCUACCUCACAUCGGGUGAUCACUUCCCAACAUGUUUACUUUGAUGAGAUGGUUUUUUCGUUUCAGCAGGUACCUUCGGAUGUUGCGGCUUUGCCCGCUCCCGGUGACGGCCGCUCGCGUGCUUCUCUUGGGCCGCCUCCCGGCUUUGAGAGUGACCCCCGCGCCACGGGUCGAGUUUCUCCCCGGCUGGCUGCCUUAGGGGCUGCACCCCUCCCGGCGCCCGCGACGCCCUUGGCAUCCCCGGCCCCGACCGCGCUGUCGGCCUCCUCGACGCCUGCGACGCCGUCGGCCUCCCCAGCGGCCGCGACGCCCUCCUCGGCGUCUCCCGCGGCCUCGCCCGCGGCAUCGGAGGUGGCAGGCUCUUCUUCAUCUUCGCCCGCCGCCGACCCAGACUCGCUGACCCGCCCGAUGACUCACUCUCGGGCUGCACUUUCCGCCCGAGUACGCGGUACACCAGCGAUGAGUACCUUCUCGCUGCUUCCGUCUGUAAGCCGUCUCCUCUCCCAUCGUCAGCUCGAGCCGCCCUUCGGGAUCCUUAUUGGCUCGCUGCGAUGUAGGAAGUGUUCGACGCGCUCCAACGGAACCGUACCUGGCAGCUUGUUCCUCGGCCGCCUCGUGCCAACAUCAUCAUGGGCAAGUGGGUGUUUUGGCACAAGACUCGUCCUUCUAGAUGCCUUGAAUCCGUGCGCCGCUUUUCAAAUGUAAGGUGGACUAGAUUUUGCUCUGCUCUUUCGAACAUGCUUGGCAAAAACCAACACCAAAACCUUCUCAGAAGAACUGUUCCAAAUUUUGCAAACCAACACGGUGGAAGAGUAUGUUCAGCGUUUUGUUGAAUUAUACGAGGGGUUAAUACAUUUAGAAAGUUUUAAACAGAUUAAAAAAAUUGACUUUUGGUUUCAUGUCAUCAAAAGCAAUCUUCUCCCUCGAGACAAAGUGCAUCAAUAUCUCAAGGAUGAAGGUAAAGACUGAAACCAUUUGAAACACAAGUCAUUGUAUCAUAAGCAGUCUGUUUUGCAGCCAAGAAAUUAGCGGCUUGGGUAGAACUUGUGCUCACUUGAGGAGGACUUCACUGCCACAGUUAGGUAGACCUUUAAUCAUGUCUAGGAAAAACAAGCAAACGACAUGGGCAAUUGUACAAAGAUUUAUUUAUCCUAGUAACUAAGCACAUAGCCAAAACAAUUGGGUAGACCUUUAAUUUGGAACUGAGUGAUUGCAUCUGACUAAAUGUUUGUAUCCCGAGGGAGUUGGCAGGGAAGGGUUUGCCACACAAACUAAGGUCUAAGAUUUUUAAAGACAGAUUGAGUUUAUAGUCUUGUAGCUCAUCCCUUUUUUUAAAGUCUUGGAGCUCCUCAACCUCCUGAAAUUGUCCAAAAACAGCAAACGAAUGACUAAAAGCACACAAAUUCCAAUCAAUAUCACCUGCAGAAAAUGCAUGUUACAUGAAGCAUAUGAAAUCAAUAUGUCAAAACAGAUAUGCACCGGCAUUUGUCCUCGAGUCCCGAACACGGAAUAGGAUACCGUGUCUUGAGCUCCAGAAUACAUGUUUGGAUACUAGUUCCGACCAACGAGUGCAUAAAUGAAUUGGCGAAUGAACCAUCGAAGUCAACUACAUAUCCGGCAGUGUUCCAUAAUGUGGAAGUUAGGAUUAUAUUGCAAACUUAAUACAAGAUUACAAUCGGCUAAUAGUGUAUGUGACACGGCAAAGAUAGUGUGUCGUACUUCCUUUUUUACUUGAUAUUGCAAACAAGGACUGAUGAAGAAUAAACACCACAUAGUGUGUAUCACAAACAUACCUGCAGGUUCAAUAUGUUCCUGAGAGAAGGAACAUCAUAAUCAGAACAUUAUUUUAUAGAAAUAAAGCUCGCAACAUAGGAUUGUUUUGUACGAAGAAGAUUGUCCCUUACCUCCUUUUUCUGUUUGAUACUAAUGCAACACUGGAAUUGUCAGAAAGCUACCAUCAGAAGUGUUGUUUCUCUCCAAAUGAGGCACAGUUUGCAGAAUGAAAUCAUGCUACCAACAGAACAAGUAAACCUGCUGUCAAAUGCUCCAAUUAUUCGGGUCUGCUGAUAGUUCUUCAAAAAGAAAGAUUCCAGAAUGAAUUGCCACUAGUAGAAAAAGGGUCAAACGUGAAGCACAUUAGUGCCGGUUUGAAUUUGAUAGAGACAGCCUACGGCCUGUUUGAAAUUUUUUAGAAUCCUCAAAUUCCAAAACGAAAAAAAGAUAUGGUCAAAUUUCAGUUUUUUUUAAAAGAAAUUGGUUAAAUAUGAUCAAACUACUUAUUCAAGAAGUCUUAAUGUUACUACAUAAUUAUUCAAGAAUAUUAGUGUUACUAAAUAAUUAUUUCAAUUUUUUAAAUUUUGGUCAAAUCUAGUCAAACUAUGGUCAAACUUAUUCAAGAAAUAUUAGUGUUACUAAAUAAUUACUAUUUUUUAGAAUAAUAGUUUCAAACUCAAAGGGUGAAACAUGUGACCUAAUGCUCAAGCUAAACUGCUGAGGGUUAAUAGGAUUGACAGCUUACAUUUGUCAGGAAAACAACAAGUGCAAACUUGAAAUAUAGGGGGAAUAGAACUCCAAAGUUAAGCGUGCUCAGGCUAGGGGAGUGAGAGUAUGGGUGACCGGCGGGAGUGAGAGGAUGGGUGACCGGCCGGGAAGUCAGGCGAUUUGGAAUGAGUGAUCCACACUUGAGCAGUUAAGAGAGGUGAUUAGAGACUAAAUCAUCAAAUAGUUCAGAAAAAUUAAAAAUCAAUUUUUUUCCAAUUUUUUUUUAAAAAGACAGGGCGCGAGCUCACGCCACGUGGUGGCACUUUAGCGNNNNNNNNNNNNNNNNNNNNNNNNNNNNNNNNNNNNNNNNNNNNNNNNNNNNNNNNNNNNNNNNNNNNNNNNNNNNNNNNNNNNNNNNNNNNNNNNNNNNNNNNNNNNNNNNNNNNNNNNNNNNNNNNNNNNNNNNNNNNNNNNNNNNNNNNNNNNNNNNNNNNNNNNNNNNNNNNNNNNNNNNNNNNNNNNNNNNNNNNNNNNNNNNNNNNNNNNNNNNNNNNNNNNNNNNNNNNNNNNNNNNNNNNNNNNNNNNNNNNNNNNNNNNNNNNNNNNNNNNNNNNNNNNNNNNNNNNNNNNNNNNNNNNNNNNNNNNNNNNNNNNNNNNNNNNNNNNNNNNNNNNNNNNNNNNNNNNNNCCGGCACUAAAGGCCCUUACGAACCGACGCUAAAGCUCCGUUUUCUAUUAGUGUGCCAUAAUUUUCCAUCUAGCAAAUUCCUCCUUCAUAAAAUUUCCCAAAAGCGAAACCCUGCAGCUACCACAUCCAAACCGUAACAUGUCAUUGCAGAAAUAAGUGCACUGUAAUAAGAGAGAAGAAAAAUUAGCAAAACUUUAUAGGAAAUCAUUAGUCCAGCUUGCAAAAAAAAUGUACAAACGCAGAAGGAUGUGAAUGGGGUACAGAUUCGGUGUGUAAACUAAUGGCUGCAUGCAAUGUGAAUGGAAAAAUGAACGAAAAAGCAUAAGUUGAUUUUUGGUGCUUAUGGGCAGAUUGACUUGAAUGCACGUGUGAUCCUAAGAGCAUCUCCAGCCGCGCCCCAGAAAGGCCUCCCCAGGCGAUUUUUUCGCGCCGGCGCAGGAAAAUAGGCUCAGCCGCGCCCUCAGGAGCCCGAUUUUCACCGGCUUGGGCCGAAAUUAGCGCCGGCGGACCUAGGCCGAACCCGGCGCGCUGGGGGGACGCUCGGGGACGCCGGGGCGAGCGGUUUUGGCGCGAAAGAGCCGCGGGCCCGCCGCGUCAGCGACACCGCACGUCGUCUUCCCCCCACGCCUCGGUUUCCCGCGGGGAAUCAAUGGCAAGGCUGCCACCGGUCAGCCUUACCAUUGAUUCCUGACGGGCGGCGCCGACGCCUCCCCUCCCUCGCAUGCGUACACACGGGCGCGGCGCGGCUAUAUAAAGCCGGCGGCUUCCCUCUCCUCUGGCCACACCAACCCUAGCCCUAGCCGCCGAGCUCUGCCUCUCCCGAGAGCUGCCGUCGAGCCCCCCUCUAGUGAGCGCCGCCGUCAAGCCCUCGCUCUCCCUCCCCUCCCGAUGGCCGAGCGUUUCCCCGGAGACGAGGCGGCGGCCAACGGCUUCGGCCGCCGCUCGGUCCGCGAACAGGAGUCUUGGCUCCUGUUCCAGGCGAACAUCCCGGCGCCGCCGGACAUGCGCGCUGGGCCGACGGGCUGGAAGCUCAGCAACGGCGGAGUGCCCAUUCCCCCGCUGCCCGACGCUGUGGCCAAACCCGGGUACUUCACCGAGGAGGUCGACGUCGUGCGCGCCUCCCUCACCGACGCCCAACUCUCCCUCCCCCAGUACGCCGCCGACAACCAUGCGGCUUGGGGGGCGUAUUUCGAGCGCCGUCAGCGGCAGUGGCUGGCGUCCACCAACGACGUGGCGGUGGUCGGCGGCCAGAAGAACAGCAAGGGGCGCCACCUGUGGUGGGGCGUCCCCGGCCGCACACUCGAGGGCGGCAACGACCCACCGUUGGCAUACCCCCCGGCGAGGGCGGCCGCCCAGGCGCACCAUCGACGCGACCGGCCAUGGGCGCCAAGGAGGUUCGGCUCCUCCUCCUCGUGCUCUUCCUCGCACUCAUCCGGCACUCCGGCGUUGCUCGGCGUCAAGGCCGAACCCGCGGCGGAGUCGUCGCUCGGCCGACGCACUCGCAGCGCCGGCAUCAUCAUCAGCGAGGGCGGCCGGCGCGCCUCCUCGUCGGCUCCUCCUCCGCGCUUCGUCAAGCCAAAGACGGAGCCGGGGCUCGCACCGGUGAAGGCAGAGCCGGGGCUCGCCGCCGUGAAGACGGAGCACGGCGAGGUCGAGCGCGACGACGACGCGACCCUUGAAUGGGCACGCCAGGACUCUCCCAAGAUGACGAUGGAGCGCCAGUGCGCCGCCCUGCAGCGCUUCGCGGAGCGCCGCCGGGGCCGCGACGAAGGAGGAGUCGUCGUCAUCGACGAUAGCGACGACAACGACGCGCCACCGCCACCACCAGUCCGCCAUGGCGACGCCGGGUCCAGCAGGGGCGCCCGCGUCAAGGAGGAGAAGGCCGACGACGAGGAUGGCGGUGAAGACGGCGACUACUCGGUGUUCAGCAAAUUUCUUUUAGAUUAGUUUAUAUAUUUGCUAUGUAAUGAAAAUCGGCGAACUUUGUCCAAAUAUAUGCCCAAGUUGACCGAAAUUUGUCGUAUUUAGCCGAACUUCGCCCAACUGUGCCAAAAUUUGCUAUAUUUUUUUAUUUAAUCGCGUCUGGGGGCGGCCCUGGGGCCGGCGGCUGAGGACCAACUCGCCCCCCAAGCCCAUUUUUUGCACCGACUCACCCCCAAGCGACGAUUUUAGGCGCCCCCUGGGCAGGGCCGUACCUAAGAAAACGGAGGCCCGGUGCAAGGUCAAAACGUGGGCCCUCAAUUUUACAUAUUUUUCUUGCUCUUUUCUAUAUCAUGAUUCAUACUUCUUAAUUCCAAAGUCAUUUCAGAAAGUAAAACAAAGAGAAAUAAAAACUGAACAUGGAGAUAAUAGGGAAUGAAGUAACCUGACAAAUGUGAGAAAUAAACUAUGGGGCGGCACCGUGUGUAGCUUUCGCUUUUUUUCUUGACGAACCAAAAUUUGGCUCGCAAAAUAAAAAAUUGGCGACCAAGAACUCAUAGGCUCCAACUUUAGUUCAGGCUCCAGUUGAUGUUGAUGCACACAGGUCACAUGGGCUUGCAACUGGCAGCGACGGAGGUUGAGCAAAACACUGAUCUGCUGGCCUGCUGAUUUGAGAUUUGAAAACAUAACACCAAAUAAACAGAUGGGGGUUGAGAAUAGAACGUUGCCUAUCUUGUUGUUCAUCGCAACAUUAUAUUGGGGAAGUCUUGAAGAAUUAAUAGGUGGGGAUUGGGAAUGGAAUUACUAGCAAAGAGUGGAGAUUGAUGAGGAUUUAAUACUUGAGAAGGGAAACGAGCCUGAGGUUUGUGGAAGACAAAGAGCUAGAGAGCCAAGUGAGAGGAGAGGAGAGGCUGGAUAAUUAUUUUGUGCAAGUUCCAAUGUACUUACUAGUUGGCUGAGUUAAUUCAAUGCCUAGAGAGAGUAGUACUAGUAGUACAUUCCCUACUCCUACUUUGAUUAUUCAACGCUCAACGCUAAUUACCACUCUUACUCCUGCUCCUCCUACUAAAUUAUCAGUUGAUUAGUAGGAAAUAUGCCAGGAUUUGGGGCCCUGCUGAUUUGGGGGCCGUGCACACCCUGCAUAGGUGCCUGAUACGGGCCUGCCACAGGGGGCCAACGGCUGGAGAUGCUCUAAUGCACAUAGCUCCACAAUGUUGACACUUGACGCAGAUAAAUCUACCACUCUACAGUUAAAACAUGCAGCCCGUCAGGUCUCGGAAGAGCUAGGCAAAUGGGGUGGCAUGCAUCACCUCAAAUUAAUACUGGGCGUGGGUUACAUACAUGUUUCUUGAGAAACCAAUCCAGAAGUCUGAAGAAAAUUAAUAAUGCAGCAGGAGGGGCAAGACGACGCCGACGGGGAAGAUGAGCAGGAUGGGCAAUAGUAUGUCGAUCCCUUUCUCUCUCUUUCCGCGUUUCCCCAUCGAGGUCCAAAUCCGGAUUGCGGAGGCUGAAAACAGGCUUUUGUCACCACGUAGGAUGGGGGAGACAUUCCGCCUCGGCCGCGGCUCAUAUGCUCCCCUGGCUCGCGGUGGCGGCGGCCCCUGACCACCUCGGCAAUCGGCGGUCGGCGGAUUCCUCCCGACGGCGUGGUCGUCAUUCGCGUCAUACAGAGAGGAGGGAGGCGGAAUGGCGUCAGCGGCGGCGGCUAAUGACGGAGGAGGAGGGAGGAGUGCGGCGCUCGUGAGGUGCAGCGCAGGUGUGUGGAUCACGAAGAAAGGGGGCAGGGUUUGUGCGUUGCGGUGGGCUAGCGAAUGGGCUGGGAGAACAGGCCCAGUUAACAACAGGGCUGCGUUUCGGCCUCGGGAGCAGCAGCCCAUAGGACAGUUGGGCCAGUAUUUACCAGAUGCGGAAUAGAUGGCUUUACACGGUAGAUCUGACGGCUGAAAUGUCUAGAUCGCGAAAACGGACGGCCGGAAGCGCAAAUCACUUGUUUAUUUGAUUUUGCAGGGCCUGGUGACGAUGAUAGAGCCUGGCGAUGAUGGCUAAUAGAAAUUGUUACUGAAUUAUCAUGUCAAUUUAGAUCACCAAAUAGGUAGAAUUGCUCAAGUACAAAUGUACAAUUCACGUUUCAGUUACAAUUUAAGCUUAUUGGCCAUGUUCAUAACUUUCUAAUAACUGAGGCAGAGUAUGUUUUCUAGAAAUGAUCCAUCGUAACCAAAUGUCUCACCACCUAAUGUUGCAUUGAGAAGCUACAGUACAAAAACCUAGCUAGAUGUAAUCUUUAGUUUGUGCACUUAAUAUCCAUUGCUAUAUUUAUCAGCAUAUUAGAAGUUGACUCUAUUUUGUUUAUGUGUCAAAGACUUCUUCAGUACUUCCUUUGUGCAAUACGAAAUGGUUUCUUUGUUCAUUUACAAGAUACAAGAAAAAUCAUUUACAAUACGGAAAUGCGUUCAAUAAAUUUGAAAUAAUCAUUUACACCCUAUUAGCUAUUCAUAUCUUCUAUCAUCUCUUCUACUUUUAGUUUGUUGAAUGCUCAAAUGGUUUCUUGCCCGCUGCGUACUGUAGGGACUGAUAAUUCCAGUACAUUCUUCAUGCUAAUUAGGGAUGAACCAUGCGUACAAGCAAUACCGAUUGUUUUCUUUAUUAAGGUUACUAUGCAAAAAUAAAUUUUGGCCUCCUUUCUGUUAUCCCCAGUGCUAUCAUUUAUCAACUCUUUGCAUCAUUCAAAAUAAAGCAAAAUCCAUUUGAUUAGAAGGAAUGGAAUUUGAUAGCUAUAUUCUUAAGUGAUGCUAUUUUGUUUACUUGCUAGCUCAGAUCAGCUAAGCAUAAUACUACUUGGUUUGGUUGGUUGCUGUUUAAUUAAUCAUGUAAACAUGGUCUUUCUCUUCUACAUGCACCAUCUGUAUCUUUUAUUUAUUAUUAAAAACAAAAAGGGGGAAGCAUAAAAAAAACAAGUGCAUGUAUUUUCUAUUUUUUUAUGGAGUUCAUUGCAGUGCAAUUCUCUGUAUUGCCACUUGUGAUGCUAGAGAUCUGUAAAUAUGAAUGCUAAUUGUCCUCUCUUUAAGGUUGUGAGUUGCAGAAUAUGUGAUGAACUGAUUUUCCACUAUGGUAUAAGUUUUGCAUUCACUCAGGCAUGUGAUUUAUUAUAGAAUAGCCUUUAUGGAUGUUGUCGAUUUUCUCGAAUGAUAAUGGUAUUUUCAAGCUUAGUCAACUGCAUUACAGAAAUAGCAUUUUUGUCCGUGCUUUUAUUGAAAAACAUUAGGACCAGUGUCGCUUAUGUAUUUUCCGAUCUUUCUCUGCUAUAUAUUGCAUGUAUUAAGUUUCAAUUAUUGUUGAUGAACUCCCAUAUUCUAUGUUGGAAGAAUAUCUUGCACUUUUACAACAUUGUAUAGUUAAGAUCAUCUAGAAGAACCUUGAAAGUAGGAUAAUAUUUUGAGGUUACGCUAGAAUUCCUUGUUGUUCUUUAAUCAUUUUACUCGUGAAGAUUAUUGUUUGUGUACAAUAUCGUGUGACGCAAAGAGAAUAACAUAUGGUUGGAAGUUUUUGAUAAAGCUACAUGUUAUAAUUAGUCUCCAUAGGAUCUACAAUUUUUUAAUCAUUUUAUUUGAUAAGUGGAUGGGCCAUGUGCCAUGAAAGUAAAUUUCCAACACUAACGAAAACUGCAUCUAAUCUGUUGCCUCUCAUGCCAUCAGUUGUUUGGACCGUUCAUUUUUAAGAUUGGUCUGUUUCUGGCCGUUGGAUGCACGUGGGUCUCUGUUUUGUGUGAAAACGUGACCACCAGCUGGGCCUGAUGUCUUAAGAGCAGCUAUUUUGGAGUAUUGUCGUUAAUUGCGCCAGACAACCCAUCUAAGGCCUUGUACAAUGGAAGAUGCUUAGAGAGAUGUUUAGAAAAAUAAACCGAGAUUUUCUCAGGCACCGGUGCCUAUUUCUAUAGGAGAGACGCUUAGUUAAGCGUCUACCCUGUACAAAUAAGAACGGGUGCUUAAGGAAAGUCUGGUUUAUUUCUCUAACCACCUCCCCUAAGCACCUCUCAUUGUAGAAGGCCUAAGGAAGCCAGAGGAGGCGGUCGACGGAGCCCAGUCGCGCGAGUGGAUCGAGCACCAAGAUCCCAACCGAGGCGAGCGAGGAGGCGCGCAAGGAUCGAACGCGACACGCUUCAGCCAAGGUUGCAAGGGAAGCCGAUCCAGCCGACGAGGGAAUCCAGUGGACACGCUGGAUGCGGAUGAAUCAGAGGCCCGGUCGAUCCUCAACGAAGUGGGAAGGAGGACGCGUGCGAUGAUGGCCGGCAACGCAUCUGAUGGGAACUGAUCGCAAUCGUACUUCAGUUUCUAAGAGCGCAUUCAUGGCGAUUGUUAUGCCCAUACUUUCCGACAGCACAAGCAUCUUUCAGCAUCAUGCUCUGGUAUUACUUAUGCAAGAUUCCUUAAGAUUCGUCAUUGAGGUUUACAAUCGUUCAUUAUUAUUUUAGUUGUUCUUUAAGAUUCGUCAUUGUGCCCUACAUGAGUCCCUAUCAAAAUUUGCAUGUGUUAACUCUGUAUGUAUGUAUGCAAUUUGAUAUUUUAUAAUACUAACAUUUGUCCACUUUGUCCUAAAGUAGUUUUUGUUGCUUGGAGGUGAGCAGAGCGAAGGUGUCCCAUUAUCAUGAUUCAGCAGACUCAUGUUAUUCUCUUUAUUGUCAAUGCAACCGAUUCCAGUUUAUAUCUCUACUUGGAAUAAAAAAAUACAUAUAUGAACCUGACUUCUUAUGUAGCUAUGUUCAAUGAACACAGCAGCAUGUUUUUGUUGGGCUGCAGACAUCCCCGUUCUGCGACAGGUGAUACAUAGGGAAUUAGGAUUUUAGAAAAUUUGCAUCCAGAAAUCUUCGGAAGUAAAACAUGUAAAUGUGGACAAGUAUGAAAGCAAUACAAAAGACAACAUUUUAAUUUUCAAGUUAUAAAGUGGAAUCCAUAGAUUACACAUGAAUGUUGUCUCCUAAAAGUGAAUAAUAACAAGACAUCCGUUCAUUCAAAUUGGUGAAUAUUUCUCAAGAUGGGUAAGAUUGACUUUCUCAGAUAGUGUGCAGUAUUAUGACCGUCCCUUUGACUACAUACAUGUUUGUCUCUAUGUUGUGAACUUGCAAGACCUGGAAGAACCAACCUAUAUGUUUAAAUUUUGAAAUCUUGGUGAUGUUGUUUUCCCCCUCUUUGCGCACACUUCUCCUAUUGUUUUAGCGACAAACACUUCAUUGCUAAUCAGCCUUUCAAUGACUAUAUCCUUUUUGGCUGAUAGUCUCCUUAAACCUUUAAAUCAGUUUUUUUAACUGGUGCUCAAUAUAAUGGAUUAUAAUGGUCAGCUGCUUAAUAUAAGAGCUUGGUAACUUGACUUUACGAAUUUAUCGUCCCUUUUUUGAAAUAUUUUCUGUCAAUUCUGAGCUCAAUAUAAUGAAUACAAUUUUGCAAACAGAUUAUUUAUGUAUGUUUCUUAGAAAACAUUGCUCCUUGAAUAAUACCCCAUGAUACUUAAACAAGCUAUAUGUCACUUUUACCAGUUCAGUUUGGUGGUGGUUUAUAUUGAGGAUUUGAUCAUUGCUCAUGCAUGCUAAAAGAUUUAUCUGACAUGCAGUUUUGUUCAGGUACAUUUCAUUCUUUUGUACAAUGAAAACUAUUGUUGGUAUAUUUGAUAGCUAGACUGUGCACAUAAGUGUAGAGGCCAUUAGUUAUGUUGUUCAAGCUAUGUUGGUAUCUGUUUGAAGAUUAAUUCCAGUUGGAUAUGUUCCAUUGUCAUCUGACAUUUAAUAGUAAAAUAUACUAUUGAAAAUUAGUUAAAUAUACAUUGAACAGUUCAAAUAAAGAAAUGUCAUGUCAGAUAAGUUAAGCUGACUACAUAUUUGUCAAUGGCUUCCUCAAAUGUAGGUUUCAAAUCAAAUGUCAUUCAAAACUCAUCCUUGAAUUACUUUUAUACUUGAAUAACCGGACUACAUCAUGGAGUUGUCGUCUUUGAAGUUUGAUGAAAUAAGGCCCAUGGUUGUUUGUUUUCCACUCUUAAAUUGCCUUUAGUUUGAAAUAAGGCGCAUGGUUGUUUGCUUUCCACUCUUAAAUUGCCUUUUUGACAACAACAAAAAACUAUACUAAUAGGACUUUUGAUUUUCCCUUCUUCCUGUACUUUUUCUAUAUCACAAAGAAUUGUUCAUGCCUUAUCUGUCCAUUUCAUGUUGACAUUUCAACUUGACCAUUACGAGAGCAUCAUGAUUUUAUUUAUGAUUAUUGCUGUUGUAGAGGUGUUAAAUAUAUAAAGUAUGAAAGGUAUAAUUUCAUGAAAGUACUUUGUAAUAUCAGCUUCCUUUGCCUGAUUGAUGUUGCUUUACAGUCUUAUUUGUCGGCAUUUUGUUCAGCGAGUUAAUGCUUUUUCCAUGCUGUGAGGUCAUAUAUGUUGCAGGCACAGAGCAGCAAAGAUUUUUCCAUAGACACAAAAGCAAUGCUCCCGCUGUAGCAUUAAUUACACACACUCGUAUUUCCUAGGCUGCUAUAUAAAUACGUACAAAAGGAUUGCUAUAUCAAAUACACGUUUAUGAUCAAUGCGUAUUAUCUUCCUUCUGACAAUGCUUACCCUGCUUACAGUAAUCUACAUGGGUCUGGUUCCUUUUAAUAUCAAUAUUUGUCAUCAGAUUCUGAUAUACAUUGUUUCUGUCCAAAAUAUACAGGGUGCACAUUUUCUACAUUUAAUUUCGACUAAGACUUUCUUUUCUUGGUGGUAUGAUCACUUACCAGUAAUUUGAUGGUUAUCUAUAUAUAUAUAUAUAUAUAUAUAUAUAUAUUGAAUUUUCAUAGCAUUUUAACCUCCGAUAUCAAUAUAUUUUCAUAAUAUAAAUUGUUCAAUUUCAUUUCCAAUGUAUUUUACUCAUAUAUUUUUAUUAUUUCAUAAUAUGAAUGGUAUGACAAAUAUAUGAUUUAGUCGUUUGCAAAAAAAAUUCUUGACUCAUGUAUUUUUCAAAAUUCCUUUCAUUCUUUUAAAAAUAGACGGGCGCGGCAACACGCGCCAUCAAUGAUCUAGUCAUAAGUGAUGUCCCGACCAGAUUCUUUCAACAUCAAUGAUUUUACUUUUUGGCAAGAUACUUUGGAGGUACGUAAAGCUAUAGAUCAGCGAUGGAUCAACGUUGAGGUCAGGUAAAGAGGCGAUCUGUCCACUUCUUCUAGGGUGGCUGCUACGGUGGUGCCGGAGUUGAGUGACGGGCAUUGGUAUCUUGCUCAAGGGUUUCUUCAGCCAAGACUAGCUAAGGGUAGUUUUUGCAAUAGCUAGGGUUGUCCUAUAUUUUUUGGUUCUGUCAAGUCGGUGUUUAAGUGGAUUGUAAUUUGAUAUUUAUUUUAUAAUUGAGACACACAUUACAUCAUGAAAGGAAAAAUCAAGGCUACAGAUCAACAUGACCUCGUGUGUCCCGCAUGACCGCCCAGGACCUGUGUAUUGCGUACGCCGGAUCGUAGGCGCAUACACGAUAUUAGAGCAACUCUAGCAGACCCCGCAUCCCGCCCCGAUUCGCAAAAUAACUGCCAAAGUGCGGGUCGGGGCGCGAAAAACGUCCAGAUCAGACCCCGCAUCCCGCCCCGGCCCGCAAAUUUUUUUGCGGGGCACGGCAAAACAUCUCCCCCAACCUCUAGAUUCACGGGCUAGAGGGACGACCCGAGCUCAGCCCCUAUCCGCAACGAGAUUUGGUGGGAGGGACAUUUCAGCGUGGCCGUUCCCGCUCCCCCCGCCCUCCGCCACCAUUGCCCCACCACCGCACGCUCCCCAGCCGUCCUUCACCACCAUGGAUGACUCCCUGCUGUCCCCCGUCAUGGUCGAGGUCGCUAGCGCUCCUUCUCCUCGGGCGGAUCUCGUCGCCGGCCCUAUUGGCCCCGCCAUGGCCCAAGGUCAAUCCGCGCCUGCCCGCAAGCGGCAGGGCAACGUGGUCAUGCAGGGCAGCGCUCUGGUAGCCCCUCCCCCCGAGGGCCCGCGCUCCAGGCACCAACGCUGCUGCGUGAUCUCGGCCGGCGGCGGAGAAGGUCGCAAAGGUCGCCGGCGUCAAGAGGAAGAAGAUUCUGGCCACAAAGAAGCCGCCUCCUUCAUCCGCUCACUCCGGCCUGGAAAGAGGUGCCCCGGGAUGCCGCUCAACGGUGCCGCUCCCCCCACAAGCGAGGUGUUUGACGAAAUGGCCGGCAGGUAUGUGUCUUCGGUCAUGGCAAUUUUCUUUGCUUUUCGCCAUUUUGCGAUAGCUCGUGACUUGUUGUGCUUCACUAUAGCGGUGGUUCGAACAAUGCAACUGCCGAGUUCGUGAACUUGUUGGACACCAACGCCGUUGACAUUGAUCAAGUCCCGUUUGAAGCAUUCGACUACAAUGAAACCGAGGCCGGCGUGGACAAUCAUGGUUUUCAGGACGAUUUACAGGAGAUCGAAGAGGAAGCAUAUGAGCAAUCGCAAACAAAAAGUGGGAAAAGCCAGAGAUUGAAGAACUACACGAUCUUGGAAGAUCAAGUUCUCAUCAAUGCAUGGAGUGCCGUGUCUCUUGAUGCAUGCACGGGUACUUCUCAAACCGCCAAGAGGUAUUGGCAAAGGAUCAAAGAUCAAUACUUCUGCAUGAUGGCAAAGUACCCCAAUAGGACUCCACACACAUUUCGGUCUCUUCAAGGUCGUUGGGAGAAUAUCAAGCCUAUGUGCAGCUGUUAGGCAGCUUGCUUGGAGAGCAAGUACACAAUGCACCUCCAAGUGGAGCCGUGGAAUCCGACUAUGUGAGUUUGUUUUGCCUUUGUUCAACUUGUGCAUCAUCAUAUUACAUCAUAUGAAAUGAUUGCAUCAUUUCACUUUGUUCACAUUGUGUAGAAAAAAAUGCCCAACAUAGAUACAAAGACAUGGAAGCUUCGGAAGGCAAAUUUUUUAAACUAGAGCAUUGUUGGGAGUUGCUCCAAAUGUGCGAUAAGUGGAAGUUGAUCGAUAAAGAAUCCCCACAGAAGAGAGGCUCACUUACAAACAUGGAUGAUGAUGAGGAUGAUGAUGGCCCAAGAAAUUUGAACAAGCCCGAUGGCGACAAGAAGACUAAGGAGAAGAUGAAGAGAGAGCAUGAAGCAUCGAGCUUGAGGGAGAAGAUUGAUGCCAUGGUGUAAUCAAAUGAGUUGAUGUUGUUGAAGUCAUUGGAGAUCAAGAAAGAGUUGGCCGAGAAGAAGGGAAAGGAGAAGCAAGAAAAGUGGCAAUUGCUCAAGGAAGAGGGGCUGCGCAAAGCGGCCAUUGAGGAUAGAAGAGCACGCGUCGAUGAAAACAAAGCCAUGUCCAAGUUGCUCGCCGAAGAGAACAAGAUCAUGUCAAUGAACCGCAAUGACGUGGACGACCUCACCAAAACAUGGCAUGAUAUGGCAAGGAGAGAAAUCUUGAAGACGAGAAAGGUUUUGUCGGCCGGUGCGUGUUACAGUUCCGGAGAUGUUUUCUCUGCUGGCAAUGUCGAUGAUUUCGGUGCGGGAGUUGGAACAAGCGCCGGAGGUGGAUUCAGUGGUGGUGAUGAACUUCAAGAUGGACUCGAUGGUGGGAGUGAAGAUCGACCAAGAUGAUGCCGGACGUGGUCGUCACUUUUGCAAGACACUCUUUUGCAUUUGUCCUACUAAACUGAGGCUUUUAUUUGCGCGUAAACUGUGUUAUGUUGUUUGAAUUUGAACUUAUUUGUGGGCACCAAUGUCAAAUUUGAGAAUUGGGCAUUUUCUGUUUGCGGGUCGACACGGCGGUGCCUGUGCAGACACCGCAAAAGCCAACUCGUAAAAAAGUAUAUCCUUUUAUAUGGGUCCGUUUGAGGGUCUGCAUCUGCGGCCGUGCGAGUCAGCCCGCAAAAAGCCGUUUUCCACGAACUGCAAAUGCGUUUUGCGGGCCGGCCGAAUGCGGGGCCGGGUAGAGUUGCUUGUCAGUACUUCAUAUGUUCAUAUCCAUAACCAAAAUAAUAGGUGCGGAUAAGCAUGUCUUAAUUAACCACCAUAUAAUGGGAUACUAAUAGGAUCCAGUUUAUCCCCUAUACUUAGCAAAACUAUAAAUUUAUACUAGCGAACUAGAAUAAUAAUAAGCUUCGCGUCCACCCAUUUACCUGUUUUAAUGUUUCAAUAUAUGUUAUUAAUGUUGGGGAACGUAGUGAUUUCAAAAAAUUUCCUACGCACACGCAAGAUCAUGGUGAUGCAUAGCAACGAGAGGGGAGAGUGUUGUCUACGUACCCUCGUAGACCGGAAGCGGAAGCGUUAGCACAACGCGGUUGAUGUAGUCGUAAGUCUUCACGGCCCGACCGAUCAAGCACCGAAACUACGACACCUCCGAGUUCUAGCACACGUUCAGCUCGAUGACGAUCCCCGGACUCCGAUCCAACAGAUUGGGAAGAGUUCCGUCAGCACGAUGGCGUGGUGACGAUCUUGAUGUUCUACCGUCGCAGGGCUUCGCCUAAGCACCGCUACAAUAUUAUCGAGGAUUAUGGUGGAGGAGGGCACCGCACGGCAAAUAGAUCUCAAGGAUCAAUUGUUGUGUCUAUGGGGUGCCCCCCUACACCCGUAUAUAAAGGAGCAAGGGGGGAGGCAGCCGGCCUAGGAGGAGGGCGCGCCAAGGGGGGAGUCCUACUCCCAUCGGGAGUAGGACUCCUCCUUCCCUUGUUGGAGUAGGAGAGAAGUAAAGAGGAGGAGAGGAACAAGGAAAAGGGGGCUGCACCCCUUGUCCAAUUCGGACCAGAGGGGGAGCGCGCGCCUCCUUCCUUUUGGCCUCUCUCCUCUAUUCCCGUAUGGCCCAAUAAGGCCCGGCGAAUUCACGUAACUGUCCAGUACUCCAAAAAAUACCCGAAUCACUCGGAACCUUUCUGAUGUCCGAAUAUAGUCGUCCAAUAUAUCAAUCUUUACGUCUCGACCAUUUCGAGACUCCUCGUCAUAUCCCCGAUCUCAUCCGGGACUCCGAACUCCUUAGGUACAUCAAAACUCAUAAACUCAUAAUAUAAUUGUCAUCGAAACCUUAAGCGUGCGGACCCUACGGGUUCGAGAACAAUGUAGACAUGACUGCGACACGUCUCCGGUCAAUAACCAAUAGCGGAACCUGAAUGCUCAUAUUGGCUCCCACAUAUUCUACGAAGAUCUUUAUCGGUCAAACCACAUAACAACAUACGUUGUUCCCUUUGCCAUCGGUAUGUUACUUGCCCGAGAUUCGAUCGUUGGUAUCUCAAUACCUAGUCCAAUCUUGUUACCGGCAAGUCUCUUUACUCGUUCCAUAACACAUCAUCCCGCAACUAACUCAUUAGUUGCAAUGCUUGCAAGGCUUAUAGUUAUGUGCAUUACCGAGUGGGCCCAGAGAUACCUCUCUGACAAUCGGAGUGACAAAUCCUAAUCUCGAAAUAUGCCAACCCAACAAGUACCUUCGGAGACACCUGUAGAGCACCUUUAUAAUCACCCAGUUACGUUGUGACGUUUGGUAGCACAUAAAGUGUUCCUUCGGUAAACGGGAGUUGCAUAAUCUCAUAGUCAUAGGAACAUGUAUAAGUCAUGAAGAAAGCAAUAGCAACAAACUAAACGAUCAAGUGCUAUGCUAACGAAAUGGGUCAAGUCAAUCACAUCAUUCUCCUAAUGAUGUGAUCCCGUUAAUCAAAUGACAACUCAUGUCUAUGGUUAGGAAACAUAACCAUCUUUGAUCAACAAGCUAGUCAAGUAGAGGCAUACUAGUGACACUCUGUUUGUCUAUGUAUUCACACAUGUAUUAUGUUUCCGGUUAAUACAAUUCUAGCAUGAAUAAUAAACAUUUAUCAUGAUAUAAGGAAAUAAAUAAUAACUUUAUUAUUGCCUCCAGGGCAUAUUUCCUUCAGUCUCCGACUUGCACUAGAGUCAAUAAUCUAGUUCACAUCGCCAUGUGAUUUAACAUCAAUAGUUCACAUCACCAUGUGAUUAACACCCAUAGUUCACAUCGUCAUGUGACCAACACCCAAAGGGUUUACUAGAGUCAAUAAUCUAGUUCACAUUGCUAUGUGAUUAAUACCCAAAGAGUACUAAGGUGUGAUCAUGUUUUGCUUGUGAGGGAAGUUUAGUCAACGGGUCUGCUACAUUCAGAUCCGUAUGUAUUUUGCAAAUUUCUAUGUCAACAAUGCUCUGCACGGAGCUACUCUAGCUAAUUGCUCCCACUUUAAAUAUGUAUCUUGAUUGAGACUUUGAGUCAUGGAUCAGUGUCAAAACUUGCAUCGACGUAACCCUUUACAAUGAACCUUUUGUCACCUCCAUAAUCGAGAAACAUAUCCUUAUUCCACUAAGGAUAAUUUUGACCAAUGUCCAGUGAUCUACUCCUAGAUCACUAUUGUACUCCCUUGCCAAACUCAGGGCAGGGUAUACAAUAGGUCUGGUACACAGCAUGACAUACUUUAUAGAACCUAUGGCUAAGGCAUAGGGAAUGACUUUCAUUCUCUCUCUAUCUUCUUCCGUGGUCGGGUUUUGAGUCUUACUCAACUUCACACCUUCUAACACAGGCAAGAACUCCUUCUUUGACUGUUCCAGUUUGAACUACUUCAAAAUCUUGUCAAGGUAUGUACUUACUGAAAAACUUAUCAAGCGUCUUGAUCUAUCUCUAUAGAUCUUGAUGCUCAAUAUGUAAGAAGCUUCACCGAGGUCUUUAUUUGAAAAACUCCUUUCAAACAUUCCUUUAUGCUUUGCAGAAUAAUUCUACAUUAUCUCCGAUCAAGUAUAUGUCAUUCACAUAUACUUAUCAGAAAUGCUGUAGUGCUCCCACUCACUUUCUUGUAAAUACAGGCUUCACCGCAAGUCUGUAUAAAACUAUAUGCUUUGAUCAACUUAUCAAAGCGUAUAUUCCAACUCCGAGAUGCUUGCACUAGUCCAUAGAUGGAUCACCGGAGCUUGCAUAUUUUGUUAGCACCUUUAGGAUUGACAAAACUUUCUUGUUGCAUCAUAUACAACUCUUCUUUAAUAAAUCCAUUAAGGAAUGUAGUUUUGUUUAUCCAUUUGCCAGAUUUCAUAAAAUGUGGCAAUUGCUAAUAUGAUUUGGAUAGACUUAAGCAUAGAUACGAGUGAGAAACUCUCAUCAUAGUCAACACCUUGAACUUGUCGAAAACCUUUUUGUUGGUGGUAGGUGCGACAUAUGCCAACGGGUGGCUUAUCAUUGUGGGAGCCAGUAGGACGUCGCCGGUGCCUGGAAGCGGGAUGAGGCGAAGACAUGCACGCCGGCGAAUCUUACCCAGCUUCAGGGCUCUCCGUGGAGAUAACACCCCUACUGCUGCUCUGCGGGGUCUCCGCAUGAUCACUAGAUGAACGAGUGGCUACCAGAUGCUCCUUGAGAUGUUUGGCGAGAAGAAGAAGAAGGGCACGGCUAGCUCUCCUCUCCUCUCUAUGUGGUGUCUAAAACUAGCUCAGAUCAACCCUUUGCAUGGGUGCCCCGGGGGGUUUAUAUAGGCCCACCCCCCGGGGGUACAAUGGUAAUCCAGCUGGGCGUGGGCCCUAGCCGUCUGUGUCUACGCUCGCCGGCUUCUGCCCCGGCUGGUGGGGCCCGCCGGCUGGUGGGUCCCGCCGGCUGCCGGCUCCUUGGUCGACAGGCAGGCCCCACCGUCAAGGGCCUUGUCGGUGGCUGAUUACUGUUGCCUCAAACCUGGUGACGAGGGCUUCGCCGAGGUGGGCGUGGCUACAGUGCCGCCGCCCGGCGGGCGAUCGCUGUAGCCUCACCACGUCUUGUCUCCUUAAUGGGGCGUCUCCUCCGAGGGAGGAGGCAAGCCGGCUGUGGGGAGCCGGCCCUGUCUUGGGCCGACUGGGGGAGGCCUGGCCGCCUUUGGGUGUCUCUCUACAUGAAGGGGCCCACUGCCCGUGGGCCGCGCUGACAACCCGUCGUGGGUGGCAUCAGGGUCAACAUGGCAAUAGUGCCGUUCCGGACGGGUCAUGGCCACCCCGUACGGCGCACUGUGCCAGGCGUGCUCCGGGAUUCGGGGGUGGCAGGCUUUACUGUAGCCACGCCCCGCCACAUCGCCGUUAUGUGGAUGUAGACUUCGAGGGUACGAUCUUGACCGCUUUGUGGGAGCCGGCUUCUUGGAGUCGGCCUUCUCGCGGCCGGCUUCUUGGAGCCGGCCCUCCCGCGGCUUUCUUCAUGAGGGCUAAAGCCGGGCCUCCUUCCGAUAGUCGGCCUGGGUGACAGCCAGCAAGGGGAAGGCGGCCCCACGUCUUGGAUUCUUGAGGGCUGGAUCAGCUCGUAAUUUUUUCAGUGGGGCCAGGGGGAGCCGGCUAGGCUACCCGUGGUCGUUUACUCCGACACUUUUGCGACAAUUCUAGCUUUGUAGAUAGUAACAGUACUAUCAGCGUCCGUCUUCCUCUUGAAGAUCCAUUUAAUCUCAAUUGCUUGCCGAUCAACGGGCAAGUCAACCAAAGUCCACACUUUGUUCUCAUACAUGGAUCCCAUCUCAGAUUUCAUGGCCUCAAGCCAUUUCACGGAAUCUGGGCUCAUCAUAGCUUCCUCAUAGUUCGUAGGUUCAUCACGGUCAAGUAACAUGAACUCCAGAGUAGGAUUACCGUACCACUCUGGUGCGGAUCUCACUCUGGUUUACGUACGAGGUUCGGUAGUAACUUGAUCUGAAGUUACAUGAUCAUCAUCAUUAGCUUCCUCACUAAUUGGUGUAGUAGUCAUAGGAACAGAUUUCUGUGAUGAACUACUUUCCAACAAGGGAGCAGGUACAGUUACCUCAUCAAGUUCUACUUUCCUCUCACUCACUUCUUUCGAGAGAAACUCCUUCUCUACAAAAGAUCCAUUCUCAGCAACGAAUAUCUUGCCUUCGGAUCUGUGAUAGAAGGUGGACCCAACAUUUUCUUUUGGGUAUCCUAUGAAGACGCACUUCUCCGAUUUGGGUUUGAGCUUAUCAGGUUGAAACUUUUUCACAUAAGCAUUGCAACCUCAAACUUUAAGAAACGACAGCUUAGGUUUGUUGCCAAACCAUAGUUCAUACGGUGUCGUCUCAACGGAUUUAGAUGGUGCCCUAUUUAACGUGAAUGUAGCUGUCUCUAAUGCAUAACCCCAAAACGAUAGUCGUAAAUUGGUAAGAGACAUCAUAGAUCGCACCAUAUCUAAUAAAGUACGGUUAUGAUGUUCGGACACACCAUUACACUGUGGUGUUCCAAGUGGCGUGAGUAGUGAAACUAUUUCACAUUGUUUUAACUGAAGGCCAAACUCGUAACUCAAAUAUUUUACUUCUGCGAUCAUAUCGUAGAAACUUUUAUUUUUGUUACGAUGAUUCUCCACUUCACUCUGAAAUUCUUUGAACUUUUCAACUAUUUCAGACUUGUGUUUCAUUAAGUAGAUAUACCCAUAUCUGCUCAAAUCAUCUGUGAAGGUCAGAAAAUAACGAUACUUGCCGUGAGCCUUAACACUCAUCGGACCGCAUACAUCAGUAUGUAUUAUUUCUAAUAAGUCAGUUGCUCGAUCCAUUGUUCCGGAGAACGGAGUCUUAGUCAUUUUGCCCAUGAGGCAUGGUUCGCAAGCAUCAAGUGAUUCCAAAAGUCCAUCAACAUGGAGUUUCUUCAUGCGCUUUACACCAAUAUGACCUAAACGGCAGUGCCACAAAUAAGUUACACUAUCAUUAUUAAUUUUGCAUCUUUUGGUUUCAAUAUUAUGAAUAUGUGUAUGACUACGAUCGAGAUCCAACGAACCAUUUUCAUUGGGUGUGUAACCAUAUAAGGUUUUAUUCAUGUAAACAGAACAACAAUUUAUUCUCUUACUUAAAUGAAUAACUGUAUUGCAAUAAACAUGAUCAAAUCAUAUUCAUGCUCAACGCAAACACCAAAUAACACUUAUUUAGGUUCAACACUAAUCCCGAAAGUAUAGGGAGUGUGCGAUGAUGAUCAUAUCAAUCUUGAAACCACUGCCAACACACAUCGUCACUUCACCCUUAACUAGUCUCUGUUCAUUCUGCAACUCCCGUUUCGAGUUACUACUCUUAGCAACUGAACCAGUAUCAAAUGCCGAGGGGUUGCUACGAACACUAGUAAAAUACACAUCAAUAAUAUAUAUAUCAAAUAUAUCUUUGUUCACUUUGCCAUCCUUCUUAUCCGCCAAAUACUUGGGGCAGUUCCGCUUCCAGUGACCAGUCCCUUUGUAGUAGAAGGACUUAGUCUCAGGCUUAGGACCAGACUUGGGCUUCUUCACUUGAGCAGCAACUUGCUUGUCGUUCUUCUUGAAGUUCCCCUUCUUCCCUUUGCCCUUUCUCUUGAAACUAGUGGUCUUGUCAACCAUCAACACUUGAUGUUUUUCUUGAUUUCUACCUUCGCCGAUUUUUGCAUCACGAAGAGCUUGGGAAUCGUUUCUGUUAACCCUUGCAUAUUAUAGUUCAUCACGAAGUUCUACUAACUUGGUGAUGGUGACUAGAGAAUUCUGUCAAUCACUAUUUUAUCUGGAAGAUUAACUCCCACUUGAUUCAAGCGAUUGUAGUACCCAGACAAUCUGAGCACAUGCUCACUGUUUGAGCUAUUCUCCUCCAUCUUUUAGCUAUAGAACUUGUUGGAGACUUCAUAUCUCUCAACUCGGGUAUUUACUUGAAAUAUUAACUUCAACUCUUGGAACAUCUCAUAUGGUCCAUGACAUUCAAAACGUCUUUGAAGUCCCGAUUCUAAGCUGUUAGGCAUGGUGCACUAAACUAUCAAGUAGUCAUCAUAUUGAGCUAGCCAAACGUUCAUAACGUCUACAUCUACUCCUGCAAUAGGUCUGUCACCUAGCGGUGCAUCAAAGACAUAAUUCUUCUGUGCAGCAAUGAGGAUAAUCCUCAGAUCACGGAUCCAAUCCGCAUCAUUGCUACUAACAUUUUUCAACAUAAUUUUUCUCUAGGAACACAAUAAACUGGGAGCAACAUCGCGAGCUAUUGAUCUACAACAUAGAUAUGCUAAUACUACCAGGACUAAGUUCAUGAUAAAUUAAAGUUCAAUUAAUCAUAUUACUUAAGAACUCCCACUUAGACAGACAUCCCUCUAAUAUUCUAAGUGAUCACGUGAUCCAUAUCAACUAAACCAUGUCCGAUCAUCACGUGAGAUGGAGUAGUUUUAAUGGUGAAAAACACUAUGUUGAUCAUAUCUACUAUAUGAUUCACAUUCGACCUUUCGGUCUCCGUGUUCCGAGGCCAUAUCUGUUAUAUGCUAGGCUCGUCAAGUUUAACCUGAAUAUUCCGCGUGUGCAACUGUUUUGCACCCGUUGUAUUUGAAUGUAGAGCCUAUCACACCCGAUCAUCACGUGGUGUCUCAGCACGAAGAACUUUCGCAAUGGUGCAUACUCAGGGAGAACACUUGUACCUUGAUAAUUAGUGAGAGAUCAUCUUAUAAAGCUACCGUCGAACUAAGCAAAAUAAGAUGUAUAAAAGAUAAACAUCAUAUGCAAUCAAAAUAUGUGACAUGAUAUGGCCAUCAUCAUCUUGUGCCUUUGAUCUCCAUCUCCAAAGUAUCAUCAUGAUCUCCAUCGUCACUGGCAUGACACCAUAAUCUCCAUCAUCUUGAUCUAUAUCAAUGUGUCGUCACAUGGUUGUCUCGCCAACAAUUUCUCUUGCAACUAUUGCUAUCGCAUAGCGAUAAAGUAAAGCAAUUAUUUGGUGCUUGCAUCUUAUGCAAUAGAGAGAUAACCAUAAGGCUUUUGCCUGUUGCCGAUAACUUCAACAAAACAUGAUCAUCUCAUACAACAACUUAUAUCUCAUCACGUCUUGACCAUAUCACAUCACAACAUGCCCUGCAAAAACAAGUUAGACGUCCUCUACUUUGUUGUUGCAAGUUUUACGUGGCUGCUACGGGCUUAGCAAGAACCGUUCUUACCUACGCAUCAAAACCACAACGAUAGUUUGUCAAGUUGGUGCCGUUUUAACCUUCGCAAGGACCGGGUGUAGCCACACUUGGUUCAACUAAAGUUGGAGAAACUGACACCCGCCAGCCACAUGUGUGUAAAGCACGUCGGUAGAACCAGUCUCGCGUAAGCAUACGCGUAAUGUCGGUCCGGGCCGCUUCAUCCAACAAUACCACCGAACCAAAAUGUGACAUGCUGGUAAGCAGUAUGACUUAUAUCGCCCACAACUCACUUGUGUUCUACUCGUGCACAACAUCAACACAUAAAACCUAGGCUCUGAUACCACUGUUGGGGAACGUAGUAAUUUCAAAAAAUUUCCUACGCACAUGCAAGAUCAUGGUGAUGCAUAGCAACGAGAGGGGAGAGUGUUGUCUACGUACCCUCGUAGACCGGAAGCGGAAGCGUUAGCACAACGCGGUUGAAGUAGUCGUAAGUCUUCACGGCCCGACCGAUCAAGCACCGAAACUACGAUACCUCCGAGUUCUAACACACGUUCAGCUCGAUGACGAUCCCCGGACUACGAUCCAGUAGAAUGUCGGGGAAGAUUUCCGUCAGCACGACGGCGUGGUGACGAUCUUGAUGUUCUACCGUCGCAGGGCUUCGCCUAAGCAACGCUACAAUAUUAUCGAGGAUUAUGGUGGAGGAGGGCACCACACACGGCUAAUAGAUCUCAAGGAUCAAUUAUUGUGUCUAUGGGGUGCCCCCUGCCCCCGUAUAUAAAGGAGCAAGGGGGGAGCGGCCGGUCUAGGAGGAGGGCGCGCCAAGGGGGGAGUCCUACUCCCACCGGGAGUAGGACUCCUCCUUCCCUUGUUGGAGUAGGAGAGAAGGAAAGAGGGGGAGAGGAACAAGGAAAAGGGGGCUGCACCCCUUGUCCAAUUCGGACCAGAGGGGGGCGCGCACCUCCUUCCUUUUGGCUUCUCUCCUCUAUUCCCGUAUGGCCCAAUAAGGCCCAUAUACUCCGCGGCGAAUUCCCGUAACUCUCCGGUACUCCAAAAAAUACCUGAAUCACUCGGAACCUUUCCGAUGUCCGAAUAUAGUCGUCCAAUAUAUUGAUCUUUACGUCUCGACCAUUUCGAGACUCCUCUUCAUGUCCCCGAUCUCAUCCGGGACUCCGAACUCCUUAGGUACAUCAAAAUUCAUAAACUCAUAAUAAAACUGUCAUCGAAACCUUAAGCGUGCGGACCCUACAGGUUCGAGAACAAUGUAGACAUGACCGAGACACGUCUCCAGUCAAUAACCAAUAGCGGAACCUGGAUGCUCAUAUUGGCUCCCACAUAUUCUACGAAGAUCUUUAUCGGUCAAACCGCAUAACAACAUACGUUGUUCCCUUUGCCAUCGGUAUGUUACUUGCCCGAGAUUCGAUCGUUGGUAUCUCAAUACCUAGUUCAAUCUCGUUACCGGCAAGUAUCUUUACUCGUUCCAUAACACAUCAUCCCGCAACUAACUCAUUAGUUGCAAUGCUUGCAAGGCUUAUAGUGAUGUGCAUUACCGAGUGGGCCCAGAGAUACCUCUCCGACAAUCGGAGUGACAAAUCCUAAUCUCGAAAUACGCCAACCCAACAAGUACCUUUGGAGACACCUGUAGAGCACCUUUAUAAUCACCCAGUUACGUUGUGACGUUUGGUAGCACACAAAGUGUUCCUCCGGUAAACGGGAGUUGCAUAAUCUCAUAGUCAUAGGAACAUGUAUAAGUCAUGAAGAAAGCAAUAGCAACAAACUAAACGAUCAAGUGCUAUGCUAACGGAAUGGGUCAAGUCAAUCAUAUCAUUCUCCUAAUGAUGUGAUCCCGUUAAUCAAAUGACAACUCAUGUCUAUGGUUAGGAAACAUAACCAUCUUUGAUCAACGAGCUAGUCAAGUAGAGGCAUACUAGUGACACUCUAUUUGUCUAUGUAUACACACAUGUAUUAUCUUUCCGGUUAAUACAAUUCUAGCAUGAAUAAUAAACAUUUAUCAUGAUAUAAGGAAAUAAAUAAUAACUUUAUUAUAGCCUCUAGGGCAUAUUUCCUUCAAUUAAUUGAUUCCACUGCUGAUGGUCGGCAACCCAUCUGCUGGGAACUGAUCAUAAUCGUACAUCAGUUUCUAAGAGAGCAUUCAUGGCGAUUGUUGUGCCCAUCGUUUCCGCUGUCCAGUGGUACUUCUAUAUUGUUCCUCCCAUAACAAUCCUCGGUCACCCUCUCUUCUCAGACAGCACAAGCAUCUUUCAUCAUCAUGCUCUGGUAUUACUUAUGCAUGAUUCCUUAAGAUUCGUCAUUGAUGUUUACAAUCGUUCAUUAUUUUAGUUGUUCUUUCAGAUUCGUCAUUGUGCCCUACAUGAGUCUCUGUCAAAAUUUGCAUGUGUUAACUCUGUAAGUAUGUAUGUAUGCAAUUUGAUAUUUUAUAAUACUAACAUUUGUCCACUUUGUCCUAAAGUAGUUUUUGCUGCUUGGAGGUGAGCAGAGCGAAGGUAUCCCAUUAUCAUGAUUCAGAGGACUCAUGUUAUUCUCUUUAUUGUCAAUGCAACCGAUUCCGGUUUAUAUCUCUUCUUGGAAUAAAAAAAUGCAUAUAUGAACCUGACUGCUUACGUAGCUAUGUUCAAUCAACACAUCAGAAUGUUUUUGUGGGGCUACAGACAUCCCCGUUCUACGACAGGUGAUACAUAGGGAAUUAGGAUUUUAGAAAAUUUGCAUACAUAAAUCUUCGGAAGUAAAACAUGUAAAUGUGGACAAGUAUGAAAGCAAUACAAAAGGCAACAUUUUUAUUUUCAAGUUAUAAAGUGGAAUCCAUAGAUUACACAGGAAUGUUAUCUCCUAAAAGUGAAUAAUAACAAGACAUCCGUUCAUUCAAAUUGGUGAAUAUUUCUCAAGAUGGGUAAGAUUCACUUUCUCAGAUAGAGUGCAGUAUUGUGACGGUCCCUUUGACUACAUACAUGUUUGUCUCUCUGUUGUGAACUUGCAAGACCUGGAAGAACCAGCCUAUUUGUUUAAAUUUCGAAAUCUUGGUGAUGUUGUUUUUCCCUCUUUGCGCAUACUUCUCCUAAUGUUUUGGCGACAAACACUUCAUUGCUAAUUUGCCUUUCAAUGACUAUCUCCUUUUUGGCUGAUAGUCUCCUUAAACCUUUAAAUCAGUUUUUUUAACUGGUGCUCAAUAUAAUGGAUUAUAAUGGUCAGCUGCUUAAUAUAAGAGCUUGGUAACUUGACUUUAGGAAUUUAUCGUCCCUUUUUUGAAAUAUUUUCUGUAAAUUCUGAGCUCAAUAUAAUGAAUACAAUUUUGCAAACAGAUUAUUUAUGUAUGUUUCUUAGAAAACAUUGCUCCUUGAAUAAUAACCCAUGAUACUUAGACAAGCUAUAUGUCAUUUUUACCAGCUCAGUUUGGUGGUGGUUUAUAUUGAGGAUUUGAUCAUUGCUCAUGCACGCUAAAUGAUUUAUCUGACAUGCAGUUUUGUUCAGGUACAUUUCAUUCUUUUGUACAUUAAAUACUAUUGUUGGUAUAUUUGAUAGCUAGAUUGUGCACAUAAGUGCAGAGGCCAUUAGUUAUGUUGUUCAAGCUAUGUUGGUAUCUGUUUGAAGAUUAAUUCCAGUCGGAUAUGUUCCAUUGUCAUCUGACAUUUAAUAGUAAAAUAUACUAUUGAAAAUUAGUAAAAUAUACAUUGAACAGUUCAAAUAAAGAAAUGUCAUGUCAGAUAAGUUAAGCUGACUACAUAUUUGUCAAUGGCUUUCUCAAAUGUAGGUUUCAAAUCAAAUGUCAUUCAGAACUCAUCCUUGAAUUACUUUUAUACUUGAAUAACCAGACUACAUCAUGGAUUUGUCGUCUUUGAAGUUUGAUGAAAUAAGGCCCAUGGUUGUUUGCUUUCCACUCUUAAAUUGCCUUUAGUUUGAAAUAAGGCCCAUGAUUGUUUGCUUUCCACUCUUAAAUUGCCUUUUUGACAGCAACAAAAAACUAUACUAACACUAGUAGAAAACAGGGCUAUGGUCCAGGCCGGCUCAGCCCAUUAGUCCCGGUUCAGUGUAGAACCGGGACCAAUAUGGGCAUUGGUCCCGGUUCGUGAGCCCAGGGGGCCGGUCGGGCCACGUGGGCCAUUGGUCCCGGUUCGUCAAUGGGCCUCGCUCCUGGCCCACCACCAUUGGUCCCGGUUCAUGCCACCAACCGGGACCAAUGAGGUGCCUAUAUAUACCCCCUCGCAUAAGAGCAGAGCACACUGCUCUGUUUUUUCUGGCCGAGGGGGAGAGGGCUUGGUGGUGCUCUAGCUCACCUCCUAUGCACACAAGGUGUUCGAUGGAAUGCCCAAGCCACAUUACUUAAGCUUUCUCCUCUCGAAGCUCGACCUCCAAGCUCCAUUUUCCUCGAGAUUUGUCUAGAUUUAGCGGUCCGUCACGCCCCGUCCGCGUCUUCACCGCCGUCGAUCACCCGCGCCGAUCUCAUCACCGACACCACCGUGGUGAGCCUCUUGUUCUUAUCUUCUUUCUGAAAGGAAAAAUAUUCUUACUUGUAUGUUUAGAUAGAUACUUGUAUCAUUUUUUUACAUUUAUUAUUGCAUCUUAUAUAGUGCGAUGGUUUUGGUAUCCGCCCCCGUCGGCCCUCAUCCUGUCUAUGAUUCGGAUUUGGUAUGUAUAUUAUCUUUAUAACUAUUGGUUCAUUUAUUGUUUAUGAAAAUUAUGCCGACCAACAUGACAUAGAUUUUAUUUAUCUAGGAUGUAUGUGAAUCGGAAAUGCCAACCGACCCUAUUGUCGAGAGGUUAAAUUUAGUUGAAGAAGAAAACAAUUUGUUGAAGGAAAAAAACUUGAGGAGGAGAAGAUGAUAUUGGAGUUGCAUGUUGCGGAUGUCGUCGAUGAUCACAAGAUCAAGAUGGAUGCAAUGCGCUUGAAGAUUAGAAAGAUUAGAAAAUAUGCCAUUCAUACCGAGGCUUGGUAUCAUUAUGCCAUUGGAUCAAUUGUUACCUUGGUUGCGAUUAUGAUCGCAUUUGUUUUCGCAUUGAAAUGUUUUACAUAGUUUCAAUGUAUGGUUUAAUUAAUUAGAUGCUCUGGAGAGCUAUAUGUUGUUAGAUGGGAACUAUGUAUGCACUUUGGUUUUAACGUGAUGAUGAACUUCUAUUAAUUUGGACACUUAAUUAUAUAUAAUGCACGCAGAUGAACCGACAAUGGAUGUACGGUGACAGACACACCCGCGAGUACAUUAAGGGCGUGCAUGAGUUUCUCGAUGCGGCUGAGGCAAACAAGCAGAAUGGUUUUAUGUGUUGUCCAUGCACUAAAUGUGGGAAUACGAGGUCUUACUCUAACCGGAAAAUCCUUCACUCCCACCUGCUUUACAAGGGUUUCAUGCCACACUAUAAUGUUUGGACGAGGCACGGAGAAAUAGGGGUUAUGAUGGAAGACGGCGAAGAAGAAGAGUACGAUGACAACUAUGUGCCCCCUGAAUACGGUGAUGCUACAACGGGGGGAGCUGGUGAACAUCAAGAGGAACCAGACGAUGUGCCCAAUGAUGCUGCCACGGGUGAAGCUGCUGAAGAUCAAGAGGAACCAGACGAUGUGCCCGAUGAUUAUGAUCUCCGCCGGGUCAUUGUCGAUGCAAGGACGCAAUGCAUUAGUCAAAAGGAGAAGCUGAAGUUCGAUCGCAUGUUAGAGGAUCACAAAAAAGGGUUAUACCCCAAUUGCGAAGAUGGCAACACAAAGCUCGGUACCGUACUGGAAUUGCUGCAGUGGAAGGCAGAGAAUGCUGUGGCUGACAAAGGAUUUGAGAAGCUACUGAAAAUAUUGAAGAAGAAGCUUCCAAAGGAUAACGAAUUGCCCGACAGUACAUACGCAGCAAAGAAGGUCGUAUGCCCUCUAGGAUUGGAGGUGGAGAAGAUACAUGCAUGCCCUAAUGACUGCAUCCUCUACCGCGGUGCAUACAAGGAUCCGAACGCAUGCCCGGUAUACGGUGCGUUGCGGUAUAAGAUCAGACGAGAUGACCCUGGUGAUGUUGAUGGUGAGCCCCUCAGGAAGAGGGUUCCUGCGAAGGUGAUGUGGUAUGCUCCUAUAAUACCACGGUUGAAACGUCUGUUCAGAAACGAAGAGCAUGCCAAGUUGAUGCGAUGGCACAGUGAGAAUCGAAAGAAAGAUGGGAAGUUGAGAGCACCCGCUGACGGGUCGCAGUGGAGAAAAAUCAAGAGAAAGUAUCGGGAUGAGUUUGCGAGGGACCCAAGGAAUGUAUGGUUUGCUUUAAGCACGGAUGGCAUUAAUCCUUUCGGGGAGCAGAGUAGCAAUCACAGCACCUGGCCCGUGACUCUAUGUAUGUAUAACCUUCCUCCUUGGAUGUGCAUGAAGCGGAAGUUCAUUAUGAUGCCAGUUCUCAUCCAAGGCCGUAAGCAACCCGACAACGAAAUUGAUGUGUACCUAAGGCCAUUAGUUGAAGAACUUUUACAGUUGUAGAAUGGAAACGGUGUACGUACGUGGGAUGAGCACAGACAGGAGGAAUUUAACCUUAAGGCGUUGCUGUUCGUGACCAUCAACGAUUGGCCCGCUCUCAGUAACCUUUCAGUACAGACAAACAAAGGAUUCCACGCAUGCACGCACUAUUUAGAUGAUACUGAAAGUAUAUACCUAGACAAAUGCAGGAAGAAUAUGUACCUGGGCCAUCGUCGAUUUCUUCCGACCAACCAUCAAUGUCGAAAGAAAGGCAAGCAUUUCAAAGGCGAGGCAGAUCACCGGAAGAAGCCCGCCAUGCGCACCGGUGAUCACGUGCUUGCUAUGGUCAAUGAUUUACACUACGUAAUCUUCGGAAAGGGUCCCGGUGGACUAGCUGUUCCGAAGGACGCUAAGGGACAUGCACCCAUGUGGAAGAAGAAAUCUAUAUUUUGGGACCUACCCUACUGGAAAGACCUAGAGGUCCGCUCCUCAAUCAACGUGAUGCACGUGACGAAGAACCUUUGCGUGAACCUGCUAGGCUUCUUGGGCGUGUAUGGGAAGACAAAAGAUACACCUGAGGCACGAGAGGACCUGCAACGUUUGCACGAAAAAGACGGCAUGCCUCCGACGCAGUAUAAAGGUCCUGCCAGCUACGCUCUUACGAAAGAAGAGAAAGAAAUCUUCUUUGAAUGCCUGCUCAGUAUGAAGGUCACGACUGGCUUCUCGUCGAAUAUAAAGGGAAUAAUAAAUAUGCCAGAGAAAAAGUUUCAGAACCUAAAGUCUCAUGACUGCCACGUGAUUAUGACGCCACUGCUUCCGGUUGCAUUGAGGGGGCUUCUACCGGAAAACGUCCGAUUAGCCAUUGUGAAGCUAUGUGCAUUCGUCAAUGCAAUCUCUCAGAAGGUGAUCGAUCCAGAAAUCGUACCAAGGCUAAGGAGUGAUGUGGCGCAUUGUCUUGUCAGUUUCGAGCUGGUGUUCCCACCAUCCUUCUUCAAUAUCAUGACGCACGUCCUAGUUCAUCUAGUCGACGAGAUUGUCAUCCUGGGGCCCGUAUUUCUACACAAUAUGUUCCCCUUUGAGAGGUUCAUGGGAGUCCUAAAGAAAUAUGUCCGUAACCGCGCUAGGCCAGAAGGAAGCAUCUCCAUGGGCCAUCAAACAGAGGAUGUUAUCGGGUUUUGUGUUGACAUCAUUCCUGGCCUUAACAAGAUAGGUCUCCCUAAGUCGCGGUAUGAGGGGAGACUGACUGGAAAAGGCACUCUUGGAAGAGACUCAAUAAUAUGCAGGGACGGAUAUUCUUGGUCUCAAGCACACUACACAGUUCUACAGAACUCUACGUUGGUGACCCCGUAUGUCGAUGAACACAAGAAUAGUUUGCGCUCCAAACACCCGGAGCAGUGGGACGACUGGAUUACAUGUGAACACAUCAGGACUUUCAGCAGUUGGUUGGAAACACGUCUCAGAGGUGACAACACUGUUUGUGAUGAGUUGUACUUGUUGUCCAGGGGACCAUCUUUGACUAUAUUGACUUACAAAGGAUACGAGAUAAAUGGGAAUACAUUUUACAUGAUCGCCCAAGAUCAAAAGAGCACCAACCAAAAUAGCGGUGUCCGCUUUGAUGCAGCAACCAAGAGCGGAAAGGACACAUAUUAUGGUUACAUAGUGGACAUGUAUGGGAACUUGACUAUGGACCUGAUUUUAAGGUCCCUUUGUUUAAGUGCAAAUGGGUCAAUCUGUUAGGUGGCGGGGUACAGGUAGACCCAUAGUACGGAAUGACAAUAGUGGAUCUGAAAAAUCUUGGGUACACUGACGAACCGUUCGUCCUAGCCAAUGAUGUGGCACAGGUUAUCUAUGUGAAGGACAUGUCUACCAAACCGAGAAAAAGAAAAGAUAAGGAAGCGAAUACAUCAUACGAUGAGCCAAAGCGCCACAUAGUUCUUUCAGGAAAAGGGACAUCCUGGGAGUGGACGGCAAGAUAGACAUGUCUGAAGAUUAUGAAAAGUUUCAUGAAAUUCCUCCCUUCAAUGUCAAGGCUGACCCAAGCAUCCUGAUAAACAAUGAAGAUUAUCCAUGGUUACGACGCAAUAAGCAAAUGACACAAGCAAGGAAAAAGUGAAUACUUUCUCCCACAACUAUUAUGAUGAUACCAUGCCAAAUUUGUAACAGACGGACAUCCUACCAUUGUCCGUUUUGUACAUGCACAUGCUAUGUGGGUGAAAUUAUGAUACCAUCCCAACUUUCAACUUUUUCAGAGUUCAUUUGAAAUGCUUUCAUGUCUUAUGGUUUGAAACUUUGAUACUUCGAAAGUGAUUGUCCAUUUUGUACACGAAGUGCAUCAAGUUUUUGUCGUAACCCUCUCUACUUUUUGGAACAUGCUAUGUGGGUGAAAUGAUUAUACCAUGCCAACUUUCAACCUUUUCAGAGUUCAUUUUGAAAUGCUUUCCAAUUUCAGAGUCAUUUAGCUCAAAGAAUGAAUUAAUAGCAAACAGAAUAAACUACAAAACUUUUAUGAAAAUAAAAACAAUUAAUUAAAAUAUUAUGUUAUGAUCAACUAAAAUAAAACUAUAAUAUUCUUCAAUAGCAAAAAGAAUAUAAUUUUUGUGACCUAAAAUCAAACUAUAAGUAUUUAAUUGUAAGUAUAAAUAAAAAAUAAAUAGCAAAGAAGAAAAAAUUUCUAAUUUUAUAGUAAAGUUAUUCAUAAACUACUGAUUCACACAAAUUUUUAAAAAUUUAAAUUUAAACUAUUUAAAAUUUAAAACUAAUGGCACUAACAGAAAGUUUAUAAUUUUUGUGACCUAAAAGCAAAAAGAAAUCACUAAAAAACUGUAAGUAUUUAGUUGUAAGUNNNNNNNNNNNNNNNNNNNNNNNNNNNNNNNNNNNNNNNNNNNNNNNNNNNNNNNNNNNNNNNNNNNNNNNNNNNNNNNNNNNNNNNNNNNNNNNNNNNNNNNNNNNNNNNNNNNNNNNNNNNNNNNNNNNNNNNNNNNNNNNNNNNNNNNNNNNNNNNNNNNNNNNNNNNNNNNNNNNNNNNNNNNNNNNNNNNNNNNNNNNNNNNNNNNNNNNNNNNNNNNNNNNNNNNNNNNNNNNNNNNNNNNNNNNNNNNNNNNNNNNNNNNNNNNNNNNNNNNNNNNNNNNNNNNNNNNNNNNNNNNNNNNNNNNNNNNNNNNNNNNNNNNNNNNNNNNNNNNNNNNNNNNNNNNNNNNNNNNNNNNNNNNNNNNNNNNNNNNNNNNNNNNNNNNNNNNNNNNNNNNNNNNNNNNNNNNNNNNNNNNNNNNNNNNNNNNNNNNNNNNNNNNNNNNNNNNNNNNNNNNNNNNNNNNNNNNNNNNNNNNNNNNNNNNNNNNNNNNNNNNNNNNNNNNNNNNNNNNNNNNNNNNNNNNNNNNNNNNNNNNNNNNNNNNNNNNNNNNNNNNNNNNNNNNNNNNNNNNNNNNNNNNNNNNNNNNNNNNNNNNNNNNNNNNNNNNNNNNNNNNNNNNNNNNNNNNNNNNNNNNNNNNNNNNNNNNNNNNNNNNNNNNNNNNNNNNNNNNNNNNNNNNNNNNNNNNNNNNNNNNNNNNNNNNNNNNNNNNNNNNNNNNNNNNNNNNNNNNNNNNNNNNNNNNNNNNNNNNNNNNNNNNNNNNNNNNNNNNNNNNNNNNNNNNNNNNNNNNNNNNNNNNNNNNNNNNNNNNNNNNNNNNNNNNNNNNNNNNNNNNNNNNNNNNNNNNNNNNNNNNNNNNNNNNNNNNNNNNNNNNNNNNNNNNNNNNNNNNNNNNNNNNNNNNNNNNNNNNNNNNNNNNNNNNNNNNNNNNNNNNNNNNNNNNNNNNNNNNNNNNNNNNNNNNNNNNNNNNNNNNNGCCGUCGCCUCGAGCUCCCCUGCUACGGGCUUGCCGUCGCCGCCCCGUGCUCGCCGUCGCCCAGCCCCUGCCCCGUCCCGCCCCUGCGAGCCGGCGCCCUCGCCUGCCCCCGCGCUGUGAGCCGCCGCCCGGCUCUGUUUUUUUUAUUACUUUAAUUUUUUUGUUCAUAUGUGAUGUAUAUGUGUAUGUGGCUAUAAUGUAUAUGUGUAUGUGAACAAUGCAAAAGAUUGUUUUUUAGAAAAAUUAGGAUUUUUUUCUGUUCAUAGAUUUUUUUGGUGAUAUUAAUUAUUGUAAAUAUGCAAAUGUUUGUAUAUUCAUAUGAACAAUGAAUUAGGCAAUACUACUUCUUGUAUUUUUAAGAAGGAAGAAGAAGAAAAAGAAUGAGAGGAAAAAGGAAAUAAGAAGAGGAAGAAAGGAGAAGAAGAGGGGAGAGGAAGAAGAGGAGAAAUAAAUGAGAGGACCCUGGAGGAGAACGCCGAGAUCGCGCGAGAAGAAGUGAGGAACUUCUUUGAAGGGGUGAAAGCAAAGAAACAUCCACCUCCGGAGGAGAAGGUAGAUCGGGUGAAAGUGAAGCGCACUCUGGCUGCCCUGACAAAACCACCGAAGUCUGAUCCGCCGAAAGGAAACUAUAACCGCAUUAUUGGAAAGGAAUUUGCCGAAGCGGAGCGGUCGGAAAGUACUGUCAGUGAUCAAAGGCUGAAAGAACAACGAGCUGGGAAACAAAUUGCCCAGCUCGGCGAACAAGCGAAGCAAUCGUGCCCCCCGCUCAAGGUGCCUAGCCACAAUGUCGAUAAUGAUCCGAGGAUGGUGCCCGGUUAUAGCAAUCUUGCAGAUUACCUGCCCGACAAAGUACAUUAUGAACCCAUGGAGGUGCAGAUACAAAGAUACGAGUACGGGAAGCCUCUCGUCAAAGAUGAAAGAUCUCUAUUAACGAUGAUGCGAAGAUUGCAUGAUUGGUACUUGAAAAUCUGCAGAGACUCUGGGGGGAGGAGUACUUUGUAUGUGAAAGUUAAAAAGGAGCAUGACCUCGUUGGAAUUGAUCUGUUGCCUGUUCCAUUUGAGGAGUUCUAUCAGUUUUUCAAUCAAUUGGCCCUCGAUAAAACAACGGUCGCCUGCUACUGUCUGUAAGUAGUACUACUUCUAUCAUUAAGAUUCUCUAUAUAGCUUAGCUCUUUCAUUGCAUGUAUUUAUAGUCAUCCUCACUAUAUUAUGCAGAUUGAAGAUCGCCGAAUUGAAGAAAAGACAAGUCGGUGAUACUGGGUUCAUUAACACACAUCUCAUAGAUGCAACUCAGGUUAAACUUCAUGCCGCAGCUACCGAGGCCAACUUGCUACGAUCGUUCGUAAUAAAUCAAAACAAAGAUAUAAUACUCUUUCCUUGCAACUUCAGGUGAGUGUUACUGUCUUGCGUAUUCAGUUUCCCUUAUAUAUUAGUCAAGGUUAUAGUAAUGUAAUUCAUGAGUUAUGCAUGUGUGUGCAGUUUCCACUAUAUUCUCCUAGAGAUUAAGCUUGAGCAGGGAGUAGUAACCGUCUUGGACUCUAAACGAAAAGAUCCCAAGGAGUAUGCGGACAUGACUGAAAUCCUCAAGAAGUAAGUUAAAUCGAUCAUUAUCCACCAUAUCAGCAACUUUGUUCAUUUCCUGAUAUCAAGUAAUUGUUUUCUUUGUCCGGCAGGGUUUGGAGAAAAUUCACCAAAACAGUUCCGGGACUGCCGAAGGAGCUGGAAUUUAGACACCCGAAAGUAAGUACUAUAGUAGCAUGUUCCGCGCAUCUCCUAGUGAUUCAAGCGCUAGUUUCAUCAAUACCAUUUAGCAUUCUUGCUUAUCAGUUUGAUCGACCUCUAUUUCUUGUAAAGUGGUUGUGGCAGGAACAAGGGAAUGAUUUCUGUGGAUACUACAUCUGCGAGUCCAUCCGCCACACGACCUGUGAGCGGGGCGGGUACUCUAACGAACAAUAUGAAGUACGUAAAUAACAACAUUCACAAUUUUAUUUUAUUACCAUCAUUUGUGUUGAGUUUCAUUCAUUUAUAUAUAUAUAUAUAUAUAUAUAUAUAUAUAUAUAUAUGUAUGUAUGUAUGUAUUGACCCCCUUCUUCAAAUUAGAUGUUUCGGAAGCAGGAUGAACUCCUAGCACCAGCUCGCAUGCGAGCAAUUCAAGAGGAAUUGGCGGCAUUCUUUCUUGACCACGUGAUCCCUGAAGACGGAGAAUUCUAUGUGGACCCUGAGUCCGUAUGAUUAUAGUUGUAAGAGAUAAUUAUUGUAUAUAUGUAGCCGGUAGUGUCAGAUAGAUAUACGAGAACUUGUUGUUCGACCAAUCUCUCAGAGAAGGAGAGGUGGUCGAUAUCACUUCUCUCUGUAUGCAUAUAUGUUCAUGACGAUCUUCUGUUUCCUUCGUUUGCUUACUAGCUAGCUAGCGUGUCUAGUCCUCUCUAUACGUAUGUAUAGUACGUAGCGUCGACCAAGCACGGACAUAAGAGAGGACACUUCUCUCUAUUAAUUAUANNNNNNNNNNNNNNNNNNNNNNNNNNNNNNNNNNNNNNNNNNNNNNNNNNNNNNNNNNNNNNAAAACAAAAAACAUCAGCCACAGAAGUGCUGACGCGUGGAUGCCUAUUGGUCCCGGUUGGUGCCACCAACCGGGACCAAAGGGUCUCCUGACUGGGCUCUGCGCACUGCCCACGUGGAGGGCCUUUAGUCCCGGUUCUGGAUUGAACCGGGACUAAAGGGGGGAGGUAUUAGUACUGACACUUUAGUCCCGGUUUCGGAACCGGGACUAAAGGCCCUUACGAACCGGGACUAUAGGCCCUUUUUCUACCAGUGUAAUAGGAGUUUUGAUUUCCAUUCUUCCUGUACUUUUUCUAUAUCACAAAGAAUUGUUCAUGCCUUAUCUUUCCAUUUCAUGUUGACAUUUCAACUUGACCAUUACGAGAGCAUCAUGAUUUUAUUUAUGAUUAUUGUUGUUGUAGAGGUGUUAAAUAUAUAAAGUAUGAAAGGUGUAAUUUCAUGAAAGUACUUAGUAAUAUCAGCUUCCUUUGCCUGAUUGAUGUUGCUUUACAGUCUUAUUUGUCGGCGUUUUGUUCGGCAAGUUAAUGCUUUUUCCAUGCUGUGAGGUCAUAUAUGUUGCAGGCACAGAGCAGCAAAGAUUUUUCCAUAGACACAAAAGCAGUGCUCCGGCUGUAGCAUUAAUUACACACACUCGUAUUUCCUAGGCCGCUAUAUAAAUAUGCACAAAAGGAUUGCUAUAUCAAAUACACGUUUAUGAUCAGUGCGUAUUUUCUUCCUCCUGACAAUGCUUACCCUGCUUACAGUUAUCUACAUGGGUCUGGUUCCUUUUAAUAUCAAUAUUUGUCAUCAGAUUCUGAUAUACAUUGUUUCAGUCCAAAAUAUACAGGGUGCACAUUUUCUACAUUUAAUUUCCAGUAAGACUUUCUUUUCUUGGUGGUAUGAUCACUUACCAGUAAUUUGAUGGUUAUCUAUCUAUCUAUAUAUAUAUAUAUAUAUAUAUAUAUAUAUAUAUAUAUAUUGAAUUUUCAUAGCAUUUUAACCUCCGAUAUCAACAUAUUUUCAUAAUAUAAAUUGUUUAAUUUCAUUUCCAAUGUAUUUUACUCAUAUAUUUUUAUUAUUUCAUAAUAUGAAUGGUAUGACAAAUAUAUGAUUUAGUCGUUUGCAAAAAAAAUUCUUGACUCGUGUAUUUUUCAAAAUUCCUUCCAUUCUUUUAAAAAUAGACGGGCGCGGCAAGACGCGCCAUGAAUGAUCUAGUCAUAAGUGAUGUCCCGACCAGAUUCUUUCAAUGUCAAUGACUUUACUUUUUGGCAAGAUACUUUGGAGGUACGUAAAGCUAUAGAUCAGCGAUGGAUCAACGUUGAGGUCAGGUGAAGAGGCGAUCUGUCCACUUCUUCUAGGGUGGCCGUUACGGUGGUGCCGGAGUUGAGUGACGGACAUUGGUAUCUUGCUCAAGGCUUUCUUCAGCCAAUAUUGUAAUUUUCUUUCUCGACUAGCUAAGGGUUGUUUUUGCAAUAGCUAGGGUUGUCCUAUAUUUUUUGGUUCUGUCAAGUCGGUCUUUAAGUGAUUCGUAAUUUGAUAUUUAUUUUAUAAUUGAGACACACAUUACAUCAUGAAAGAAAAAAAUCAAGGCUACAUAUCAACAUGACCUCGUGUGUCCCGCAUGACCGCCUAGGACCUGUGUAGUGCGUACGCCGGAUCGUAGGCUCAUACACGAUAUUAGAGUAACUCUAGCAGACCCCGCAUCCCGCCUCGAUCCGCAAAAUAACUGCCAAAGUGCGGGUCGGGGCGCGAAAAACGUCCCGAUCAGACCCCGCAUCAAGCCCCGGCCCGCAAAUUUUUUUGCGGGGCACGGCAAAACAUCUCCCCCAACCUCUAGAUUCACGGGCUAGAGGGACGACCCGAGCUCAGCCCCCAUCCGCAACGAGAUUUGGUGGGAGGGACAUUUCCGCGUGGCCGUUCCCGCUCCCCCCGCCCUCCGCCACCAUUGCCUCGCCACCGUACGCUCCCCAGCCGUCCUUUACCAUCAUGGAUGACUCCGUGCUAUCCCCCGUCACCGUCGAGGUCGCUGGCGCUCCUUCUCCUCGGGCGGAUCUGGUCGCCGGCCCUAUUGGCCCCGCUGUGGGCCAAGGUCAAUCNNNNNNNNNNNNNNNNNNNNNNNNNNNNNNNNNNNNNNNNNNNNNNNNNNNNNNNNNNNNNNNNNNNNNNNNNNNNNNNNNNNNNNNNNNNNNNNNNNNNNNNNNNNNNNNNNNNNNNNNNNNNNNNNNNNNNNNNNNNNNNNNNNNNNNNNNNNNNNNNNGCUGUUGCGCGAUCUCGGCCGGCGGCGGAGAAGCUCGCGAAGGUCGCCGGCGUCAAGAGCAAGAAGAUUCUGGCCACAAAGAAGCCGCCUCCUUCAUCCGCUCACUCCGUCCUGGAGAGAGGUGCCCCGGGGAUGCCGCUCAACGGUGCCGCUCCCCCCACAAGCGAGGUGUUUGACGAAAUUGUGACACUCCAAAAUUUUAAUUUGGUUUUUAUCAGAAAACUUUGUGGUUUUUGAAAAGAGGACAUUUAAAUUUUUUCAGAAAACCUUCCUCUUAAAAACUUCCUUUGCUUUGGCAAGGAUUUUAUUUUUUUUCAAACUUUGGUGUUUGACCUUUUGAAACUUCUUCUCUGUUGGUUCCCUCUCAAAUUCAUUUUGGGAGUUUAAUCUUUUUCUUUUAAAAUGAAACUCUAUGAAAAACUUGGGAUUUUCAUAUCUUGAAAACCACCCAUGACUUUGCAUUUUUGCCCAUGUGAUAAAACCCCUCCAAAACCUCCCCUACUCCUUGUGAUCAACCUAAGUUCUCUGUCCCAACUAAUCCAAGCAAGUUUUGGAUUUUAUUCUAAUUAUUUUUCCUCUCAAAUCAAUUCUGAAAAUUAUUUGGAGCCUGAGUGAUUUUCAAAGCAAGUACCCUAUUGCAUUUGAGUUUUGACCUCAAACCAACUCUCCUGGAUAGUCCUUUGUACCCACAACCCAGAACCAUCUUGAUCCACUCCUCCUCUUUUCAAAUUUUUCAAAAUUCAGUCUCUGCAAGUUUGGACCAGAUUUGCCAAAUUUGAUGAAAUUCAUAUCUACACUGCUCCAAAAAUUCCACCAAAAUUCAGGCAGCCUACUGGAGCAAUGAGUAGCCACUCCACCAAAAAUCAGCUCAAGGAAAAAUCCCCAGAUGCCAAAUUCAUUCUGUCGAGCACCUUGCAUGCACUGUUGCUGUUCAAAAUUCAGAAAGUUCAGAGAUUCAGUCGUUUUCCCUUCGUCAGACUCGAUCACGCGGCCACAGUGCGCCCUGGCGCGUUUCACGCAGCCUCUUCUCACUGGCCAGCACCCCGCACGCACGCUUGGCCGAUUCCUGGCGUCGGUAGCGGCGAGCCUCGCCGGCGUUGGAAGCUUCUGCGGUGGCUGCACCUUCUGUGGCGGCCAACAAGGGCCCGAGCCCUCUCGCCACGCCACCCGGCGCCGCCCAACACCCCCUAGCUCUCCGCGUGUCCCUGCCAUGCCAGCGCACGCCCGUGGCACCGUCGCCGUGGCCCGGCAAGCACGGAACGUCCUCCCUGCCGCCGACGGGCCGCGCCACCCCCGUUCCAUCGAGCUCGCCCAUAGCACCAAAUCCCAGCCCGUUUAGCACCUAAAUGGAACCGGUGGACCUCAACGAUGAUGCCCAAGCCCCUAAUCCCACUUCACAUCAACAACACCGCCGUAAUCACUCGCCGGAGAUCCCCGUUCACGGCAACCGCCUCGGGCCGCCUAUAAAAAGGGCCCCCGAGCUCACCCUCAUGCACGCAUCAUCACCACUCCUCACCAACGCCCCGCCAGGCCACUAGGAGGUCCUCGAGGAGGUCUCCUCCCCCAACUCCGGCCGCCCCGAUCCGCCUCGGCCUCCACCACGAUUCGCUCCGGUGAGGCCAUCUCCGGCGCCCAAACCCCGUCCGUUACUCCCUCUAGCUACCAGGAGCCUAAUCCCCUCUUCAAUUUGAUCUUCACAGCUCUCUCCGAUGAGUCCCUCGACCACCCGAGCCGCCGUCCGCCGGAGCAAAGCUCGCCGUCGACGUGGUACUCGCCGGCGACCACCACCACCACCAACCGACACGGAAUGGCGCCCUGAGCACGGAGGUACCCUCCGAUCCCCCUGCCUCGCCGUGGAUCGCCGCCGGUGACCACCGCGGCUCUCGGGCGCCGACGAGCUUCAUCCCCCCCGCCCUUUUUGAAAGUUCAAACCUGACGAGUGGGACCCCACCGUCAGCCUCUCUGCCCUCUCUAUUGAAUCGUUUUCUGAAAGCGCCUUCGGGCAAAAUGCGUUUUCCCUUUGGGCUGGCGUAGUUUCUGCCGAAGCGUUUAUGUUUUUAUAAGCUAGCCCCUGGAAACUUUCUAUUUCAUUACAGAUGAGUCCCUGGGCAAAAACCUUUAUAACUUUUAAUCAGAAAAGUAUUUUUGAUUGAUUCUUUUUCUGUUCUCUUUAAAAUUUUGUCUAGUUUUUUAUCAUAUUUAUUUGAAAAAUAUUUGGAAUACUUUUUGUGCACUCCUUGGUAUUUAAGAUAGCACAUAUAUUUUCUUUAUACCGUAGAUACCGAAGGAGGUGACGGAGCCGCGAACUUCCCCGAGCUAGGCUCCGACUACUCUGAACCAGGCAAGCAUGUUUGAACUUUUGAUAUGAUGAGUGUCUUGGCAUGUUUUGCAUUUAGUUAGUUUCAUGGCAUGUUGAGGAACAUAUCGAUGAACGUUAUUUUAUGCAAUAUUGAGGUAAGUGAGUUCGAUGAUCCAUAAGUGGAUGGAUGUGAGUAUGAAUGGCCAUGUGUUGGCAUGAGGAUGGGUAAGAUGGCAGUGUCGUAGCAUGCCAGUCUUAUGCCAGACUAUGUGACUUCAGCGUCAAACCGUAUCGGUCCAGUUCCUCUCAUUUCCUUCCCUGUACUACCACAUGUUUUCCGCAAGGAAUAUGGUUUAGUAAGUUGCAAACUGCUUUUCUGGUACACACCAAAAGGAGAGGCCGUGAUGAUGGUUCCAUGGCCCUGGAUUAAAGCCAGUCAUCCGGUCAGGGGGCAUGGGUGUUUCCGGUUGGGACCGAGAGGGGGGCACCCCUUAGAGCGCGCGUAUAUAAAUUUGAUCCCAUGCUAUUCGAGAUUGUGAUCUCCCCAUCUCAAAAGUUUUUCUUGGACGAUGUCUAGGGUGAUUCCUAGCAUCGAGAGGUAGGAUGGGUGUGUACUGGUUAGCUAUGUUUUCUUCCGAAAUACCGUAAACGGAACUAGUCCUUCGUGACUACGGAAAUCCGUUGGCUGUGGGAAAAUUUUUGUACAAACUCUGCAGAGUCAUAUAUUCCUCCAAAUCAUCUAUUCCCUGUCCUAGAUCGAUAUUAUCUUAUCCUAAUCAAAUGUCAGUUUUGAUGACAGAGACUCCGGUGAUUCGCAUGAGUGCUAAUUCCUGUUAAAUGAUUAUUCCUAUGGAUGGACUAACCCAUUUAUUCUCAUGAAUUAAAUGUUUAUUAUGAGUAUUAUUUACUUGUGAAUAAAAGCCCUUUCUGCGAUGUUGCUCAGAUGUCCGACUAUGGCAUUGUUGUAUUUUACUUUCUUUUCAAGCCCUUUCUGUGAUGUCGCCCCGACGUCCGACUGUGGCAUUUCUUUUAAAGCCCUUUCUGUGAUGUCGCCCCGACAUCCGACUGUGGCAUUUCUUUUAAAGCCCUUUCUGUGAUGUCGCCCCGACGUCCGACUAUGGCAUUUCUUUUAAAGCCCUUUCUGUGAUGUCGCCCCGACGUCCAACUGUGGCAUUUCUUUUAAAGCCCUUUCUGUGAUGUCGCCCCGACAUCCGACUGUGGUAUUUCUUUUAAAGCCCUUUAUGUGGUGUCGCUAAGACGCCCGACUGUGGCAUCAUUUCCUUAUAUUUAUUUGUUCACCUUUCGAGGCGUUGCUUCAGACACCCGAUCGGUAGUUAUUUAUGUUUUGUUGGGAUUUUAGGAGGACUACCGCCGUUUCCCUUUUACUUACCUUGUUAUGCUAAUUUUUGAAUGUACAUUGGUGAAUUAAUCAUGACGCAUCCAUGCAUGCAUUUGUUAUAUCUUACGUCCGAACUUUCUUGCGAGUACUUUCAAAGUACUUACUGGCUUGUUGAUUUGGCCAUAUGCUGACGAAGGCGAUCUCAUGGAUGAAGAGUUUGAUAGUGAGUCCGACACUUAGAGGAGUCCCAGUCAGUCUCGUGCGACCCUGGAUUUGGUCACUGUUUUAUAUCCGCUUCCGCUACCAAAUAAAUUCAUCGAGCCUCACCUCGACGCUCGAUGAGAUGACAGACUUAGAGUCUUGUAUUUCUCUCCCCGCUGUGUUUCUCCACCACCGCCCUAUCCUCGAGUCAGUAGUAUGCCUCCACACCACUGUGUCAUGUCCGCCAUUAUGUAUAAUUAUUGGCGUGCUUGUAAUAAUUUGGUUGAGCAACCGUAGUUCGACCCUGUAAUAUAUUUUAUGCUACUGGCUUAUUGUAUCAAGAAUCUGUCUACCAGUGAGGAGGAUUUCUCUCAUACUGGACUCAAAAGAUUGGUUUCUCAAUAAAUAUUUUUAUUGGAAAACCGGUCGUGACAAGCUUGGUACCAGAGCCAGGCUGACUGUAGGAAGCCACUAGAUGCGAUCGCUAAUUGGUUAUUAGCAUCAUAGAGCUAAUUUAUAUUUUUGCAAUUGUAGUCAUUUUCUGUCAGUCAGCAUAAAUUUAUGAUCUGACCAUGCAUAAUUUUUGCCUACUUUUGUAGAUGGCCGACAACAGCUGCGAGUCUCAGACCUUCGCCAACGUGCUCGAUGGGUUCGUCAAGCUUCUUUCCUUCAUCGUUCAGGUCGCGAUGGGGCCAUCUGUGCGCCCAGUUUUCACACUCUGCCAGCACCGAGUCAACGACAGUCUGACCAUGCACCAGGCCGCGGUGCAGUUCAAGGGAGGGCGUGGUGAGUUACGCCGCUUCCGGUUCGUGGGAAGAGCCAUGCCUACGGAGAGGCAUGCUAUGCAGAUGGCAGCCCGCGAGGCGAUAGCUCGUCUCAGGGAUGUCCUUCCCGUGAUGAAGACUCGUCGUUACCGUUAUCUUCCGUGCCAUGUGCCUUACACCUGUCACUACGCAUACUCCUGCCCUGGAGGCUUUUGAGAUGCUCAUUGAGUAUCUCCGGGCCCUGGAGGCAGCCUUCGACAACCUGGUGGACGACUUCGUAGCUACCCGCAUGGACUCAGUUCAUGGCUGUGCUGCCAACAGGAGGGAGCUCCUACCCAUCGCACCGCCACUGACUUUGGUCUCGUCCUCAGCAUCUUUUACGCAUACUCGUCGCCUGCCUUCUACCGAAGAAUUCAACCAAGUCAUUGCACCCACUUCAGCGCGCACUACACCACCCUUCGCGCCCACUCCUGUACGUGUUGCUCCGCCCCUGGCAACCGCUCCGUCCACUCUGCGCAACACUGCACGUAUGGAGCCCAUUAGCGAGGAGGAAGUCGAGUCCCCAACCUCGCUACGCCUCGCCCUCAGCAGGGCAAAGGAGGUCAUCAACAUCUCUGCCUAAGUACGCCUAGCUGCCAUGUAAUGUACCGCUUUGUAAGAUAUGUACAUAGGUUGUGAGAAGUAGCAUGUUUGCGCAUCAUGUAGGAUCUGGAGAAGUGCACUAGCCUUAAUAACAUGUCAGGAUUAUGUACGCAUAUCCUGAGUGACGUAUUGUAUAAAUUACCGCCCGCGUGUAAGAUAUGUAAUGAGCAGUCCUUCUCCGUGCGCAAGUCGAUUUGUUUUUCUUAAGUAAGCUGGGUUAUUUAGUUUUAUUUGCCAGCUUUAUGCAUUUUUUUUGGAAUUGUUUUUGCGACUCGUUCCGCUUUUCUUAUGAGUUUUACAAAACUAUUUCCCCAGAGUGAAAAAUGUCUCGUCCUUGGACUCGCUCCAUGCCAACUCCACCAGAGGAAAAUUAUGAUGCACAACCCAGCAACGAGUUCACUCAGGGACAGUCAAGCCAACAGGGCAGUGAAUCGGCACUUUCACAAAUGUGCCGCCUUUAUGAGCAGAGUCAGCAACAACAUCGGGAAAUGAUGAACCAAGUCAUCAACAUGGGAAAUCACCAUGGACAGUAUCAGCAGCAUUCCAAGUUAUCUGAGCUACAGAAGACACGUCCUCAAACAUUUUCUCACACUGACAAACCUCUUGAAGCCGAGGACUGGCUUCGAGAUAUGGAGAGAAAAUUAAUUAUUGCAAAAUGUUCAGACCCCGAGAAGGUAUUGUAUGCUCCGCACUAUCUCACAGGAGCAGCCGCAUCGUGGUGGGAGAAUUUUCUGCACAUGCAUCCCCACAAAAAUGACAUAACCUGGGAUGAUUUCAAGGAAGGUUUCCGUGGUGCACACAUUCCUAAGAGUAUUAUGAAAAUCAAAAAGAGAGAGUUCGAUGACCUCAAACAAAGGAACAUGACAGUGUCAGAUUACAACAGUCAAUUUACUCUAUUGUCCCGCUACGCCAAUGAAGAGCGUAUGACUGAAAUCAAGAAGAUGGAGAAAUUCCUUGACGGUCUGGCGCCCGCGCUUAAAUGCCAACUGGUCGUGCACACUUUUCCUGAUUUUAAAACACUGGUGGACAAAGCCAUUACUCUGGAAAAUGAGAGACGCAGUCUGGAAGAUAUCCGCAAGCAAAAAAGGGACCAGAAUAAUCAUGCUCGCAAUCACCGAAGCAAGAUAGAUUUUCAAAAGGGUGGGACACACAAAUCCUCAUCCAAUGUCUCACGCCCAAUCAAGAAUUUUCAUGCAAGGGCCAAGGAAUUCACAUAUCGCCCUGGCGUUACUUGUUACGCUUGUGGAGAAGAAGGGCACUAUGCCAAACAGUGCCCCAAGCCAAGGAAUUCAACCCCAAAGCCGAACAACGGCGGCAACAAUUCCGCGCCCAAGCGAAACAAUUUCAAUCCCAACAAUAACCACAGGAAGGGUCAUCUGAACCACGUAACCAAAGAGGAGGCACAAAAUGCUCCAGAUAUCGUACUCGAUACGUUUCCUAUCAACACAAUACCUGCAAUGGUUUUGUUUGAUUCUGGAGCUUCUCACUCUUUCAUUUCGAAAAAUUUUGCUUUGCAAAAUAAUUUUUUGAUGCUUCCUUUGGAGAAAACCAUGAUCAUCAAGUCCCCUGGGAUUCAGCAAGUUACUCAGAAUUACUGUCAGAAUGUGGUCAUUGAGUUCGUAGGAUUGGAGUUCCACGCAAAUCUUAUUGUGUUGGAAAAUAAAGGACUGGAUGUCAUCCUAGGGAUGGAUUGGCUAACCACCAAUAAGGGUUUUAUCGACUGUUUCAACAGGACCGUAAUUCUCACACACCACCAAGGGAAGACAAUAAGAGUAUCAGCCAAGGAAGGAAAAAUACCCCGGCAACCGAGAUUAAAUAAGGUGGGCGUUUCUGAGCUAAACAAGGUUCCAGUAGUGUGUGAAUUUUCAGAUGUAUUCCCUGAAGAACUACCAGGCAUGCCACCAGACCGGGAAAUAGAAUUCCGCAUUGAGCUAGCACCAGGAACCACCCCCAUAUACAAGAAACCAUACAGAAUGGCACCAUCCGAGUUGAUUGAGUUGAAGAAGCAAAUAAAGGAAUUACUGGAAAAAGGAUACAUUCGAGCCAGCUCCUCACCUUGGGGAUCACCAAUUUUAUUUGCCAAAAAGAAGGAUGGAAUGCUGAGAUUGUGUAUUGACUAUCGAGCACUUAACAUGGUCACAGUCAAAAACAAAUACCCGAUGCCAAGGAUAAACGAUUUGUUUGAUCAACUCGCUCAGGCCAAGGUAUUCUCAAAAAUUGACUUAAGGUCAGGAUACCAUCAAUUGAAGGUACGAACGGAAGAUAUCCCCAAAACAGCCUUCACCUCCAGAUAUGGACAGUACGAGUUCACAGUGAUGCCAUUUGGAUUAACUAACGCCCCAGCAUAUUUUGUUCACCUCAUGAACAAAGUAUUUAUGAAGUUUAUGGACAAGUUAGUCGUGGUAUUCAUCAAUGAUAUUCUGGUAUACUCCAAGACACCAGAAGAGCACGCAGAACAUCUCAGGAUUGUGCUAGGAGAGCUAAGAAAACACCAAUUGUAUGCCAAGUUCAGCAAGUGCGAAUUUUGGCUAAGGCAAGUAGGCUUUCUAGGCCACGUGCUGACCCAAGACGGUAUCGCAGUGGACCCAGAGAAAGUCAAGGCCGUACUUGGCUGGAAGUCACCAGCCAGCGUAACGGACAUACGGAGUUUCUUGGGAAUGGUAGGAUAUUACCGCAGAUUUAUUGAAGGAUUUUCCACUAUAGCCAAGCCUAUGACACAGUUGCUCAAGAAAGAUAAGAAGUUUGAAUGGACAGAAGCCUGCGAGAAAAGUUUCCAAGAGCUAAAGAGGAAGUUAACAACAACACCGGUAUUAAUUGUACCCGACAUACACAAGAAUUUUGAAGUAUAUUGUGACGCGUCCAGAAAGGGUCUCGGAUGCGUGUUGAUGCAGGAAGGCAAGGUUGUCGCCUACGCUUCAAGGCAACUGCGCAAGCAUGAGGAAAAUUAUCCCACUCAUGACUUAGAAAUGGCAGCAGUUAUUCAUGCACUCAAGGAAUGGAGGCAUUUCUUACUUGGGAAUCGAUGUGAAAUAUAUGCGGAUCACAAAAGUCUCAAAUAUAUUUUCACACAACCAGAACUAAACUUACGGCAACGACGUUGGUUGGAGUUAGUAAAGGAUUAUGAUGUUGGUACCCAUUACCAUCCAGGGAAAGCAAAUGUAGUGGCCGAUGCCCUUAGUCGGAACCCCAGCUCCGACGAAAACUAUCUGCACAGCUUGAGGCCCGAAUUCCAUCAAGAAUUUGCCAAGCUCAACUUGAUAAUGGUAGCAAAAGGCACCAUAUCAAACCUGGAAAUACAACCCGACCUUGUGGAGAAAAUCAAAGAAGCUCAGCCCGGUCACACCAGCAUCGAAGGCAUCAAAAGAAAGUUGAGUAUGGGCAAGGCCUCGAAAUUCGUCAUAGACAAUGAAGGAAUAUUAUGGUACGGAGAAAGGCUCUGCGUGCCAAACAUAGAAGACCUUAAAUAGAAAAUUUUAGCUGAAGCACACACCACUCCAUAUUCAAUCCACCCUGGAGGAACCAAAAUGUAUAAGGAUAUUCAGGAAAGAUUUUGGUGGCACGGUAUGAAGAGGGACAUAGCCACCUUCAUUGCAUAUUGCGACUCAUGUCAACGCAUAAAAGCUGAGCAUCAGAGACCAGCCGGACUACUGCAACCGAACAAAAUACCUGAGUGGAAAUGGGAUGAAAUAGGGAUGGAUUUUAUUGUCGGACUACCUCGGUCACGACACGGGAAUGAUGCCAUAUGGGUCAUCACCGAUAGAUUAACCAAAGUGGCACACUUUAUUCCAAUAAAGACGACCCACAACACUCAGAGGCUUGCCAGGAUUUAUCUUUCCCGCAUAGUUUGUCUGCAUGGUGUCCCGAAGACUAUAAUAUCCGACAGAGGCACUCAGUUCGUCUCAAGAUUUUGGGAGCAUUUACAACAGGCUCUGGGAACCCAACUAGCCUUCAGUACCGCAUACCACCCACAGACUGAUGGACAGACUGAACGCGUAAACCAGGUUUUAGAAGACAUGCUGAGAGCAUGUGUCUUCACAUAUGGAACCAGUUGGGAAGAAAGCCUGCCAUACGCCGAGUUCGCGUAUAACAAUAGCUACCAGGCCAGCCUACAAAUGGCACCAUUUGAGGCUUUAUACGGACGAAGAUGUCAUACCCUAUUAAAUUGGUCAGAGACCGAAGACAGCCGCAUCUUCGGACCAGACAUACUCAGAGAAGCCGAGGAAAAGGUCAAGCUAAUCAGAGACCGACUUAAGACCGCUCAAAGUCGACAGAAGAGUUAUUAUGAUCAGAAACAUUGUAGAGUCAGCUUCGAACCCGGUGAGUUCGUAUACCUGAGAGUAUCCCCUAUGAGAGGACUGCAACGGUUUAAGAUUAAAGGAAAGUUAGCACCAAGAUUCAUUGGACCAUUCUGCAUAGUGGCACGAAGAGGCACUGUAGCCUACCAGCUAGACUUACCCGAAGACUUGUCCGACAUUCACGACGUGUUCCACGUCUCUCAAUUAAGGAAGUGUGUAAGCAACCCAGAGAAACAAGUAUCCCAUGAAAACAUUGACGUGCAGCCAGACCUCACUUAUCGGGAACGUCCCGUAAGAAUAUUAGAGGAGUCUGAAAGGAGGACCCGACAGAAGACCAUCAAGUUUUUCAAAGUCCAAUGGAGCAAUCACAACGACAGCGAAGCAACUUGGGAAAGCGAGGAUUUUCUUCGGGCAGAGCAUCCACACUUAUUUAAGGACCAGCUGAAAUCUCGGGGACGAGAUUUUUCCUAAGGGGGUAGGUGUUGUGACACUCCAAAAUUUUAAUUUGGUUUUUAUCAAAAAACUUUGUGGGUUUUGAAAAGAGGACAUUUAAUUUUUUUUAGAAAACCUUCCUCUUAAAAACUUCCUUUGCUUUGGCAAGGAUUUUAUUUUUUUUUCAAACUUUGGUGUUUGACCUUUUGAAACUUCUUCUCUGUUGGUUCCCUCUCAAAUUCAUUUUGGGAGUUUAAUCUUUUUCUUUUAAAAUGAAACUCUAUGAAAAACUAGGGAUUUCCAUAUCUUGAAAACCACCCACGACUUUGCAUUUUUGCCCAUGUGAUAAAAACCCUCCAAAACCUCCCCUACUCCUUGUGAUCAACCUAAGUUCUCUGUCCCAACUAAUCCAAGAAAGUUUUGGAUUUUAUUCUAAUUAUUUUUCCUCUCAAAUCAAUUCUGAAAAUUAUUUGGAGCCUGAGUGAUUUUCAAAGCAAGUACUCUAUUGCAUUUGAGUUUUGACCUCAAACCAACUCUCCUGGAUAGUCCUUUAUACCCACAACCCAGAACCAUCUUGAUCCACUCCUCCUCUUUUCAAAUUUUUCAAAAUUCAGUCUCUGCAAGUUUGGACCAGAUUUGCCAAAUUUGAUGAAAUUCAUAUCUACACUGCUCCAAAAAUUCCACCAAAAUUCAGGCAGCCUACUGGAGCAAUGAGUAGCCACUCCACCAAAAAUCAGCUCAAGGAAAAAUCCCCAGAGGCCAAAUUCAUUCUGUCGAGCACCUUGCAUGCACUGUUGCUAUUCAAAAUUCAGAAAGUUCAGAGAUUCAGUCGUUUUCCCUUCGUCAGACUCGAUCACGCGGCCACAGUGCGCCCUGGCGCGUUGCACGCAGCCUCUUCUCACUGGCCAGCACCCCGCACGCACGCUUGGCCGAUUCCUGGCGUCGGUAGCGGCGAGCCUCGCCGGCGUUGGAAGCUUCUGCGGUGGCUGCACCUUCCGUGGCGGCCAACAAGGGCCCGAGCCCUCUCGCCACGCCACCCGGCGCCACCCAACACCCCCUAGCUCUCCGCAUGUCCCUGCCAUGCCAGCGCACGCCCGUGGCACCGUCGCCGUGGCCCGGCAAGCACGGAACGUGCUCCCUGCCGCCGACGGGCCGCGCCACCCCCGUUCCGUCGAGCUCGCCCAUAGCACCAAAUCCCAGCCCGUUUAGCACCUAAAUGGAACCGGUGGACCUCAACGACGAUGCCCAAGCCCCUAAUCCCACUGCACAUCCACAGCACCGCCGUAAUCACUCGCCGGAGAUCCCCGUUCACGGCAACCGCCUCGGGCCGCCUAUAAAAAGGGCCCCCGAGCUCACCCUCAUGCACGCAUCAUCACCACUCCUCACCAACACCCCGCCAGGCCACUAGGAGGUCCUCGAGGAGGUCUCCUCCCCCAACUCCGGCCGCCCCGAUCCGCCUCGGCCUCCACCACGAUUCGCUCUAGUGAGGCCAUCUCCGGCGCCCAAACCCCGUCCGUUACUCCCUCUAGCUACGAGGAGCCUAACCUCCUCUUCAAUUUGAUCUUCAGAGCUCUCUUCGAUGAGUCCCUCGACCACCCGAGCCGCCGUCCGCCGGAGCGAAGCUCGCCGUCGACGUGGUACUCGCCGGCGACCACCACCACCACCAACCGACGCGGAAUGGCGCCCUGAGCACGGAGGUACCCUCCGACCCCCCUGCCUCGCCGUGGAUCGCCGCCGGCGACCACCGCGGCUCUCGGGCGCCGACGAGCUUCGUCCCCCCCCUUUUUGAAAGUUCAAACCUGACGAGUGGGACCCCACCGUCAGCCUCUCUUCCCUCUCUAUUGAAUCGUUUUCUGAAAGCGCCUUCGGGCAAAAUGCUUUUUCCCUUUGGGCUGGCGUAGUUUCUGCCGAAGCAUUUCUGUUUUUAUAAGCUAGCCCCUGGAAACUUUCUGUUUCAUUACAGAUGAGUCCCUGGGCAAAAAGCUUUAUAACUUUUAAUCAGGAAAGUAUUUUUGAUUGAUUCUUUUUCUGUUCUCUUUAAAAUUUUGUCUAGUUUUUUAUCAGAUUUAUUUGAAAAAUAUUUGGAAUACAUUUUGUGCACUCCUUGGUAUUUACGAUAGCACAUAUAUUUUCUUUAUACCGUAGAUACCGAAGGAGGUGACGGAGCCGCGAACUUCACCGAGCUAGGCUCCGACUACUCUGAACCAGGAAAGCAUGUUUGAACUUUUGAUAUGAUGAGUGUAUUGUCAUGUUUUGCAUUUAGUUAGUUUCAUGGCAUGUUGAGGAACAUAUCGAUGAACGUUAUUUUAUGCAAUAUUGAGGUAAGUGAGUUUGAUGAUCCAUAAGUGGAUGGAUGUGAGUAUGAAUGGCCAUGUGUUGGCAUGAGGAUGGGUAAGAUGGCAGUAUUGUAGCAUGCCAGUCUUAUGCCAGACUAUGUGACUUCAGUGUCAAACCGUAUCGGUCCAGUUCCUCUCAUUUCCUUCCCUGUACUACCACAUGUUUUCCGCAAGGAAUAUGGUUUAGUAAGUUGCAAACCGCUUUUCUGGUACACACCAAAAGGAGAGGCCGUGAUGAUGGUUCCAUGGCCCUGGAUUAAAGCCAGUCAUCCGGUCAGGGGGCAUGGGUGUUUCCGGUUGGGACCGAGAGGGGGGCACCCCUUAGAGCGCGCGUAUAUAAAUUUGAUCCCAUGCUAUUCGAGAUUGUGAUCUCCCCGUCUCAAAAGUUUUUCUUGGACGAUGUCUAGGGUGAUUCCUAGCAUCGAGAGGUAGGAUGGGUGUGUACUGGUUAGCUGUGUUUUCUUCCGAAAUACCGUAAACGGAACUAGUCCUUCGGGACUAUGGAAAUCCGUUGGCUGUGGGAAAAAUUUUGUACAAACUCUGCAGAGUCAUAUAUUCCUCCAAAUCAUCUAUUCCCUGUCCUAGAUCGAUAUUAUCUUAUCCUAAUCAAAUGUCAGUUUUGAUGACAGAGACUCCGGUGAUUCGCAUGAGUGCUAAUUUCGGUUAAAUGAUUAUUCCUGUGGAUGGACUAACCCAUUUAUUCUCAUGAAUUAAAUGUUUAUUAUGAGUAUUAUUUACUUGUGAAUAAAAGCCCUUUCUGCGAUGUCGCUCAGACGUCCGACUGUGGCAUUGUUGUAUUUUACUUUCUUUUCAAGCCCUUUCUGUGAUGUCGCCCCGACGUCCGACUGUGGCAUUUCUUUUAAAGCCCUUUCUGUGAUGUCGCCCGGACGUCCGACUGUGGCAUUUCUUUUAAAGCCCUUUCUGUGAUGUCGCCUCGAUGUCCGACUGUGGCAUUUCUUUUAAAGCCCUUUCUGUGAUGUCCCCCCGACGUCCGACCGUGGCAUUUAUUUUAAAGCCCUUUCUGUGAUGUCGCCCCGACAUCCGACUGUGGUAUUUCUUUUAAAGCCCUUUAUGUGGUGUCGCUAAGACGCCCGACUGUGGCAUCAUUUCCUUAUAUUUAUUUGUUCACCUUUCGAGGCAUCGCUUCAGACACCCGAUCGGUAGAUAUUUAUGUUUUGUUGGGAUUUUAGGCGGACUACCGCCGUUUCCCUUUUACUUACCUUGUUAUGCUAGUUUUUGAAUGUACAUUGGUGAAUUAAUCAUGACGCAUCCAUGCAUGCAUUUGUUAUAUCUUACGUCCCAACUGUCUUGCGAGUACUUUCAAAGUACUCACUGGCUUGUUGAUUUGGCCAGAUGCUGACGAAGGCGAUCUCAUGGAUGAAGAGUUUGAUAGCGAGUCCGACACUUAGAGGAGUCCCAGUCAGUCUCGUGCGACCCUAGAUUUGGUCACUGUUUUAUAUCCGCUUCCGCUACCAAAUAAAUUCAUCGAGCCUCACCUCGACGUUCGAUGAGAUGACAGACUUAGAGUCUUGUAUUUCUCUCCCCGCUGUGUUUCUCCACCACCGCCCUAUCCUCGAGUCAGUAGUAUGCCUCCACACCACUGUGUCAUGUCCGCCAUUAUGUAUAAUUAUUGCCGUGCUUGUAAUAAUUUGGUUGAGCAACCGUAGUUCGACCCUGUAAUAUAUUUUAUGCUACUGGCUUAUUGUAUCAAGAAUCUGUCUACCAGUGAGGAGGAUUUCUCUCAUACUGGACUCAAAAGAUUGGUUUCUCAAUAUAUAUUUUUAUUGGAAAACCGGUCGUGACAGAAAUUGCCGGCAGGUAUGUGUCUUCGGUCAUGGCAAUUUUCUUUGCUUUUCGCCAUUUUGCGAUAGCUCGUGACUUGUUGUGCUUCACUAUAGCGGUGGUUCGAACAAUGCAACUGCCGAGUUCGUGAACUUGUUGGACACCAACGCCGUUGAGAUUGAUCAAGUCCCGUUUGAAGCAUUCGACUACAAUGAAACGGAGGCCGGCGUGGACGAUCAUGGUUUUCAGGACGAUUUAGAGGAGAUCGAAGAGGAAGCAUAUGAGCAAUCGCAAACAAAAACUGGGAAAAGCCAGAGAUUGAAGAACUACACGAUCUUGGAAGAUCAAGUUCUCAUCAAUGCAUGGAGUGCGGUGUCUCUUGAUGCAUGCACGGGUACUUCUCAAACCGCCAAGAGGUAUUGGCAAAGGAUCGAAGAUCAAUACUUCCGCAUGAUGGCAAAGUACCCCAAUAGGACUCCACGCACAUUUCGGUCUCUUCAAGGUCAUUGGGAGAAUAUCAAGCCUAUGUGUAGCCGUUGGGCAGCUUGCUUGGAGAGCAAGUAUGCAAUGCACCUCCAAGUGGAUCCGUGGAAUCCGACUAUGUGAGUUUGUUUUGCCUUUGUUCAACUUGUGCAUCAUCUACAUCAUAUGAAAUGAUUGCAUCAUUUCACUUUGUUCACAUUGUGUAAAAAAUUGCCCAACAUAGAUACAAAGACAUGGAAGCUUCGGAAGACAAAUUCUUCAAACUAGAGCAUUGUUGGGAGUUGCUCCAAGAGUGCGAUAAGUGAAAGUUGAUCGAGAAAGAAUCCCCACAGAAGAGAGGCUCACUUACAAACAUGGAUGAUGAUGAGGAUGAUGAUGGCCCAAGAAAUUUGAACAAGCCCGGUGGCGACAAGAAGACAAAGGAGAAGAUGAAGAGAGAGCAUGAAGCAUCGAGGUUGAGGGAGAAGAUUGAUGCCAUGGUGUAACAAAAUGAGUUGAUGUUGUUGAAGUCGUUGGAGAUCAAGAAGGAGUUGGCCGAGAAGAAGGCAAUGGAGAAGCAAGAAAAGUGGCAGUUGCUCAAGGAAGAGGGGCUGCACAAAGCGGCCAUUGAGGAUAGAAGAGCACGGGCCGAUGGAAACAAAUCCAUGUCCAAGUUGCUCGCCGAAGAGAAUAAGAUCAUGUCAAUGAACCGCAAUGACAUGGACGACCUCACCAAAACAUGGCAUGAUAUGGCAAGGAGAGAAAUCUUGAAGAGGAGAAUGGUUGUGUCGGCCGGUGCGUGUUACAGUUCCGGAGAUGUUUUCUCGGCUGGCAAUGUCGAUGAUUUCGGUGUGGGAGUUGGAACAAGCGCCGGAGGUGGAUUCGGUGGUGGUGAUGAACUUCAAGAUGGACUCGAUGGCGUGGAGUGAAGAUCGACCAAGAUGAUGUCAGACGUGGUCGUCACUUUUGCAAGAUCCUAUUUUGCGUUUGUCCUACUAAACUGAGGCUUUUAUUUGCGCGUAAACUGUGUUAUGUUGUUUGAAUUUAACUUAUUUGUGGGCAACAAUGUCAAAUUUGAGAAUUGGGCGUUUUCUGUUUGCGGGUCGACGCGGCGGUGCCCGUGCAGACACCGCAAAAGCCAACCCUUAAAAAAGUAUAUUCCGCGAAUAUCCUUUUAUAUGGGUCCAUUUGGUUUGUCUGCAUCCGCGGCCGUGCGAGCCAGCGUGCAAAAGCCGUUUUCCAUGAACUUCAAACGCGUUUUGCGGGCCGGAAACACAACCUGUAUAACUAGAGCAUGGCUGCUAUAAAGCACCCAACCUGUAUAGAUCCAUUGAACAUCCACAAAGAUAGAAAGCUACAGAUACAACCGCCGGAAACACAACUCCUAAGUAAAACAAAAACCUCCUACAUAACAUAGUUUUUCUACAAAUCAAGGAUGAAGACUGUCUAGGUGGUGCUCAUAUGUCGUGUCCUUUCAGUGCUCUGUUCAGGUAUUUUGCCGCUAUGUUUUUCUCCACCACACUUGUAGGAAAUAUAUUUCGGCUUAUCCAUGCUCCUGCUCUCGAAACCCCGCAGGCAUCGUUGCUCGCUGUGACCAGUACAACGUCUCCAAGGCAUGUCCAAGUAUAGCUUCAUGCAUAGCACUGUGCACCUAUAAAUAUAAGGCGGACACGGUUUAUGGUGUAUGUGCUGAUAACAGAUGUUGGUGCGUAGUCUGCGUGAUACCACCUGCAGCUCAAUCUGCGUCUGCAGCCCAGAUUGCGCCUGCAGGGAAUUAAAGGAUAUCGCUUGCUUCCCUUUCUGCCUAAAUAGAAUAAAACAAUGUCUGAUUAAUGUAUUUUUCUCGUACCGACAACAUUGUAUUGGUGUAUCAUGUAGCAAGGACCUGCGAGGCAAAAUAACAUCCUAUUAAUAUUGAGCGCUCUUUGGUGAAAUGCAUGAUUAAUCAAUUGGACACCGUAGAGGAUGUAUAAAUACGUUGCAUGUGGAUUCUUUUUUUCUCUCCAUGGUGAGAACAUUACCAAACCAUCGGAACCGGUCCUCCAUACAAGUUGCAUGUGGAUGGGAGAUUCAUAGCCAAGAUAGUGAAUAAACAGCUCCAUAAGCUACCUUGUUCUGAUCUCAUCAAAACUAUCAAACCCAUCACUUCACACCAUAAACCUGGCAAGCCGGUUCAAAUCUGGUCGAGAAGAAGCCCUUGGGUCCUCGAUGGUCGUCUGAAAGGCAACUUGAAUCACAAAGAGAGUGUCCCUGACGGACCUACAGGGUCUACAGCGAUGAUCAUCAGCAUGGCAGAUCGAUCAUGAGAUGAAUUCUAAAGCGGCAAUAGCAACAAACUAAACGAUCAAGUGCUAUGCUAACGGAAUGGGUCAAGUCAAUCACAUCAUUCUCCUAAUGAUAUGAUCCCGUUAAUCAAAUGACAACUCAUGUCUAUGGUUAGGAAACAUAACCAUCUUUGAUCAACGAGCUAGUCAAGUAGAGGCAUAGUAGUGAGACUCUGUUUGUCUAUGUAUUCACACAUGUAUUAUGUUUCCGGUUAAUACAAUUCUAGCAUGAAUAAUAAACAUUUAUCAUGAUAUAAGGAAAUAAAUAAUAACUUUAUUAUUGCCUCCAGGGCAUAUUUCCUUCAGUCUCCCACUUGCACUAGAGUCAAUAAUCUAGUUCACAUCGCCAUGUGAUUUAACAUCAAUAGUUCACAUCACCAUGUGAUUAACACCCAUAGUUCACAUCGUCAUGUGACCAACACCCAAAGGGUUUACUAGAGUCAAUAAUCUAGUUCACAUCGCUAUGUGAUUAAUACCCAAAGAGUACAAAGGUGUGAUCAUGUUUUGCUUGUGAGGGAAGUUUAGUCAACGGGUCUGCUACAUUCAGAUCCGUAUGUAUUUUGCAAAUUUCUAUGUCAACAAUGCUCUGCAUGGAGCUACUCUAGCUAAUUGCUCCCACUUUAAAUAUGUAUCCAGAUUGAGACUUUGAGUCAUCUGGAUCAGUGUCAAAACUUGCAUCGACGUACCCCUUUACGACGAACCUUUUGUCACCUCCAUAAUUGAGAAACAUAUCCUUAUUCCACUAAGGAUAAUUUUGACCAAUGUCCAGUGAUCUACUCCUAGAUCACUAUUGUACUCCCUUGCCAAACUUGGGGCAGGGUAUACAAUAGGUCUGGUACAUAGCAUGGCAUACUUUAUAGAACCUAUGGCUAAGGCAUAGGGAAUGAUUUUCAUUCUCUCUCUAUCUUCUUCCGUGGUCAGGUUUUGAGUCUUACUCAACUUCACACCUUCUAACACAGGCAAGAACUCCUUCUUUGACUGUUCCAUUUUGAACUACAUCAAAAUCUUUUCAAGGUAUGUACUUACUGAAAAACAUAUCAAGCGUCUUGAUCUAUCUCUAUAGAUCUUGAUGCUCAAUAUGUAAGCAGCUUCACCGAGGUCUUUAUUUGAAAAACUCCUUUCAAACAUUCCUUUAUGCUUUGCAGAAUAAUUCUACAUUAUCUCCGAUCAACUAUAUGUCAUUCACAUAUACUUAUCAGAAAUGCUGUAGUGCUCCCACUCACUUUCUUGUAAAUACAGGCUUCACCGCAAGUCUGUAUAAAACUAUAUGCUUUAUUCAACUUAUCAAAGCGUAUAUUCCAACUUCGAGAUGCUUGCACCAGUCCAUAGAUGGAUCGCCAGAGCUUGCAUAUUUUGUUAGCACCUUUAGGAUUGACAAAACUUUCUUGUUGCAUCAUAUACAACUCUUCUUUAAUAAAUCCAUUAAGGAAUGUAGUUUUGUUUAUCCAAUUGCCAGAUUUCAUAAAAUGUGGCAACUGCUAACAUGAUCCGGAUAGACUUAAGCAUAGAUACGAGUGAGAAACUCUGGUCGUAGUCAACACCUUGAACUUGUCGAAAACCUUUUGCGACAACUCUAGCUUUGUAGAUAGUAACACUACUAUCAGCGUCCGUCUUCCCCUUGAAGAUCCAUUUAAUCUCAAUUGCUUGCCGAUCAACAGGCAAGUCAACCAAAGUCCACACUUUGUUCUCAUACAUGGAUCUCAUCUUAGAUUUCAUGGCCUUAAGCCAUUUUGCGGAAUCUGGGCUCAUCCUAGCUUCCUCAUAGUUCGUAGGUUCAUCAUGGUCAAGUAAGAUGAACUCCAGAGUAGGAUUACCGUACCACUCUGGUGCGGAUCUCACUCUGGUUUACCUACGAGGUUCGGUAGUAACUUGAUCUUAAGUUACAUGAUCAUCAUCAUUAGCUUCCUCACUAAUUGGUGUAGUAGUCACAGGAACAGAUUUCUGUGAUGAACUACUUUCCAAUAAGGGAGCAGGUACAGUUACCUCAUCAAGUUCUACUUUCCUCUCACUCACUUCUUUCGAGAGAAACUCCUUCUCUAGAAAGAUGCAUUCUCAACAACGAAUAUCUUGCCUUCGGAUCUAUGAUAGAAGGUGGACCCAACAUUUUCUUUUGUGUAUCCUAUGAAGACGCACUUCUCCGAUUUGGGUUUGAGCUUAUGAGGUUGAAACUUUUUCACAUAAGCAUUGCAACCUCAAACUUUAAGAAACGACAGCUUAGGUUUCUUGCCAAAGCAUAGUUCAUACGGUGUCGUCUCAACGGAUUUAGAUGGUGCCCUAUUUAACGUGAAUGUAGCUGUCUCUAAUGCAUAACCCCAAAAAGAUAGUGGUAAAUUGGUAAGAGACAUCAUAGAUCACACCAUAUCUAAUAAAGUACGGUUACGAUGUUCGGACACACCAUUACACUGUGGUGUUCCAGGUGGCGUGAGUAGUGAAACUAUUUCACAUUGUUUUAACUGAAGGCCAAUCUCGUAACUCAAAUAUUUUACUUCUGCGAUCAUAUCGUAGAAACUUUUAUUUUUGUUACGAUGAUUGUCCACUUCACUCUGAAAUUCUUUGAACUUUUCAACUGUUUCAUACUUGUGUUUCAUUAAGUAGAUAUAUCCAUAUCUGCUCAAAUCAUCUCUGAAGGUCAGAAAAUAACGAUACUUGCCGUGAGCCUUAACACUCAUCGGACUGCAUACAUCAGUAUGUAUUAUUUCCAAUAAGUCAGUUGCUCGCUCCAUUGUUCCGGAGAACGGAGUCUUAGUCAUUUUGCCCAUGAGGCAUGGUUUGCAAGCAUCAAGUGAUUCCAAAAGUCCAUCAGCAUGGAGUUUCUUCAUGCGCUUUACACCAAUAUGAACUAAACGGCAGUGCCACAGAUAAGUUGCACUAUCAUUAUUAAUUUUGCAUCUUUUGGUUUCAAUAUUAUGAAUAUGUGUAUCACUACGAUCGAGAUCCAACGAACCAUUUUCAUUGGGUGUGUAACCAUAUAAGGUUUUAUUCAUGUAAACAGAACAACAAUUUAUUCUCUUACUUAAAUGAAUAACCGUAUUGCAAUAAACAUGAUCAAAUCAUAUUCAUGCUCAACGCAAACACCAAAUAACACUUAUUUAGGUUCAACACUAAUCCCGAAAGUAUAGGGAGUGUGCGAUGAUGAUCAUAUCAAUCUUGGAACCACUUCCAACACACAUCGUCACUUCACCCUUAACUAGUCUCUGUUCAUUCUGCAACUCCCGUUUUGAGUUACUACUCUUAGCAACUGAACCAGUAUCAAAUACCGAGGGGUUGCUACGAACACUAGUAAAAUACACAUCAAUAAUCUGUAUAUCAAAUAUAUCUUUGUUCACUUUGCCAUCCUUCUUAUCCGCCAAUACUUGGGGCAGUUCCGCUUCCAGUGACCAGUCCCUUUGUAGUAGAAGCACUUAGUCUCAGGCUUAGGACCAGACUUGGGCUUCUUCACUUGAGCAGCAACUUGCUUGUUGUUCUUCUUGAAGUUCCCCUUCUUCCCUUUGCCCUUUCUCUUGAAACUAGUGGUCUUGUCAACCAUCAACACUUGAUGUUUUUCUUGAUUUCUACCUUCGCCGAUUUUUGCAUCACGAAGAGCUUGGGAAUCGUUUCCGUUAUCCCUUGCAUAUUAUAGUUCAUCACGAAGUUCUACUAACUUGGUGAUGGUGACUAGAGAAUUCUGUCAAUCACUAGUUUAUCUGGAAGAUUAACUCCCACUUGAUUCAAGCGAUUGUAGUACCCAGACAAUCAGAGCACAUGCUCACUGCUUGAGCUAUUCUCCUCCAUCUUUUAGCUAUAGAACUUGUUGGAGACUUCAUAUCUCUCAACUCGGGUAUUUACUUGAAAUAUUAACUUCAACUCUUGGAACAUCUCAUAUGGUCCAUGACAUUCAAAAUGUCUUUGAAGUCCCGAUUCUAAGCUGUUAAGCAUGGUGCACUAAACUAUCAAGUAGUCAUCAUAUUGAGCUAGCCAAACAUUCAUAACGUCUGCAUCUACUCCUGCAAUAGGUCUGUCACCUAGCGGUGCAUCAAAGACAUAAUUCUUCUGUGCAGCAAUGAGGAUAAUCCUCAGAUCACGGAUCCAAUCCGCAUCAUUGCUACUAACAUUUUUCAACAUAAUUUUUCUCUAGGAACACAAUAAACUGGGAGCAACAUCGUGAGCUAUUGAUCUACAACAUAGAUAUGCUAAUACUACCAGGACUAAGUUCAUGAUAAAUUAAAGUUCAAUUAAUCAUAUUACUUAAGAACUCCCACUUAGACAGACAUCCCUCUAAUAUUCUAAGUGAUCACGUGAUCCAUAUCAACUAAACCAUGUCCGAUCAUCACGUGAGAUGGAGUAGUUUCAAUGGUGAAAAACACUAUGUUGAUCAUAUCUACUAUAUGAUUCACGCUCGACCUUUCGGUCUCCGUGUUCCGAGGCCAUAUCUGUUAUAUGCUAGGCUCAUCAAGUUUAACCUGAAUAUUCCGCAUGUGCAACUGUUUUGCACCCGUUGUAUCUGAACGUAGAGCCUAUCACACCCGAUCAUCACAUGGUGUCUCAGCACGAAGAACUUUCGCAACGGUGCAUACUCAGGGAGAACACUUGUACCUUGAUAAUUAGUGAGAGAUCAUCUUAUAAAGCUACCGUCGAAAUAAGCAAAAUAAGAUGUAUAAAAGAUAAACAUCAUAUGCAAUCAAAAUAUGUGACAUGAUAUGGCCAUCAUCAUCUUGUGCCUUUGAUCUCCAUCUCCAAAGUAUCAUCAUGAUCUCCAUCUUCUCCGGCAUGACACCAUGAUCUCCAUCAUCUUGAUCUAUAUCAAUGUGUCGUCACAUGGUUGUCUCGCCAACAAUUGCUCUUGCAACUAUUGCUAUCGCAUAGCGAUAAAGUAAAGCAAUUAUUUGGUGCUUGAAUCUUAUGCAAUAGAGGGAUAACCAUAAGGCUUUUGCCUGUUGCUGAUAACUUCAACAAAACAUGAUCAUCUCAUACAACAACUUAUAUCUCAUCACGUCUUGACCAUAUCACAUCACAACAUGCCCUGGAAAAACAAGUUAGACGUCCUCUACUUUGUUGUUGCAAGUUUUACGUGGCUGCUACAGGCUUAGCAAGAACCGUUCUUACCUACGCAUCAAAACCACAAUGAUAGUUUGUCAAGUUGGUGCUGUUUUAACCUUCGCAAGGACCGGGCGUAGCCACACUUGGUUCAACUAAAGUUGGAGAAACUAACACCCGCCAGCCACAUGUGUGCAAAGCACGUCGGUAGAACAAGUCUCGCGUAAGCGUACGCGUAAUGUCGGUCCAGGUCGCUUCAUCCAACAAUACCGCCGAACCAAAGUGUGACAUGCUGGUAAGCAGUAUGACUUAUAUCGCCCACAACUCACUUCUGUUCUACUCGUGCACAACAUCAACACAUAAAACCUAGGCUCUGAUACCACUGUUGGGGAACGUAGUAAUUUCAAAAAAUUUCCUACGGACAUGCAAGAUCAUGGUGAUGCAUAGCAACGAGAGGGGAGAGUGUUGUCUACGUACCAUCGUAGACCGGAAGCGGAAGCGUUAGCACAAUGCGGUUGAUGUAGCCGUAAGUCUUCACGACCCGACCGAUCAAGCACUGAAACUACGGCACCUCCGAGUUCUAGCACACGUUCAGCUCGAUGACGAUCCCCGGACUCCGAUCCAGCAGAAUGUCGGGGAAGAGUUCCGUCAGCACGACGGCAUGGUGACGAUCUUGAUGUUCUACCAUCGCAGGGCUUCGCCUAAGCACCGCUACAAUAUUAUCGAGGAUUAUGGUGGAGGAGGGCACCACACAUGGCUAAUAGAUCUUAAGGAUCAAUUGUUGUGUCUAUGGGAUGCCCCCUGCCCCCGUAUAUAAAGGAGCAAGGGGGGAGGCGGCCGGCCUAGGAGGAGGGCGCGCCAAGGGGGGAGUCCUACUCCCACCGGGAGUAGGACUCCUCCUUCCCUUGUUGGAGUAGGAGAGAAGGAAAGAGGGGGAGAGGAACAAGGAAAAGGGAGCUGCACCCCUUGUCCAAUUCGAACCAGAGGGGGGGCGCGCGCCUCCUUCAUUUUGGCCUCUCUCCUCUAUUCCCGUAUGGCCCAAUAAUGCCCAUAUACUCCCCGGCGAAUUCUCGUAACUCUCCGGUACUCCGAAAAAUACCCGAAUCACUCGGAACCUUUCCGAUGUCCGAAUAUAGUCGUCCAAUAUAUCGAUCUUUACGUCUCGACCAUUUCGAGACUUCUCUUCAUGUCCCUGAUCUCAUCCGGGACUCCGAACUCCUUAGGUACAUCAAAACUCAUAAACUCAUAAUAUAACUGUCAUCGAAACCUUAAGCGUGCGGACCCUACAGGUUCGAGAACAAUGUAGACAUGACCGAGACACGUCUCCAGUAAAUAACCAAUAGCGGAACCUGGAUGCUCUUAUUGGCUCCCACAUAUUCUACGAAGAUCUUUAUGAGUCAAACCGCAUAACAACAUACGUUGUUCCCUUUGCCAUCGGUAUGUUACUUGCCCGAGAUUCGAUCGUUGGUAUCUCAAUACCUAGUUCAAUCUCGUUACCGGCAAGUCUCUUUACUCGUUCCGUAGCACAUCAUCCCGCAACUAACUCAUUAGUUGCAAUGCUUGCAAGGCUUAUAGUGAUGUGCAUUACCGAGUGGGCCCAGAGAUACCUCUCCAACAAUCGGAGUGACAAAUCCUAAUCUCGAAAUACGCCAACCCAACAUGUACCUUCGGAGACACCUGCAGAGCACCUUUAUAAUCACCCAGUUACGUUGUGACGUUUGGUAGCACACAAAGUGUUCUUCCGGUAAACGGGAGUAGCAUAAUCUCAUAGUCAUAGGAACAUGUAUAAGUCAUGAAGAAAGCAAUAGCAACAAACUAAAUGAUCAAGUGCUAUGCUAACGAAAUGGGUCAAGUCAAUCAUAUCAUUCUCCUAAUGAUGUGAUCCCGUUAAUCAAAUGACAACUCAUGUCUAUGGUUAGGAAACAUAACCAUCUUUGAUCAACGAGCUAGUCAAGUAGUGGCAUACUAGUGACACUCUGUUUGUCUAUGUAUUCACACAUGUAUUAUGUUUCCGGUUAAUACAAUUCUAGCAUGAAUAAUAAACAUUUAUCAUGAUAUAAGGAAAUAAAUAAUAACAUUAUUAUUGCUUCUAGGUCAUAUUUCCUUCAAUUAAUUGAUUCCACUUAGUAUAACCAGAGCAUGACUGCUAUAAAGCACCCAACCUAUAUAGAUCCAUUGCACAUCCACAAAGAUAGAAAGCUACACAUACAACCGCUGAAAACACAACUCAUAAUUAAAACAAAAACCUCCUACAUAACAUAGUUUUUCUACAAAUCAAGGAUGAAGACUGUCCAGGUGGUGCUCAUAUGCCUUGUCCUUUCGGUGCUCUGUUCAGUUAUUUUGCCGGUAUGUUUUUCUCCACCGCACUUGUAGGAAAUAUAUUUCGGCUUAUCCGUGCUCCUGCUCUCGAAACCCCGCAGGCAUCGCUGCUCGCUGUGACCAGUAAAACGUCUCCAAGGCAUGUCCAAGCAUAGCUUCAUGCACAACACUGUGCACCUAUAAAUAUAAGGCGGACACGGUUUAUGGUGUAUGUGUUGAUAACGGAUGCUGGUGCGUAGUCUGCGUGAUACCACCUGCAGCUCAAUCUGCGUCUGCAACCCAGAUUGUGCCUGCAGGGAAUUAAAGGAUAUCGCUUGCUUCCCUUUCUUCCUAAAUAGAAUAAAACAGUGUCUGAUUAAUGUAUUUUGCUCGUACUGACAACAUUGUAUCGGUGUAUCAUGUAGCAAGGACCCGCGAGGCAAAAUAACAACCUAUUAAUAUUGAGUGCUCUUUGGCGAAAUGCAUGAUUAAUCAAUUGGACACCGUAGAGGAUGUAUAAAUAUCCUUUCAUUGCGAGUGGCCAUGAAAAUACAUUUGUGGAUUUUUUUCUCCAUGUUGAGAACAUUACCAAACCAUCGGAACCGGUCCUCCAUGCAAGUUGCAUGUGGAUGGGAGAUUCAUAGCCAAGAUAGUGAAUAAACAACUCCAUAAGAAACCUUGUUCUGAUCUCGUCAAAACUAUCAAACCCAUCACUUCACACCAUAAACCUAGCAAGCCGGUUCAAAUCUGGUCGAGAAGAAGCCCUUGGGUCCUCGGUGGUCAUCUGAAAGGCAACUUGAAUCACAAAGAGAGUGUCCCUGAUGGACCUGCAGGGUCUGCAGCGACGAUCAUCGGCAUGGCAGAUCGAUCAUGAGAUGAAUGCUAAAGGGGCAAGCUAACAUUUGGCAAACGCUGGGUGAAGACAACUGAUGAAAAGUACCCACACGGAUAAUCCAUGCUAACCGAGGCCAGCAGCCGCAUGCAUGGCCAGCACGAGACCUGGGUACACUAGUAGAAAAAGGCCCAUUUGUCCUGGUUCCAGAGGCCCUUAUGUCCCGGUUCUAGACCCGUGACUAAAGGUUCGGGACUAAAGCACAUGACCUUUAGUCUCGGUUCGCUUAUGAACCGGGACAGAUGGGCCCCCAAGUGGCCUCUCCGCCGAGCCCAGGCAGGAGGGCCUUUGGUCCCAGGUUGUAACACCAACCAGGACCAAAAAGUGUCCAUGCGUCAGCAGCUCAGGAGCUGGGGUUUUUGUUUUUUUGGAAGGGGGGGGUUGGUGUUUUGGAGUCGUUAAUUGGCCCAUACAUCCCAUCUAAGGAAGCCACAGGAGGCGGUCGACAGAGCCCAAUCGCGCGAGUGGAUCAAGCACCAAGAUCCCAACCGAGGCGAGCGAGGAGGCGCGCGAGGAUCGAACGCGACGCCUCUCAGCCGAGGUUGCAAGGGAAGCCGAUCCAGCCGACGAGGGAAUCCAGCGGACACGCCGGACGUGGGCGAUAAUGGUCGGCAACCCAUCUGCUGGGAACUGAUCACAAUCGUACUUCAGUUUCUAAGAGCGCAUUCUUGGCGAUUGUUGUGCCCAUCGUUUCCGCUGUCGAGUGGUACUUCUAUAUUGUUCCUCCCAUAACAAUCCUCGGUCACCUUCUCUUCUCUGAUAGCACAAGCAUCUUUCAUCAUCAUGCUCUGGUAUUACUUAUGCAUGAUUCCUUAAGAUUCGUCAUUGAGGUUUACAAUCGUUCAUUAUUUUAGUUGUUCUUUCAGAUUCGUCAUUGUGCCCUACAUGAGUCUCUGUCAAAAUUUGCAUGUGUUAACUCUGUAAGUAUGUAUGUAUGCAAUUUGAUAUUUUAUAAUACUAACAUUUGUCCACUUUGUCCUAAAGUAGUUUUUGCUGCUUGGAGGUGAGCAAAGCGAAGGUAUCCCAUUAUCAUGAUUCAGAUGACUCAUGUUAUUCUCUUUAUUGUCAAUGCAACCGAUUCCGGUUUAUGUCUCUUCUUGGAAUAAAAAAAUGCAUAUAUGAACCUGACUUCUCAUGGGUUAGAUUUUUUAGUUGAAUACAGUUUUGCAAACAGAUUAUUUAUGUAUGUUUCUUAGAAAACAUUGCUCCUUGAAUAAUACCCCAUGAUACUUAAACAAGCUCUAUGUCAUUUUUACUAGUUCAGUUUGGUGGUGGUUUAUAUUGAGGACUUGAUCAUUUCUCAUGCAUGCUAAAAGAUUUAUCUAACAUGCAGUUUUGUUCAGGUACAUUUCAUUCUUUUGUACAUUGAAAACUAGUGUUGGUAUAUUUUAUAGCUAGACUGUGCACAUAAGUGUAGAGGCCAUUAGUUAUGUUGUUCAAGCUAUGUUGGUACCUAUUUGAAGAUUAAUUCCAGUCUGGUAUGUUCCAUUGUCAUCUGACAUUUAAUAGUAAAAUAUACUAUUGAAAAUUAGUUAAAUAUACAAUGAACACUUGAAAUAAAGAAAUGUUAUGUCAGAUAAGUUAAACUGACUACAUAUUUGUCAAUGGCUUUCUCAAAUGUAGGUUUCAAAUCAGAUGUCAUUCAAAACUCAUCCUUGAAUUACCUUUAUACUUGAUUAACCGGACUACAUCAUGGAGUUGUCGUCUUUGUAGUUUGAUGAAAUAAGGCCCAUGGUUGUUUGCUUUCCACUCUUAAAUUGCCUUUAGUUUGAAAGAAGGCCCAUGGUUGUUUGCUUUCCACUCUUAAAUUGCCUUUUUGACAGCAACAAAAAACUAUACUAAUAGGAGUUUUGAUUUCCCUUCUUCCUGUACUUUUUCUAUAUCACAAAGAAUUGUUCACGCCUUAUUUGUCCAUUUCGUGUUGACAUUUCAACUUGACCAUUACGAGAGUAGCAUGAUUUUAUUUAUGAUUAUUGCUGUUGUAGAGGUGUUAAAUAUAUAAAGUAUGAAAGGUGUAAUUUCAUGAAAGUACUUUGUAAUAUCAGCUUCCUUUGCCUGAUUGAUGUUGCUUUACAAUCUUAUUUGUCGGCAUUUUGUUCAGCGAGUUAAUGCCUUUUCCAUGCUGUGAGGUCAUAUAUGUUGCAGGCACAGAGCACCCAAGAUUUUUCCAUAGACACAAAAGCAGUGCUCCGGCUGUAGCAUUAAUUACACACACUCGUAUUUCCUAGGCUGCUAUAUAAAUAUGCACAAAAGGAUUUCUAUAUCAAAUACACGUUUAUGAUCAGUGCGUAUUUUCUUCCUCCUGACAAUGCUUACCCUGCUUACAGUUAUCUACAUGGGUCUGGUUCCUUUUAAUAUCAAUAUUUGUCAUCAGAUUCUGAUAUACAUUGUUUCAGUCCAAAUUAUACAGGGUGCACAUUUUCUACAUUUAAUUUCGACUAAGACUUUCUUUUCUUGGUGGUAUGAUCACUUACCAGUAAUUUGAUGGUUAUCUAUAUAUAUAUUGAAUUUUCAUAGCAUUUUAACCUCCGAUAUCAAUAUAUUUUCAUAAUAUAAAUUGUUCAAUUUCAUUUCCAAUGUAUUUUACUCAUAUAUUUUUAUUAUUUCAUAAUAUUAAUGGUAUGACAAAUAUAUGAUUUAGUCGUUUGCAAAAAAAUUCUUGACUCGUGUAUUUUUCAAAAUUCCUUUCAUUCUUUUAAAACUAAACGGGUGCGGCAACACGCGCCAUCAAUGAUCGAGUCAUAAGUGAUGUCCCGACGAGAUUCUUUCAAUGUCAAUGACUUUACUUUUUGGCAAGAUACUUUGGAGGUACGUAAAGCUAUAGAUCAGCGAUGGAUCAACGUUGAGGUCAGGUAAAGAGGCGAUCUGUCCACUUCUUCUAGGGUGGCCGCCACGGUGGUGCCGGCGUUGAGUGACGGGCAUUGGUAUCUUGCUCAAGGGUUUCUUCAGUCAAGAUUGUAAUUUUCUUUCUCGACUAGCUAAGGGUAGUUUUUGCAAUAGCUAGGGUUGUCCUAUAUUUUUUGGUUCUGUCAAGUCGGUGUUUAAGUGAUCGUAAUUUGAUAUUUAUUUUACAAUUGAGACAUACAUUACAUCAUGAAAGAAAAAAAUCAAGGCUACAGAUCACAUGACCUCGUCUCUCCCGCAUGACCGCCCAGGACCUGUGUAGUGCGUACGCCGGAUCGUAGGCUCAUACACGAUAUUAGAGCAACUCUAGCAGACCCCGCAUCCAGCCCCGAUCCGCAAAAUAACUGCCAAAGUGCGGGUCGGGGCGUGAAAAACGCCCUGAUCAGACCCCGCAUCCCGCCCCGGCCCGCAAAUUUUUUUUCGGGGCACGGCAAAAUAUCUCCCCCAACCUCUAGAUUCAUGGGCUAGAGGGACAUUUCCGCGUGUCCGUUCCCGCUCCCCCCGCCCUCAUAAGGGCCUUUAGUCCCGGUUCAUAAGGGCCUUUAGUCUCGGUUCUGGAACCAGGACUAAAGGGUCGGUACUAAAGCCUCCCCCUUUAGUCCCGAUUCAUAUACGAACCGGGACUAAAGGCCCUCCACGUGGCCGCUGCCUGGAGGUCCACCUUUAGUCGCGGUUGGUAACACCAACUGGUACUAAAGGAAAUUUUAUGAUUUUUCUGAAUUUUUUUUUUGAAUUUUUCUUGAUUUUUUUUGUUUUCAAAUUUCUGAAUUAUUUUAACCUCUAAUCUCUAAUCACCCCUCAUCACUGCUCAAUUUAACCUUUAAUCUCUAAUCACCCCUCAUGAUUCCAAAUCAUCUAACUUCCUGAACGGUCGCCCAUCCUCUCACUACUCCAGCCUGAGCACGCUUAACUUCCGGGUUCUAUUCUCCCUCGUUUCCAAGUCUGCACUUGUUGUUUUCCUGACAAUAGUAAGAUGUCAAUCCUAUUAACCCUCAGGAAUUUAGCUUGAGCAUGAAGUCACACAUUUCACUGUUUGAGUUUGAAACUAUUGUUCUAAGAAACAAUAAUUAUUUAGUAACACUAAUAUUUCUUGAAUAAAUAGUUUGACCCUAGUUUGACCCUAGUUUGACCAUAGUUUGACCAUAGUUUGACCAGAUUUGACCAAAAUUCAAAAAAGCUGAAAUAAUUAUUUAGUAACACUAAUAUUUCUUGAAUAAGUAGUUUGACCAUUGUUUAACCACAGUUUGACCAUAUUUGACCAAAAUUCAAAAAAAUGAAAUAAUUAUUUAGUAACACAAAUAUUCUUGAAUAAUUAUUUAGUAAGACUAAUACUUCUUGAAUAAGUGGUUUGACCAUAGUUUGACCAGAUUUAAAAAAUUCAAAAAAACCUGAAAUUUGAGCAUAAUUUGGCCAUAGUUUGACCAGAUUCGUUCUGAACAUUUUGAUAUAUUAUACGUUUUUCCCGACAUCGUAUGCAAAAGUUAUAGCCGUUUUACAUUUUCCCUACACUUUUUGCAAAACAUGUCCAAAUAUAAGUUUUUAAAUUUUCCUAACUAGUAGAUGUAGUAAUAUAACUACCUCUAGAAGGAUUUUAUUUUUUGAAGUUUUUAUCAUUUUCUUUUGAUUUUUUNNNNNNNNNNNNNNNNNNNNNNNNNNNNNNNNNNNNNNNNNNNNNNNNNNNNNNNNNNNNNNNNNNNNNNNNNNNNNNNNNNNNNNNNNNNNNNNNNNNNNNNNNNNNNNNNNNNNNNNNNNNNNNNNNNNNNNNNNNNNNNNNNNNNNNNNNNNNNNNNNNNNNNNNNNNNNNNNNNNNNNNNNNNNNNNNNNNNNNNNNNNNNNNNNNNNNNNNNNNNNNNNNNNNNNNNNNNNNNNNNNNNNNNNNNNNNNNNNNNNNNNNNNNNNNNNNNNNNNNNNNNNNNNNNNNNNNNNNNNNNNNNNNNNNNNNNNNNNNNNNNNNNNNNNNNNNNNNNNNNNNNNNNNNNNNNNNNNNNNNNNNNNNNNNNNNNNNNNNNNNGGCAUCGCACCCUUUAGUCUCAGUUCGUGUCUCAAACCUGGACUAAAGGGCUCAGGUGAACCGGGACUAAUGCCUUAGCCGCAUGAACCGGGACCAAUGCUCACAUUAGUCCCGGUUCGUGACUGAACCGGGACUAAUGUGAAUAUUGCCCCGUGACCAAAGCCCUGUUUUCUACUAGUGAUUCCCCGCCACCGCACGCUCCCCAGCCAUCCUUCACCACCAUGGAUGACUCCCUGCUGUCCCCCGUCACCGUCGAGGUCGCUGGCGCUCCUUCUCCUUGGGCGGAUCUCGUCGCUGGCCCUACUAGCCCCGCCGUGGCCCAAGGUCAAUCCGCGCCUGCCCGCAAGAGGCAAGGCAACGUGGUCGUGCAGGGCAGCGCUCCGGCAGCCCCUCCCCCGCGAGGGCCCACGCUCGAGGCGCCAACGCUGAUGCGCGAUCUCGGCCGACGGUGGAGAAGGUCGCCAAGGUCGCCGACGUCAAGAGGAAGAAGAUUCUGGCCACAAAGAAGCUUCCUCCUUCAUCCGCUCACUCCGGCCUAGAAAGAGGUGCCUCGGCGAUGCCGCUCAACGGUGUCGCUCCCCCCACAAGCGAGGUGUUUGACGAAAUGGCCGGUAGGUAUGUGUCUUCGGUCAUGGCAAUUUUUCUUUUCUUUUUGCCAUUUUGCGAUAGCUCGUGACUUGUUGUGCUUCACUAUAGCGGUGGUUCGAACAAUGCAACUGCCAAGUUCGUGAACUUGUUGGACACCAAUGCCGUUGAAAUUGAUCAAGUCCCGUUUGAAGCAUUCGACUACAAUGAAACGGAGGCCGGCGUGGACGAUCAUGGUUUUCAGGAUGAUUUAGAGGAGAUCGAAGAGGAAGCAUAUGAGCAAUCACAAACAAAAACUAGGAAAAGCCAGAGAUUGAAGAACUACACGAUCUUGGAAGAUCAAGUUCUCAUCAAUGCAUGGACUACCAUGUCACUUCAUGCAUGCACGGGUACUUCUCAAACCGCCAAGAGGUAUUGGCAAAGGAUCAACGAUCAAUACUUCUGCAUGAUGGCAAAGUACCCCAAUAGGACUCCACACACAUUUCAGUCUCUUCAAGGUCGUUGGGAGAAUAUCAAGCCUAUGUGCAGCCGUUAGGCAGCUUGCUUGGAGAGCAAGUACGCAAUGCACCUCCAAGUGGAGCCGUGGAAUCCGACUAUGUGAGUUUGUUUUGCCUUUGUUCAACUUGUGCAUCAUCAUAUUACAUCAUAUGAAAUGAUUGCAUCAUUUCACUUUGUUCACAUUGUGUAGAAAAUUUUUGCCCAACAUAGAUACAAAGUCAUGGAAGCUUUAGAAGGCAAAUUCUUCAAACUAGAGCAUUGUUGGGAGUUGCUCCAAAAGUGCGAUAAGUGGAAGUUGAUCGAGAAAGAAUCCCCAUAGAAGAUAGGCUCACUUACAAACAUGAAUGAUGAUGAGGAUGAUGAUGGCCCAAGGAAUUUGAACAAGCCCGAUGGCGACAAGAAUACUAAGGAGAAGAUGAAGAGAGAGCAUGAAGCAUCGAGCUUGAGGGAGAAGAUUGAUGCCAUGGUGUAAUCAAAUGAGUUGAUGUUGUUGAAGUCAUUGGAGAUCAAGAAAGAGUUGGCCGAGAAGAAGGGAAAGGAGAAGCAGGAAAAGUGGCAAUUGCUCAAGGAAUAGGGGCUGCGCAAAGCGGCCAUUGAGGAUAGAAGAGCACGUGUCGAUGAAAACAAAGCCAUGUCCAAGUUGCUCGCCGAAGAGAACAAGAUCAUGUCAAUGGCCGCAAUGACGUGGACGACCUCACCAAAACAUGGAUUGAUAUGGCAAGGAGAGAAAUCUUGAAGAAGAGAAUGGUUGUGUCGGCCGGUGCGUGUUACAGUUCCGGAGAUGUUUUCUCUGUUGGCAAUGUCGAUGAUUUCGGUGCGGGAGUUGGAACAAGCGCCGGAGGUGGAUUCGGUGGUGGUGAUGAACUUCAAGAUGGACUUGAUGGUGGGAGUGAAGAUCGACCAAGAUGAUGCCGGACGUGGUCGUCACUUUUUCAAGACCCUCUUUUGCGUUUGUCCUACUAAACAGAGGCUUUUAUUUGCGCGUAAACUCUGUUAUGUUGUUUGAAUUUGAACUUAUUUGUGGGCACCAAUGUCAAAUUUGAGAAUUGGGCAUUUUUUGUUUGCGGGUUGACACGGCGGUGCCCGUGCAGACACAGCAAAAGCCAACUCGUAAGAAGGUAUAUCCUUUUAUACGGGUCCGUUUGGGGGUCUGCAUCUGCGGCCGUGCGAGUCAGCCCGCAAAAGCCGUUUUCCACGAACUGCAAACGCGUUUUGCGGGCCGGCCAGAUGCGGGGUCUGGUAGAGUUGCUUGUCAGUACUUCAUAUGUUCAUAUCCAUAACCAAAAUAAUAGGUGCGGAUAUGCAUGUCUUAAUUAACCACCAUAAAAUGGGAUACUAAUAGGAUCCAGUUUAUCCCCUAUACUUAGCAAAACUAUAAAUUUAUACUAAUGAACUAGAAUAAUAAUAAGCUUCACGUCCACCCAUUUACCUUUUUUAAUGUUUCAAUAUAUGUUAUUAAUGUUGGGGAACGUAGUAAUUUCAAAAAAAUUCCUACGCACACGCAAGAUCAUGGUGAUGCAUAGCAACGAGAGGGGAGAGUGUUGUCUACGUACCCUCGUAGACCGGAAGCGGAAGCGUUAGCACAACGCGGUUGAUGUAGUCAUAGGUCUUCACGGACCGACCGAUCAAGCACCGAAACUACGACACCUCCGACUUCUAGCACACGUUCAGCUCGAUGAUGAUCCCCGGACUCCGAUCCAGCAGAAUGGGAAGAGUUCCGUCAGCACGACGGCGUGGUGACGAUCUUGAUGUUCUACUGUCGCAGCCCUUCACCUAAGCACAGCUACAAUAUUAUCGAGGAUUAUGGUGGAGGAGGGCACCGCACGGCUAAUAGAUCUCAAGGAUCAAUUAUUGUGUCUAUGGGGUGCCCCUGCCCCCGUAUAUAAAGGAGCAAGGGGGAGGCGGCCGGCCUAGGAGGAGGGCGCGCCAAGGGGGGAGUCCUACUCCCACCGGGAGUAGGACUCCUCCUUCCCUUGUUGGAGUAGGAGAGAAGGAAAGAGGGGGAGAGGAACAAGGAAAAGGGGGCUGCACCCCUUGUCCAAUUCGGACCAGAGGGGGCGCGCGCGCGUCCUUCCUUUUGGCCUCUGUCCUCUAUUCCCGUAUAGCCCAAUAAGGCCCAUAUACUCCCCGGCGAAUUCCCGUAACUCUCCGGUACUCCGAAAAAUACCCGAAUCACUCAGAACCUUUCCGACAUUCGAAUAUAGUCAUCCAAUAUAUCGAUCUUUACGUUUCGACCAUUUCAAGACUCCUCGUCAUGUCCCUGAUCUCAUCCGGGACUCCGAACUCCUUAGGUACAUCAAACUCAUAAACUCAUAAUAUAACUAUCAUCGAAACCUUAAGCGUGCGGACCCUAUGGGUUCGAGAACAAUGUAGAAAUGACCGAGACACGUCUCCGGUCAAUAACCAAUAGCGGAACCUGAAUGCUCAUAUUGGCUCCCACAUAUUCUACGAAGAUCUUUAUCGGUCAAACCGCAUAACAACAUACGUUGUUCCCUUUGCCAUCGGUAUGUUACUUGCCCGAGAUUCGAUCAUUGGUAUCUCAAUACCUAGUUCAAUCUCGUUACCGGCAAGUCUCAUUACUCGUUCCGUAACACAUCAUCCUGCAACUAACUCAUUAGUUGCAAUGUUUGCAAGGCUUAUAGUGAUGUGCAUUACCGAGUGGGCCCAGCGAUACCUCUCCGACAAUCGGAGUGACAAAUCCUAAUCUCGAAAUAUGCCAACCCAACAAGUACCUUCAGAGACACCUGUAGAGCACCUUUAUAAUCACCCAGUUACGUUGUGAUGUUUGGUAGCACACAAAGUGUUCCUCCGGUAAACGGGAGUUGCAUAAUCUCAUAGUCAUAGGAACAUGUAUAAGUCAUGAAGAAAGCAAUAGCAACAAACUAAACGAUCAAGUGCUAUGCUAACGGAAUGGGUCAAGUCAAUCACAUCAUUCUCCUAAUGAUGUGAUCCCGUUAAUCAAAUGACAACUCAUGUCUAUGGUUUGGAAACAUAACCAUCUUUGAUCAACGAGCUAGUCAAGUAGAGGCAUACUAGUGACACUCUGUUUGUCUAUGUAUUCACACAUGUAUUAUGUUUCCGGUUAAUACAAUUCUAGCAUGAAUAAUAAACAUUUAUCAUGAUAUAAGGAAAUAAAUAAUAACUUUAUUAUUGCCUUUAGGGCAUAUUUCCUUUAGUCUCCCACUUGCACUAGAGUCAAUAAUCUAGUUCACAACGCCAUAUGAUUUAACAUCAAUAGUUCACAUCACCAUGUGAUUAACAACCAUAGUUCACAUCGUCAUGUGACCAACACCCAAAGGGUUUACUAGAGUCAAUAAUCUAGUUCACAUUGCUAUGUGAUUAAUACCCAAAUAGUAGUAAGGUGUGAUCAUGUUUUGCUUGUGAGGGAAGUUUAGUCAAUGGGUCUGCUACAUUCAUAUCCGUAUGUAGUUUGCAAAUUUCUAUGUCAACAAUGCUCUGCAUGGAGCUACUCUAGCUAAUUUCUCCCACUUUAAAUAUGUAUCCAGAUUGAGACUUUGAGUCAUCUGGAUCAGUGUCAAAACUUGCAUCGACGUAACCCUUUAUGACGAAACUUUUGUCACCUCCAUAAUUGAGAAACAUAUCCUUAUUCCACUAUGGAUAAUUUUGACCAAUGUCCAGUGAUCUACUCCUAGAUCACUAUUGUACUCCCUUGCCAAACUCAGGGCAGGGUAUACAAUAGCUCUGGUACAUAGCAUGGCAUACUUUAUAGAACCUAUGGCUAAGGCAUAGGGAAUGACUUUCAUUCUCUCUCUAUCUUCUACCGUGGUCGGGUUUUGAGUCUUACUCAACUUCACACCUUCUAACACAGGCAAGAACUCCUUCUUUGACUGUUCCAUUUUGAACUACUUCAAAAUCUUGUCAAGGUAUGUACUUAUUGAAAAACUUAUCAAGCAUCUUGAUCUAUCUCUAUAGAUCUUGAUGCUCAAUAUGUAAGCAGCUUCACCGAGGUCUUUCUUUGAAAAACUCCUUUCAAACAUUCCUUUAUGCUUUCCAGAAUAAUUCUACAUUAUCUCCGAUCAACUAUAUGUCAUUCACAUAUACUUAUCAGAAAUGUUGUAGUGCUCCCACUCACUUUCUUGUAAAUACAGGUUUCACCGCAAGUCUGUAUAAAACUAUAUGCUUUGAUCAACUUAUCAAAGCAUAUAUUCCAACUCCGAGAUGCUUGCACCAGUCCAUAGAUGGAUCGCCGGAGCUUGCAUAUUUUGUUAGCACCUUUAGGAUUGAAAAAACUUUCUUGUUGCAUCAUAUACAACUCUUCUUUAAUAAAUCCAUUAAGGAAUGUAGUUUUGUUUAUCCAUUUGCCAGAUUUCAUAAAAUGUGGCAAUUGCUAACAUGAUUCGGAUAGACUUAAGCAUAGAUACGAGUGAGAAACUCUCAUCGUAGUCAACACCAUGAACUUGUCGAAAACCUUUUGCGACAAUUCUAGCUUUGUAGAUAGUAACACUACUACCAGCGUCCGUCUUCCUCUUGAAGAUCCAAUUAAUCUCAAUUGCUUGCCGAUCAAUGGGCAAGUCAACCAAAGUCCACACUUUGUUCUCAUACAUGGAUCCCAUCUUAGAUUUCAUGGCCUCAAGCCAUUUCGCGGAAUCUGGGCUCAUCAUCGCUUCCUCAUAGUUCAUAGGUUCGUCUUGGUCAAGUAACAUGAACUCCAGAGUAGGAUUACCUUACCACUCUGGUGCGGAUCUCACUCUGGUUGACCUACGAGGUUUGGUUGUAACUUGAUCUGAAGUUACAUGAUCAUCAUCAUUAGCUUCCUCACUAAUUGGUGUAGUAGUCACAGGAACAGAUUUCUGUGAUGAACUACUUUCCAAUAAGGGAGCAGGUAUAGUUACCUCAUCAAGUUCUACUUUCCUCUCACUUAAUUCUUUCGAGAGAAAUUCCUUCUCUAGAAAGGAUCAAUUCUCAGCAACAAAUAUCUUGCCUUCGGAUCUGUGAUAGAAGGUGGACCCAACAUUUUCUUUUGUGUAUCCUAUGAAGACGCACUUCUCCGAUUUGGGUUUGAGCUUAUCAGGUUGAAACUUUUUCACAUAAGCAUUGCAACCUCAAACUUUAAGAAAUGACAGCUUAGGUUUCUUGCCAAACCAUAGUUCAUACGGUGUUGUCUCAACGGAUUUAGAUGGUGCCCUAUUUAAUAUGAAUGUAGCUGUCUCUAAUGCAUAACCCCAAAACGAUAGUGGUAGAUUGGUAGGAGACAUCAUAGAUCGCACCAUAUAUAAUAAAGUACGGAUACGAUGUUCGGACACACCAUUACACUAUGGUGUUCCAGGUGGCGUGAGUAGUGAAACUAUUUCACCUUGUUUUAACUGAAGGCCAAACUCGUAACUCAAAUAUUUUACUUCUGCGAUCAUAUUGUAGAAACUUUUAUUUUUGUUAUGAUGAUUCUCCACUUCACUCUGAAAUUCUUUGAACUUUUCAACUUUUUUAGACUUGUGUUUCAUUAAGUAGAUAUACCCAUAUCUGCACAAAUCAUAUGUGAAGGUCAGAAAAUAACAAUAAUUGCCGUGAGCCUUAACACUCAUCAGACCGCAUACAUCAGUAUGUAUUAUUUCCAAUAAGUCAGUUGCUCGCUCCAUUGUUCCGGAGAACGGAGUCUUAGUCAUCUUGCCCAUGAGGCAUGGUUCACAAGCAUCAGGUGAUUCAUAAUCAAGUGAUUCCAAAAGUCCAUCAGCAUGGAGUUUCUUCAUGCGCUUUACACCAAUAUGACCUAAACGGCAGUGCCACAAAUAAGUUGCACUAUCAUUAUUAAUUUUGCAUCUUUUGGUUUCAAUAUUAUGAAUAUGUGUAUCACUACAAUCGAGAUCCAAUGAACCAUUUUCAUUGGGUGUGUAACCAUAUAAGGUUUUAUUCAUGUAAACAGAACAACAAUUUAUUCUCUUACUUAAAUGAAUAACCGUAUUGCAAUAAACAUGAUCAAAUCAUAUUCAUGCUCAACGCAAACACUAAAUAACAUUUAUUUAGGUUCAACACUAAUCCCGGAAGUAUAGGGAGUGUGCGAUGAUGAUCAUAUCAAUCUUGGAACCACUUCCAACACACAUCAUCACUUCACCCUUAACUAGUCUUUGUUCAUUCUGCAACUCCCGUUUCGAGUUACUACUCUUAGCAACUGAACCAGUAUCAAAUACUAAUGGGUUGCUACAAGCACUAGUAAAAUACACAUCAAUAAUCUGUAUAUCAAAUAUAUCUUUGUUCACUUUGCCAUCCUUCUUAUCCGCCAAAUAAUUGGGGCAGUUCCGCUUCCAGUGACCAGUCCCUUUGCAGUAGAAGCACUUAGUCUCAGGCUUAGGACUAGACUUGGGCUUCUUCACUUGAGCAGCAACUUGCUUGUCGUUCUUCUUGAAGUUCCCCUUCUUCCCUUUGCCCUUUCUCUUGAAACUAGUGGUCUUGUCAAACAUCAACACUUGAUGUUUUUCUUGAAUUCUACCUUCACCGAUUUUUGCAUCAUGAAGAGCUUGGGAAUCGUUUCUGUUAUGCCUUGCAUAUUAUAGUUCAUCACAAAGUUCUACUAACUUGGUGAUGAUGACUAGAGAAUUCUGUCAAUCACUAUUUUAUCUGGAAGAUUAACUCCCACUUGAUUCAAGCGAUUGUAGUAGCCAGAUAAUCUGAGCACAUGCUCACUUCUUGAGCUAUUCUCCUCCAUCUUUUAGCUAUAGAACUUGUUGGAGACUUCAUAUCUCUCAACUCGGGUAUUUACUUGAAAUAUUAACUUCAACUCCUGGAACAUCUCAUAUGGUCCAUGACAUUCAAAACGUCUUUGAAGUCCUGAUUCUAAGCCGUUAAGCAUGAUGCACUAAACUAUCAAGUAGUCAUCAUAUUGAGCUAGCCAAACGUUCAUAACGUCUGCAUCUACUCCUGCAAUAGGUCUGUCACCUAGCUGUGCAUCAAAGACAUAAUUCUUCUGUGCAGCAAUGAGGAUAAUCCUCAGAUCACGGAUCCAAUCCGCAUCAUUUCUACUAACAUUUUUCAAGAUAAUUGUUCUCUAGGAACACAAUAAACUGGGAGCAACAUCGCGAGCUAUUGAUCUACAACAUAGAUAUGCUAAUACUACCAGGACUAAGUUCAUGAUAAAUUAAAGUUCAAUUAAUCAUAUUACUUAAGAACUCCCACUUAGACAGACAUCCCUCUAAUAUUCUAAGUGAUCACGUGAUCCAUAUCAACUAAACCAUGUCCGAUCAUCACGUGAGAUGGAGUGGUUUCAAUGGUGAAAAUCACUAUGUUGAUCAUAUCUACUAUAUGAUUCACGCUCGACCUUUCGGUCUCCGUGUUCCGAGGCCAUAUCUGUUAUAUGCUAGGCUCGUCAAGUUUAACCUGAAUAUUCCGCGUGUGCAACUAUUUUGCACCCGUUGUAUUUGAACAUAGAGCCUAUCACACCCGAUCAUCAGGUGGCGUCUUAGCACAAAGAACUUUCGCAACGGUGCAUACUCAGGGAGAACACUUGUACCUUGAUAAUUAGUGAGCGAUCAUCUUAUAAAGCUACCGUCGAACUAAGCAAAAUAAGAUGUAUAAAAGAUAAACAUCAUAUGCAAUCAAAAUAUGUGACAUGAUAUGGCCAUCAUCAUCUUGUGCCUUUGAUCUCCAUCUCCAAAGUAUUGUCAUGAUCUCCAUCGUCACCGGCAUGACACCAUGAUCUCCAUCAUCUUGAUCUAUAUCAAUGUGUCGUCACAUGGUUGUCUCGCCAACAAUUGCUCUUGCAACUAUUGCUAUCGCAUAGAGAUAAAGUAAAGCAAUUAUUUGGUGCUUGCAUCUUAUGCAAUAGAGAGAUAACCAUAAGGCUUUUGCCUGUUGCUGAUAACUUCAACAAAACAUGAUCAUCUCAUACAACAACUUAUAUCUCAUCACGUGUUGACCAUAUCACAUCACAACAUGCCCUGCAAAAACAAGUUAGACGUCCUCUACUUUGUUGUUGCAAGUUUUACGUGGCUGCUACGGGCUUAGCAAGAACCGUUCUUACCUACGCAUUAAAACCACAAUGAUAGUUUGUCAAGUUGGUGCUAUUUUAAGCUUCGCAAGGACCGGGCAUAGCCACACUUGGUUCAACUAAAGUUGGAGAAACUAACACCCGCCAGCCACAUGUGUGCAAAGCACGUCAGUAGAACAAGUCUCACGUAAGCGUAUGCGUAAUGUCGGUCCGGGCCGCUUCAUCCAACAAUACCGCCGAACCAAAGUGUGACAUGCUGGUAAGAAGUAUGACUUAUAUCGCCGACAACUCACUUGUGUUCUACUCGUGCACAAGAUCAACACAUAAAACCUAGGCUCUGAUACCACUGUUGGGGAACAUAGUAAUUUCAAAAAAAUUCCUACGCACAUGCAAGAUCAUGGUGAUGCAUAGCAACGAGAUGGGAAAGUGUUGUCUACGUACCCUCGUAGACCGGAAGCGGAAGCGUUAGCACAACGCGGUUGAUGUAGUCGUAAGUCUUCACGGCCCGACUGAUCAAAGCAUCUAAACUACGGCACCUCCGAGUUCUAGCACACGUUCAGCUCGAUGAUGAUCCCUGGACUCCGAUCCAGCAGAAUGUCGGGGAAGAGUUCCGUCAGCACGACGGCGUGGUGACGAUCUUGAUGUUCUACCGUCGCAGGGCUUCGCCUAAGCACCGCUACAAUAUUAUUGAGGAUUAUGGUGGAGGAGGGCACCGCACACGGCUAAUAGAUCUCAAGAAUCAAUUGUUGUGUCUAUGGGGUGCCCCCUGCCCCCGUAUAUAAAGGAGCAAGGGGGGAGGCGGCCGGCCUAGGAGGAGGGCGCGCCAAGGGGGGAGUCCUACUCCCACCAGGAGUAGGACUCCUCCUUCCCUUGUUGGAGUAGGAGAAAAGGAAAGAGGGGGAGAGGAACAAGGAAAAGGGGGCUGCACCCCUUGUCCAAUUCGGACCAGAGGGGGGGCGCACGCUUCCUUCCUUUUAGCCUCUCUCCUCUAUUCCCGUAUGGCCCAAUAAGGCCCAUAUACUCCCCGGCGAAUUCCCAUAACUCUCCGGUACUCCAAAAAAUACCCGAAUCACUCGGAACCUUUCCGAUGUCCGAAUAUAGUCGUCCAAUAUAUCGACCUUUAUGUCUUGACCAUUUCGAGACUCCUCUUCAUGUCCCCGAUCUCAUCCGGGACUCCGAACUCCUUCGGUACAUCAAAACUCAUAAACUCAUAAUAUAACUGUCAUCGAAACCUUAAGCGUGCGGACCCUACGGGUUCAAGAACAAUGUAGACAUGACCGAGACACGUCUCCAGUCAAUAACCAAUAGCGGAACCUGGAUGCUCAUAUUGGCUCCCACAUAUUCUACGAAGAUCUUUAUCGGUCAAACCGCAUAACAACAUACGUUGUUCCCUUUGCCAUCGGUAUGUUACUUGCCUGAGAUUUGAUUGUUGGUAUCUCAAUACCUAGUUCAAUCUCAUUACGGGCAAGCCUCUUUACUCGUUCCGUCACACAUCAUCCCGCAACUAACUCAUUAGUUGCAAUGCUUGCAAGGCUUAUAUUGAUGUGCAUUACCGAGUGGGGCCAGAGAUACCUCUCCGACAAUCGGAGUGACAAAUCCUAAUCUCGAAAUACGCCAACCCAACAAGUACCUUCGGAGACACCUGUAGAGCACCUUUAUAAUCACCCAGUUAUGUUGUGACGUUUGGUAGCACACAAAGUGUUCCUCCGGUAAACGGGAGUUGCAUAAUCUCAUAGUCAUAGGAACAUGUAUAAGUCAUGAAGAAAGCAAUAGCAACAAACUAAACGAUCAAGUGCUAUGCUAACAGAAUGGGUCAAGUCAAUCAUCUCAUUCUCCUAAUGAUGUAAUCCCGUAUAUCAAAUGACAACUCAUGUCUAUGGUUAGGAAACAUAACCAUCUUUGAUCAACGAGCUAGUCAAGUAGAGGCAUACUAGUGACACUCUGUUUGUCUAUGUAUUCACACAUGUAUUAUGUUUCUGGUUAAUACAAUUCUAGCAUGAAUAAUAAACAUUUAUCAUGAUAUAAGCAAAUAAAUAAUAACUUUAUUAUUGCCUCUAGGGCAUAUUUCCUUCAAUUAAUUGAUUCCACUUAGUAUAACCAGAGCAUGGCUGCUAUAAAGCACCCAACCUGUAUAGAUCCAUUGCACAUCCACAAAGAUAGAAAGCUACACAUACAACCGCCGGAAACACAACUCAUAAUUAAAACAAAAACCUCCUACAUAACAUAGUUUUUCUACAAAUCAAGGAUGAAGACUGUCCAGGUGGUGCUCAUAUGCCUUGUCCUUUCGGUGCUCUGUUCAGGUAUUUUGCCGGUAUGUUUUUCUCCACCGCACUUGUAGGAAAUAUAUUUCGUCUUAUCCAUGCUCCUGCUCUCGAAACCCCACAGGCAUCGCUGCUCGCUGUGACCAGUACAACGUCUCCAAGGCAUGUCCAAGCAUACCUUCAUGCACAACACUGUGCACCUAUAAAUAUAAGGCGGACACGGAUUAUGGUGUAUGUGCUGAUAACGGAUGCUGGUGCGUAGUCUGCGUGAUACCACCUACAGCUCAAUCUACGUCUGCAACCCAGAUUGCGCCUGCAGGGAAUUAAAGGAUAUCGCUUUCUUCCCUUUCUGCCUAAAUAGAAUAAAACAGUGUCUGAUUAAUGUAUUUUUCUCGUACCAACAACAUUGUAUCGAUGUAUCAUGUAGCAAGGACCCGCGAGGCAAAAUAACAACCUAUUAAUAUUGAGCGCUCUUUGGCGAAAUGCAUGAUUAAUCAAUUUGACACCGUAGAGGAUGUAUAAAUAUCCUUUCAUUGCGAGUGGCCAUGAAAAUACAUUUGUGGAUUUUUUUCCUCCAUGUUGAGAACAUUACCAAACCAUCGGAACCGGUCCUCCAUGCAAGUUGCAUGUGGACGGGAAAUUCACAGCCAAGAUAGUGAAUAAACAGCUCCAUAAGCAACCUUGUUCUGAUCUCGUCAAAACUAUCAAACCCAUCACUUCACACCAUAAACCUAGCAAGCCGGUUCAAAUCUGGUCGAGAAGAAGCCCUUGGGUCCUCGGUGGUCAUCUGAAAGGCAACUUGAAUCACAAAGAGAGUGUCCCUGAUGGACCUGCAGGGUCUGCAGCGACGAUCAUCGGCAUGGCAGAUCGAUCAUGAGAUGAAUGCUAAAGCGGCAAGCUAACAUUCAAACACUGGGUGAAGAAAGCUCAUGAAAAGUACCCACACGGAUAAUCCAUGCUAACCGAGGCCAGCAGCAGCAUCCAUGGCCAGCAUGAGUCCUUGGUGCACUAGUAGAAAAAGGCCCAUUUGUCCUGGUUCCAGAGGCCCUUAUGUCCCGGUUAUGGACCCGUGACUAAAGGGUCGGGACUAAAGCACAUGGCAUUUAGUCUCGGUCCUGGACAGAUGGGCCUCCAUGUGGCCUCUCCGCCGAGCCCAGGCAGGAGGGCCUUUGGUCUUGGUUUGUAAUACCAACCGGGACCAAAAAGUGUCCAUGCGUCAGCAGCUCAGGAGUUGGGGUUUUUCUUUUUUUUGGAAGGGGGGUUGGGGUUUUGGAGUUGUUAAUUGGCCUAGACAGCCCAUCUAAGGAAGCCACGGGAGGCGGUCGACAGAGCCCAAUCGCGCGAGUGGAUCGAGCACCAAGAUCCCAACCGAGGCAAGCGAGGAGGCGCGCGAGGAUCGAACGCGACGCCCUUCAGCCGAGGUUGCAAGGGAAGCCGAUCCAGCCGACGAAGGAAUCCAGCGGACACGCCGGAUGCGAAUGAAUUAGGGGCCAGGUCGAUAUGUCUAUGAACUGGGAAGGGGGACGCGGGCGAUGAUGGUCGGCAACCCAUCUGCUGGGAACUGAUCACAAUCGUACUUCAGUUUCUAAGAGCGCAUUCAUGGCGAUUGUUGUGCCCAUCGUUUCCGCUGUCGAGUGGUACUUCUAUAUUGUUCCUCUCAUAACAAUCCUCGGUCACCCUCUCUUCUCUUACAGCACACGCAUCUUUCAUCAUCAUGCUCCGGUAUUACUUAUGCAUGAUUCCUUAAGAUUUGUCAUUGAGGUUUACAAUCGUUCAUUAUUUUAGUUGUUCUUUCAGAUUCGUCAUUGUGCCCUACAUGAGUCUCUGUCAAAAUUUGCAUGUGUUAACUCUAUAAGUAUGUAUGUAUGCAAUUUGAUAUUUUAUAAUACUAACAUUUGUCCACUUUGUCCUAAAGUAGUUUUUGCUUCUUGGAGGUGAGCAGAGCGAAGGUAUCCCAUUAUCAUGAUUCAAAGGACUCAUGUUAUUCUCUUUAUUUUCAAUGCAACCGAUUCUGGUUUAUAUCUCUUCUUGGAAUAAAAAAAUGCAUAUAUCAACCUGGCUUCUUAUGUAGCUAUGUUCAAUCAACACAGCAGCAUGUUUUUGUUGGGUUGCAGACAUCCCUGUUCUGCGACAGGUGAUAGAUAGGGAAUUAGGAUUUUAGAAAAUUUGCAUACAGAAAUCUUCGGAAGUAAAACAUGUAAAUGUGGACAAGUAUGAAAGCAAUACAAAAGACAACAUUUUUAUUUUCAAGUUAUAAAGUGGAAUCCAUAGAUUACACAGGAAUGUUGUCUCCUAGAAGUGAAUAAUAACAAGACAUCCGUUCAUUCAAAUUGGUGAAUAUUUCUCAAGAUGGGUAAGAUUGACUUUCUCACAUAGAGUGCAGUAUUGUGACGGUCCCUUUGACUACAUACAUGUUUGUCUCUCUGUUGUGAACUUGCAAGACCUGGAAGAACCAGCAUAUUUGUUUAAAUUUCGAAAUCUUGGUGAUGUUGUUUUUUCCUUCUUUGCGCAUACUUCUCCUAUUGUUUUGGUGACAAACACUUCAUUGCUAAUCUGCCUUUCAAUGAAUAUAUCCUUUUUGGCUGAUAGUCCUCUUAAACCUUUAAAUCAGUUUUUUAACUGGUGCUCAAUAUAAUGGAUUGUAAUGGUCAGCUGCUUAAUAUAAGAGCUUGGUAACUUGACUUUAUGAAUUUAUCGUCCCUUUUUUGAAAUAUUUACUGUCAAUUAUAAGGUGGUGGGCGGCCUAGUGGAGGCUUAGGUAUGUUGAUGGUCCGUCUCCCUUGAUUCCAUUAUUUACAUCCUCUCGACUGCUAGCUCUCACUAGCUACCUGUAGGCAAAUAUUUCUCCUAGCCACGCCACACAUGGUGCUCGAGAACUGAUGCUGGUGAGCUUAUCGUUGCGUACAUUCUACUCAUCAGUUGGCUUUUUUAGUUGAAUACAGUUUUGCAAAUAGAUUAUUUAUGUAUGUUUCUUAGAAAACAUUGCUCCUUGAAUAAUACCCCAUGAUACUUAAACAAGCUCUAUGUCGUUUUUACUAGAUCAGUUUGGUGGUGGUUUAUAUUGAGGAUUUGAUCAUUGCUCAUGCAUGCUAAAAGAUUUAUCUGACAUCCAGUUUUGUUCAGGUACAUUUCAUUCUUUUGUACAUUGAAAACUAUUGUUGGUAUAUUUGAUAGCUAGACUGUGCACACAAGUGUAGAGGCCAUUAGUUAUGUUUUUCAAGCUAUGUUUGUAUCUGUUUGAAGAUUAAUUCUAGUCUGAUAUGUUCCAUUGUCAUCUGACAUUUAAUAGUAAAAUAUACUAUUGAAAAUUAGUUAAAUAUACAUUGAACAGUUGAAAUAAAGAAUGUCAUGUCAGAUAAGUUAAGCUGACUACAUAUUUGUCAAUGGCUUUCUCAAAUGUAGGUUUCAAAUCAGAUGUCAUUCAAAACUCAUCCUUGAAUUACCUUUAUACUUGAUUGACUGGACUACAUCAUGGAGUUGUCGUCUUUGAAGUUUGAUGAAAUAAGGCCCAUGGUUGUUUGCUUUCCACUCUUAAAUUGCCUUUAGUUUGAAAUAAGGCCCAUGGUUGUUUGCUUUCCAUUUUUAAAUUGCCUUUUUGACAGCAACAAAAAACUAUACUAAUAGGAGUUUUGAUUUCCCUUCUUCCUGUACUUUUUCUAUAUCACAAAGAAUUGUUCACGCCUUAUUUGUCCAUUUCGUGUUGACAUUUCAACUUGACCAUUACGAGAGCAGCAUGAUUUCAUUUAUGAUUAUUGUUGUUGUAGAGGUGUUAAAAAUAUAAAGGAUGAAAGUUGUAAUUUCAUGAAAGUACUUUGUAAUAUCAUCUUCCUUUGCCUGAUUGAUGUUGCUUUACAGUCUUAUUUGUCGGCAUUUUGUUCAGCGAGUUAAUGUUUUUUCCAUGUUGUGAGGUCAUAUAUGUUGCAGGCACAGAGCACCAAAGAUUUUUCCAUAGACACAAAAGCAAUGCUCCGGCUGUAGCAUCAAUUACACACACUCGUAUUUCCUAGGCUGCUAUAUAAAUAUGUACAAAAGGAUUGCUAUAUCAAAUACACAUUUAUGAUCAGUGCGUAUUAUCUUCCUUCUGACAAUGCUUACCCUGCUUAUAGUAAUCUACAUGGGCCUUGUUGGGGAUAUCACUACUGGGCGUAAACCGGCCUAUCUGGGCUGGGUUAACUUCGUCAGUAGUUAAGUAUGUUAAAGCCCAAGAAGGCAGAUGAGGGCUCAAGGCCCAUAGUCGGUUCAAGGCCUGUAGCCGUAAACCGGCGUUGGUAUUUAACUUGUAUUGUAAGUUCGGAAUAAGUAGAGACCAAACCGGACAUAUCUAUGAGCCGGUAUUGGGCCUCUGUGAACCGACGGACGUCACCCGUGUAUAUAAGGGGACGACCCGGCGGCGGUUCAUGGACAACAGACAACAACUCGAGACAUAGGCGAAGCUUGUUUGCUCCCUGGUCAUCGAAACCCCAUCAAUUCCAUCACAACUAGACGUAGGCUUUUACCUUCAUCGAAGGGGCCGAACUAGUAUAAACUCUCUUGCGUCCCUGUGUCUGCUUUAACCCCUUCAAGCUAACCCGCUGCGAUGGCUCCAAGACUAAGUCCUUUCUCUCGGACAUCUGCCGUGACAAAACCACGACAGUUGGCGCCCACCGUGGGGCUAUCGCACGAUGGUUUCAAGUUUUUGGAGGGCCGCUCUGAAGGACUUGAGGGCUACGCUGUAGGCCGGAUGAUUAAGAGUCGUCGCGGCAAGCUUUACAUCGACGAUGCAGGCUGGGGCCCCGAGGCCGGCUCAGUUGAGUACGGGUACCGGGUCCCCUUUGGUGGCAUACACGUUUUCAUCGGUAAGAUCAGAGAACCGGGCCCUGAGCCGGAUAUCUGCACCGACCUCGUCGAAACGGCUCAGCGUGCGCGAUCUGCCCGGGUUAAACCGUCCAUGAAGCGUGCCUUCGUGGGAGUCAUCCAUGUUGGAGGUCAUGAGGAUGGAUCGGGAUCUGGCGGCAAGACCGUCAUUUACUCCGGCGAUGAGUCAUCAACCGGAGAAACCGAAUCUCUAUAUCAGCUACAAGAUGGCCGGAUUGGUGGCUGUUCCGACGGCGACAGUAUUCCGGACCCCUCUGAUCUGCCCAACCGAGUUGGAAUAUUCAUGGCCGGCACACAAGCAGUGCUUCAUUCUUCGACCGCUGUGGCAACAACCUCCAGUUCAGCAGCGGCGACGGCUGCCGGGGCAGGAGGCCCUGUGCGCCCGCCGGCUCAAGUUCUAUCAGAGCUAUUUGAUGCAUUGGCUGUGCUUAUGGCGGAAGCUAAUCCGGCGGAUCAGGACGUCCACAACACGGAGAUUGCAAAGGUAAGGGAACAGAUCACCCAGGCCAAGGCGGACUUGGCAGCUGAGGAUACCAGGAUGGCCACAGAGCGGGCCGCUCUAGACGCACAAGUCUACAGGCUCAUGUUGGACCAGAACGCGUCGCAUGAAGUCAUGAGGAGGAAGUACCGAUCCCGUUUGCCUCCGGUUUUUGAGGCCAGAGACCUUUUCAACACCCCGGGAGCAGGAACCAGUAAUCCGCUGGAGGGAAACCGGGUGGAAGCUCCUGGGACUGGUGCGCCGGUUCAGCCUCGUCGGAUGGAUCCGCCUCGUCAAAACACCGUUAUACCUCAGGCUGUUUCAACACCUCCGGGUCACUACUCCAACCCAAUGGACAAUCUUGUCGCCGCUGCUGCACGGUUGGAGGCUAUUCCAAUUGAAGGUGACUCACCACAAGCGAUAGAGACGCGACGGGUCAAGGAGCUUCUUAGGACAGCUUUGGACCAAUAGGAAGCAUACUCGUACAACCGCGACCGGAUCCACUCGACCCCUCGCCCAAGCCGGAGCUAUAGGAGGCGUAUGGAGGAACCGGCAGUGUCAAGUAAUGAACGAUGUGGAGCACCCCGCGGCAACAACCCGGCGGGUGGUGCUGAUAACGCUCAGGAAGUGGUGAACCGGGCCCGAGCAUGCAGGGAGGCCGAGUUAGCCGCACAAUAUCAGGCUCGGCAGCUGACGCCGGUUUGUCCAACUAUUUCGGUCGAACCCGGUAUUACUUCUAGCUCUUUGGGGGUGCCUUGCCGUGUCCCCGCUUUAUGCAAUGUGCACCUGCCCAAGGAUUUCAAGGGCCCGCGCAAGGUACCAAAUUACACGGCGGAUCAACCCCUAGAGACAUGGGUGGAGAGCUAUGAGAUGGCCAUGGAGAUGCUGGAUGUGGAAUUAUGCGGCAUGUGCGAAAUACUUCACCAUGAUGCUUGAAGGAACGGCCCGCACUUGGUUAAAAAGCUUACCGGCCAAUUCUAUCAGUUCAUGGGCCCAAUUACGAACCCGGUUUAUCAAUAAUUUCAAGGAUACAUGUAAGCAGCCAAUGUCGAUAGUAGACUUAGCUGCCUGUGUCCAGGAGGAAGGAGAAUCGACGACUCAUUGGGUGCGCCGGGUCUCACAAGUGUUGCAUUCAUCAGACCUCAUCAACGCUGACACCGCAGUCUUAACCCUAGAAGGCAACUGCCGGUUUGGGCCCCUAAAGCUGAAGUUGGGACGGAUGAAGCGCCAUUGCACUGACAUGGGGACCCUCAUGGCUGCUUUGGUAAAGUAUGCUGAUUCUGAUAGUACCAAGGAUCUCGAAUCUGAUGAUGACAAGGCAGGGAAGGGAAAGAGGAACAGCAACUCCAAAGGUCAGCAGCAUCACCGGGUAGGCAAUGGUGGUGGAGGCAGGCGUAAAGAGGAUGGUAACAUGGACUUUGUGGCUAAUACCAACGCGCAGGACAAUGGCCAGCGAUGCAAGGGUAAACCGAAAAAUCGCAGUGGGGCACCCAACCCUAACCCGGACCGUCUAAAUUAUCUACUGAGCCAGCCCUGUCCAAGACAUGGGACGAAGGAGGUUCCAGCAAACCACCUUUGGAAGGAUUGCUUCAUUAUGCAGGAGUUCAAGAAUUCUAAUGCUUUCCGGUAUGAUCACGGCUCCGACGGUGGCUCAGGAUCCGGGCCGGGUUACGGUGGAGGAAAUCCCGGUUCAGGAUUUAACGGUAAUCCGGGCGGACAUAACAGUCAAAAUAAUCAUAACAACCAGGGUGGUUACAACCAGCAGCAGCAACAGUCAGGUUACUAGAGCAGCCCAAAGCAAUUGAGUAGUGGGCAGUACCAUGUCUUUACCACUAGCUUGGACAAGCGAGACCGGAAGGUUCAGAGGCGGGCAGUCAACUCUGUUGAACCGGCCGUGCCCUGUUAUCUACGCUGGUCUGAACAGCUAAUCAUAUGGAGCAGAGAAGAUCACCCUCCCUAGGUUGAUAAUCCGGGUCAGUUGGCUCUGGUGGUGGUGCCUCGGGUGGGAGGUUACAAGUUCACCAAAGUGCUCAUGGAUGAAGGGAGCAGCAUUAAUAUCUUGUACUAUGAGACCUUCCGUCGUAUGGGACUAAAAGAUAAAAAUCUCAAACCGUCUAAUACGGUGUUCCACGAUGUGGUACCUGGCAAGUCAGCAUAUCCUGUUGGUAAGAUAGCUCUAGAAGUGGCCUUUGGAGAUGACCAUGAUUCCAGGUCGGAAACAUUGACGUUUGAAGUGGUGAAAAUCCAAAGUCCAUAUCACGCCCUAUUUGGGCGACCGACCUACGCCAAGUUUAUGGCACGGCCAUGUUAUGUGUAUUUGCAGCUCAAGAUGCCGGGUCACAAGGGGACAAUAACGGUUCACGGAAGGCGUAAAAUUGCUUUGGAGUGCGAGGAAGAAGAUGCGGCCUACGCAGAGUCGGUUUGUGCCACCGAGGAGCUGAAGUAUUAUAAGGACAAUGUUGAUUCGGCGGACAUGACUCCAUUAAAGAAGCCAACUACGGAGCAUGAUCUAGCCCUGAAGUUCAAAUCGGCAGCAGAAACUAAGCUUGUUGACUUCGUACCUGGCGAUUCGUCCAAGCAGUUCAGCAUCAGUGCCAACUUGGAUCCAAAAUAGGAAAGCGCGCUCAUCGAGUUCAUCCGUGAGAAUCAGGACAUUUUUGCAUGGAAGCCCUCUGACAUGUCAGGUGUACCGAGGCAACUCGCUGAGCACACCCUUAAUGUGGAUCCUAAAUACAAAUUGGUGAAACAGUUCCUCCGCCGGUUUAACAAAGAAAGACGCAAGGCGAUUGGAGAAGAGGUAGCCAGGCUCUUAGCAGCUGGCUUUAUUGUUGAAGUUUUUCACCCUGAGUGGCUUGCCAAUCCGGUGCUGGUCCUUAAGAAAAACGGCACCUGGCGCAUGUGUGUGGAUUACACAGAUCUUAAUAAGGCUUGUCCAGCAGAUCCUUUUGCCCUCCCCCGUAUUGAUAAAAUUAUUGAUGCUACGGCGGGUUGUGAGCGUUUAAGUUUUUUGGAUGCAUAUUCUGGCUAUCAUCAAAUCAAAAUGGCAGUUAAGGACCAGGAGAAGACGGCAUUCAUAACUCCCUUUGGAGCCUUCUGUUAUGUGUCUAUGCCCUUUGGGCUCAAGAGUGCCCAGGCAACUUAUCAACGGUGUGUACAAAAUUGUCUUCACAAGCAGAUUGGCCGUAAUGUACAUGCUUACGUGGAUGAUAUCGUGGUUAAGUCCAGGGAAAAGGAGACUCUGGUUGACGAUUUGAAGGAAACCUUUGAUAACCUAAGGACGUACAAGAUGAUGCUUAAUCCGGCCAAGUUUGUCUUUGGUGUACCUGCAGGCAAGUUAUUGGGUUUUCUGGUGUCCAACUGGGGAAUUGAGGCUAAUCCGGAGAAGAUCACCGCCAUCACUUCCCUGGCUAAACCGAAGUGUAUCAAUGAUGUUCAACGACUGGCAGGCCGGAUUGCCGCGUUAAGCCGGUUUAUCAGCCGCCUUGGGGAGAAGGCAAUCCCUUUGUAUCAGAUGUUGAAGAAGACGGAUUAGUUCGUGUGGAGUUCCGCUGCUGAUGAAGCAUUUGAGGACUUAAAGCGGCAAUUGGCCAAUCCGCAUGUGCUUGCCGCUCCUAUUGACAAGGAGCCGUUACUGCUAUAUGUUUCUGAUAAUGCUCGUGCGGUCAGCGUCGCUAUUGUGGUGGAGCGAAAGGAGGCAGGUAAGGAGCAUCCGGUUCAACGUCCGGUCUAUUAUAUCAGUGAGGUACUCAUUGAGUCCAAGCAAAGGUAUCCGCAUUGGCAGAAGCUGGUGUACGGAGUUUUUAUGGCAAGCCGGAAGCUUAAGAAAUACUUCCAAGGGCACCCAAUUACGGUGGUCAGUUCUGCUCCUUUGGGGGAUAUCAUCCAGAACCGGGAAGCAACUGGCCGGAUUGCCAAGUUGGCUAUAGAGCUUGGGCCGCACGGAUUGAAGUAUGUGCCUCGGACGGCGGUUAAGUCUCAAGCACUUGUUGAUUUCAUCAAUGAUUGGACAGAACUGCAAGCACCUAAAGAAAAGCCGGAUCACACAUAUUGGACCAUCCAUUUUGACGGAUCCAGGCAAUUGGAAGGCUCGGGGGCUGGAGUCGUAUUAACUUCCCCACGAGGUGAUAAGUUUUGUUACGUUCUCCGCUUAAUGUUCCCUUGUACUAACAAUGCAGCUGAGUAUGAAGCCUUGCUCCAUGGUCUCCGGAUGGCUAAGGAGAUGAAUCUAAGUCGAGUUAAGUGCUUCGGUGACUCGGACCUCGUGGCUCAACAAGUGUCCAGCACUUGGGACUCCAGGGACCCACUCAUGGCAGCAUAUCAUCGUGAGGUGGAUACUGUUGCAGGUCACUUUAAGGGCUAUCAGGUGGACCACGUGGACCGACGGAAGAAUGAAGCGGCGGACGCCUUAAGCCGGCUAGGCUCUCAGCGCAAAUCGGUCCCGCCCAACGUUUUUCUGGAUGUGCUGCACAACCCGUCGGUCAAGCUCCCUGGUGAAGCGGAUUUGGCUAUUCCUGAUCCGGAGGCUCAAUUGGUGGCAGCUCUUCAUGUCAUUCCGGAUUGGAUGCUUCCUUACCUGGCAUACAUGAACCGGGGCGAGUUACCAGAGGAUGAGAUUCUGGCCCGACAGAUAAUCCGGUGGUCCAAGUCCAUGACUAUUGUCAAUGGCGAGUUGCAUCAUUGCAGUGUAUCAGGGGCGUUUCAACAUUGUGUGUCUCCUGAAGAAGGCUGUGAAAUUUUGCGUGAGAUCCACGAAGGAGAUUGUGGUCACCAUGCCGGUUCAAAAUCUUUGGUAGUUAAAGCGUUUCGCCAUGGCUUCUAUUGGUUAACUGCCCAUGCUGAUGCGGAGGAUCUGGUCAGACGAUGUGACGGUUGCCAAAAGUUUUCAAGACGUGCUCAGGUGUCGGCUCAAGAAUUGAGAAUGAUUCCAAUUACUUGGCCGUUUGUGACUUGGGGGCUGGAUAUGGUUGGGCCUUUCAAAAGGUCCAAAGAUAAGAAGACUCACCUCUUGGUGGCGGUUGACAAGUUUACAAAGUGGGUGGAGGCAGAACCUGUUAGCAAGUGUGAUGCAGCCACAAUGGUUCAGUUCAUCAAAAAAGUGAUUUUCCAGUUUGGCUUUCCACACAGUAUCAUCACAGAUAAUGGUACCAAUUUGUCCAAGGGUGCCAUGAUGGAGUUCUGCGAACGGGAGCAUAUCCGGCUUGACGUUUCAUCAGUGGCACACCCAUAGUCCAAUGGUCAAGCAGAAAGGGCUAAUCAAGAGAUCUUGAGAGGCAUCAAGCCCCGGCUCAUGGUUCCUUUGCAGAGAACGCCAGGUUGUUGGGUAGAAGAAUUACCAUCUGUGUUAUGGAGCAUCAAUACCACACCCAACAGAUCAACAGGAUACACAGCGUUCUUCAUGGUUUAAAGAGCGGAGGCGGUUCUCCCCAGUGAUAUCCAUCAUGAUUCACCUCGUGUGAUGGCUUAUGUUGAAGCGGACAACAAGACAGCACGGCAAGAUGCUUUGGACUGGUUGGAUGAAGAGCGUGACAUAGCAGCCGCCCGAUCGGCGAUUUACCAACAGGAUCUUCGUCGUUAUCACAGUCGCCGAGUCAGAACCAGAACCUUUCAGGAAGGAGAUUUGGUGCUUCGGCUCAUCCAAGAUCAGACUGAUAUGCAUAAGCUAUCCCCACCUUGGGAGGGGCCUUUCAUGGUCAGCAAGAAUCUGCCCAACGGGUCAUACUAUCUGAUCGAUAUUCGAGACAUAAAGACUCACGUACAUCAGAGGAGGAGACCAACAGGCCGUGGAACAUAGCUCAUCUUCGGCCUUACUAUACCUGAGCCAUUGGCUCUACUUAUGUACAUAUUACGACGAUGUAUAUAUUAUGAUUAAAUAUAAUAAACCGGAACCUCAGCUAAAGCGGGGUAUCUGUUCUUUUACAUCAUGUGUGGUUACACGGAGUAGUUCUAAAGCGGCCUCCGGUUUACCCCUUGGGUUAGCUUUUCAAAAGCAUCUUGUCAUAUCACUUGGGGGCUUGGUUGUGUCCGAACCAAUGCAAUACCUCUUGAUAGGCGAGAGCUACCAGAUCACUUGGGGACUUGGUCACGUCUGAACCAGUCAUGCCUCUUGAUCGGCCUAAGGCCACAGAAUCACUUGGGGGCUUGGUCGAACCCGAACCAUUGCCAUGCCACUUGAUCAGCAUAAAUGCCACGGUUUCAUUUGGGGACCUGGCUGACUUGAACCAUAGCUACACCUAUCGGGAGCUUGGUCGUGUUCGACCAUGGUAACGCCAUCUGAUCAGCUCAAAUAAGCCUCUUUUUGCAAACGGUUUUGCCAUUGCCUUUUCUUUACACUUUUCUUUGAAAGAUAUUUCUUUCUUUUUAUUGCGUUUUUUAAACCGACAAAAUUUUAAACCAGUUCACACUGUCUAUUGACGGAACAUGGUCCAUUUUUAAUCUGGAGACUAUUUGCUCGGUUUGAUUUUUUUUCCUAUUACGGAGUAACAUGGUGUUUAUUACAACCCGGCACGAUUUACACGGUAAACCGGCAUCAUAUAUAUAUAAGAGCUGCUAUCUCCUCCAAUAGUGUGGGUUUAUAAACCUCCGCUUCAAGAUUGGCCAAGCCAACUUCACGCCCAACGAUGGCAGGUAUUAUGUAUCUCAAAAAUUUGGUCAUAUACUUAAAUUUCAGAUGUUUUGAUUUCAUAUAUGCAGACAUCAUAUUCCGCAUGACGAUACAACCACGGUGGCACUUUAAGAUUUUUUAUUGCAGAAAGUACUUUGGAAAGUUCAUCACCCAAAGGAAGAGCAAGUUGCAGUAAUUAUGCACGAAGGCAUAUCAACAUCAAGAGUAUCAGCUAGCCUAUUACAAGGCAACACGGUGCCCACAAAUAAGAUCAUUUUUUCGCAAGGGAGAAGCAGUUUUAAACCAGCUUCCGGUUCAAGCUUGGUCACCAGCCUGGCCUGAUGGUUGUGGGUCAUCCGGCACCGCUUCAACUUCAGUUUCUCUACCCAGCGGCUGGAAAUCAACAGUUGUCCAGUCGAUUCCCAUUAAUGCUCGAAAGAUAGCUUCAUCAUGGAUCAGCAAUGACGGUUCAAUAUCGGGAGCGUAAGUACGCUUACGGAUUGGAGGGAUAAGAUUUUCCGUUUCAUGAGUUGGUGGAGCUACUCGCUUGUUUUGCUUGUCAUAUUGGGCCUGAUAAUGAGACAAGUCUGCUUCUUCAACCAAUUGACAAGCUAGCGGACGCACCUCUCGGUUUAUUGCUCGCAGAUCCGCUUCACUAAACUCUGACCCGUGUUCCUUCAAGCUGGGAUAGCCCUGAGCCGCUUCAAUAGGAUCAAAAUCCGACACCCAAGCUUUUGCCCAGAUUAAGGCAUUGAUCGCCGGUUCGAGCAGCAGAUUUCUUCAGCUCUUCAACCCGGGCAGGAAGCAUCGACAGUUUCGUCAGAGUGGGCGCCGGUUUGUUGUGGGAUGUAGUACAGAUGAUACGCUGUGCACCAGUGUACAGUUGUUCGAUCAACAUAUAGGCGGCUUUCAAUUUCUUCCGCACAUCUGACCCCAAGUGACCAAUGCGUUUCCCUGAAAUAUCAUAAAGGGUUAACAAACUGGUAGCUCUGUAAGACGGCACAAUCAAUUCAGAAGUCAAACCGGCUUACCAAAGAUAGCAGUGGUCAUGGCAUGCACGUGCCGCUUUAUGCUGGUCAGUUCAUCCGCCACCGGUUUUAGUGCAGCCUCGGCAUCUUCUGCUCGUUUGAUUAAAGUGGAUUUUUCAGUGGCCCAAUCCGCCCGCUUCUUCUUGAAGCUCUCCUUAAGUUGUUCCAUGACGCUUAAAGCGCUGGUUAAUUCUUCUUUUGCUUUGGAGGUUUCAGCUUGUUGGGAUUUCAGAUUUUCUUGGAGAUCGGCGACUUGGCUUUCUUUCGUCUUCAGCUCAGCCUGCAUGCAGACAGUUAUAUGAUUCAGCAAAACGGUACAAGGAUUGAAGUACCAACCACAUAACAAGUUAUGCACUUGGCACUUGGGGGCUAAUGCAUAUUCGAUCUUCAUCUUUCAAUUGCUUACAAAGUCCCAAGAUCAAUACAAGUAUUCAACUUGGCACUUGGGGGCUAAUGGCUAUUUGCUCGUAUAUAUUCUAAUGCCGCGAUAUCAAUUACUUAAAGUCCCGGUUUAACUACGCUAAGUUGAACCGACCCUUGGGGACUACAUCAGCGAAUUUCAAAGCAUUAAGAUUUAUAUUAGUAAGUCCCGGUUUGAAAGAAGAUUACAAAACGGCCCUCGGGGGCUAGGAGCGUCAACAAGAAUUGAAAUAUACAAGCAGGAAAGAGCAUAUGGAAGUUACCUCAUAUUUAUCUUUCAUCAUGUUAACCAGACCGGCUUCAUAGUCACGACUGGUAUACAGCCGGUUCAGGUAGCCGGAAUGGAUAGCUUGGGCGUUCAGAGUAGUGUAAGUCGCCAGAUCAGCAUUCCACUUGCCUUUGCCAAAGGCAGCAAAUUCUUCCUUGGCAGUAUGUUUGGACAAAGCGACAGGAUUGCUUGGCUCUGUAUGGCCAAUGCCAGUAAUGACAACCUCAUCAUCCUUGGCAUCGCCGGUUUGCAGUGGGGCUGUUGGCUUGUCAGUAGGCUUUGUCAGACCGGUGGAUUUCUCAAUCCGGAUGGAGCUUGUGGGCUGAUUGACAGGACUUGAGGUAUCAAUAGGUCUUUCUUCAGCAAUAAGAUCGUCGUCUUGCUGCGGUGGAUAAUUGGGUAUAUCCUCAGGAAUAGCCGCUUCAAGAUCUGGUGUUUUGCCCGGUUCAAGGACGGCAUUCUCUUCGGCCGCUUUGUCCAGGCGAGCCUUCUUGCUUGGCCUAGGCUUGGCCCUGAAAGGAAUAACAAAAUCAAAUACAGCAUAUGUUCCAAGGUGAUGUACUGCAAAUAUUAUGAUAAGUAUAGCUUACCCAAGCACCAUUUUGAGCGGUGGCAGCUGAGUAGCCGAUGACUCGCCAGAGGAUGAGUGGGAAGUAACCUGGUAAUCGGAGUCACAUGGAUUAAGAGGUUGACGAAAGCAGCCCACUUUAGGACAAGCACUGACAAGCAAAUUAGAGACCUCUGAACGGCGUUUCCGAACCGGACUGUUCGGUAAACCGACGGAGGUAACUACAUGGCUGCUGUGCCGGGUUGUGCGACGAGCUUUGUGCUGUUGGGUCUUCAUAAGAAAUUUGGGAUCCAAAUAAGCAAGAAGAUGAGAAAAUUUAACUUUCCGGUUUGCCUGACGGAUUUUUAGUGAAGGCAGAGGUUCUGAAUCGGAAGAGAGAAUAAUUACCUCUGCAGCAUCAGCAUGUCUGGCUUCGGCAUCAUCCUGACAAAUAUCAUCAUCAAUAAGACGCAUGAAAAAUAAGCCAAGUAAGUCAAGCCCUACCUCAAGGUUCGGAUCAUCCACAUCAUCAUCACAGCUUUAGUCUUUUGCCGGGUUGCUCUUUCCGGUUUGUCUGGUUUUUCUGGUUUCUCCUGCGGCAGUUUCUUGCUCCAAAACGGAUCAUUGCCCUGGUUACACAGACACUGAUAUUAAACAAUGACCAGAUAUAUCAAUAACAGACUCAGCAAAAAGAAAAAUCAAACUCUUACAGCUGGCGGUUUGUUGGUUGCACAGAAGGGAAGCAGGCCGGUUUUAGCACAGAUGUGUUCCGGUUCAUUCAGCAUCUUAUUCACAGCCUCUGUGAUUUCUUCGUCGGUGAGCUGGAUAUUGGCAUGUCGCAGUGGGUCAUCAACACUGCCAAUAUACUCGCACAUCAAACCGGAGCGCUGACUAAGGGGUAGUAUGCUCCAUGAUAUCCAACAGCGAGCGAGAUCAACCCCUGUUAAACCGUUGGCCAUAAAGGCUCUGAGCUUGGACAGUUGGGGAGCGUAUUUGCUUCUCUCUUUGGCAGUCAACCUUUGCGGAAAGGGGUGUGUAUUGCUAAGCCGCUCCGGACGAAAGCCAGGCAAAGGAUUUUCACCAGCAGGGGAGGUGUCUUUGCAAUAGAACCAUGUUUGAUUCCACUCUUUGGGGUCGCUAUGUAGCUUGGCAUGAGGGUAUGUGACAUCUUUCCUUUUCUGAAUCGCCACACCGCCCAAUUCCGUAUUGGAACCAUCAGAAAACUCAGUACGGCAGUUUAGAUGGAAACAGUCUCUGAACAACUCCACUGUGGGCUCCUCUUGAAAGAACGCCUCACAGAGCACUUGGAAGUGACACGUGUUUGUAACAGAGUUGGGACCAGUGUCUUGUGGGUGGAGUUGAAAAUCGGCUAAAACGUCCCGGUAAAAUUUAGAACCGGGCGGCUUAAAGCCCCAGGCUAAGUGAUCUACGAAAACGAUGACCUCUCCUUCUUGAGGUGUGGGAGGGCAUUCUUUGCCAGGAGCCCUCCAAUGGAUGGUAUCUUUGCUGCCUAAGGCGCCGAUCAGGACUAAAUCGUCCAGUUGAGCCUGUGUGACGCGAGAAGGAACCCAGUUGCACUCAUAUAUUUGCUUGGCCAUGAUGAAAUCUACAAGGUAGAUGAUCCCGGUUCAAAAAUGCAUUGAUUAAGGUACAUUGGUAUAUGCAAUGUUAAACCGGAGACAGAUCUAUCUAAACCAGAGUUUUAUGAAGCAACAACAUCUGGCGGUUCAACAAGGGGACUAAUGGUAUAUACAGGUAUGGCAAUUUUUUCUACAAAGUUAAACCGCCUGGUCUAAACAUUGAAGCAGAUGAGUAAGUUUAUAGAAACAGAUUUCAUAAGACUUCUCUAUAGCGACGGAUCUGAAGCAAGUUCAGAAAAUAAGGAAAAUAUUCAAGGUUCAAAAAAGAACAGUACUGAAUCAAUGGGCAGAGAUACAUAUAGAUCUAUGAUCUUGAGGCAUGAAACUGAAGGCGGAUGCUAAAAGCUACCGCUACACAGAGUAAGGAUUCACAGAUGCAUCUAGGAGUUAUCGUAUGAACAUGAAACAGGCGAUGAACACUAGAAGAACAUGAAGCCCUAGAGCAGAUAUGUGUUGAAAAGAACAGAAGACUUACUGGAGAUGAGAAAGACGCGGAAGGUUGCCGCGAUGCUCUGGUGCGCCCAGGUUGAUGCAGCGGCCAAGGUUGAUGCAGAGGUUGACGGUGGCGGCGGAGCUCCGAAGCUGGGCGACGCGAGGAAGACGAAGCAGAAGGGCACGGAGGGGAAAAAGAAAUGACCCUUCGGUCCUAUUUAAGGCAAGGGACAGGAGUCAGGCGCGAAAAUCAAGGGACCGUGGGUUUAGAAACGAAGAUGUCGCCUUAGUUGUCGCAGACCUAUUAAGGUCAUUUAUAACAGGUGACGUCACGCCGGUUUACAACGACCAGAGAAGAUGACAUCACGGUGGUUCAACAAACGACAAGGAUUCACAUGAACAUGUUCAAAUCAAUCUGGGGCCUAAUGUUGGGGAUAUCACUACUGGGCGUAAACCGGCCUAUCUGGGCCGGGUUAACUUCGUCGGUAGUUAAGUAUGUUAAAGCCCAAGAAGGAAGAUGAGGGCUCAAGGCCCAUAGUCGGUUCAAGGCCUAUAGCCGUAAACCGGCGUUGGUAUUUAACUUGUAUUGUAAGUUAGGAAUAAGUAGAGACCAAACCGGACACAUCUAUGAGCCGGUAUUGGGACUCUGUGAACCGACGGGCAUCACCCGUGUAUAUAAGGGGACGUCCCGGCGGCGGUUCAAGGACAACAGACAAAAACUCGAGACAUAGGCGAAGCUUGUUUGCUCCCUGGUCAUCAAAACCCCAUCAAUUCCAUCACAACUAGACGUAAGCUUUUACCUUCAUCGAAGGGGCCGAACUAGUAUAAACUCUCUCGCGUCUUGUGUCCGCUUUAACCCCUUCAAGCUAACCCGUCGCGAUGCCUCCAUGACUAAGUCCUUUCUCUAGGACAUCUGCCAUGACAAAACCACGACAGGCCUGGUUCCUUUUAAUAUCAAUAUUUGUCAUCAGAUUCUGAUAUACAUUGUUUCAGUCCAAAAUGUACAGGGUGGACAUUUUCUACAUUUAAUUUCGACUAAGACUUUCUUUUCUUGGUGGUAUGAUCACUUAUCAGCAAUUUGAUGGUUAUCUAUAUAUGUUGAAUUUUCAUAGCAUUUUAACCUCCGAUAUCAAUAUAUUUUCAUAAUAUAAAUUGUUCAAUUUCAUUUCCAAUGUAUUUUACUCAUAUAUUUUUAUUAUUUCAUAAUAUGAAUGGUAUGACAAAUAUAUGAUUUAGUCUUUUGCAAAAAAAAAUCUUGACUUGUGUAUUUUUCAAAAUUCCUUUCAUUCUUUUAAAAAUAGACGGGCGCGGCAACGCGCGCCAUCAAUGAUCUAGUCAUAAGUGAUGUCCCGACCAGAUUCUUUCAACGUCAAUGAUUUUACUUUUUGGCAAGAUACUUUGGAGGUACGUAAAGCUAUAGAUCAGCGAUGGAUCAACGUUGAGGUCAGGUAAAGAGGCGAUUUGUCCACUUCUUCUAGGGUGGCCGCUACGGUGGUGCCGGAGUGUCAGGACCCCGACUCAAUGCCACAUCGAUCUAGCAUGUAACACCUCAUAUCACUUUGCGGCCUCACGCACGGUAUUCCCACGGGUGUCGCCUUACCUUUGCCCGGGACCAUUUGCGCCUUUUGGCACACGUAUAUGACAGUGUCGCUAGCAUCCAUAUGAUAAGGAGCCCGGGCUGACAUGGCUAGUCGUAAACCCAAAGUGGCACAAACUUACAGGGACAGGCAUCCAUGACCCAGCAUCGAACGUGUCGGUCAUCAGCGAGUGAAUCCAGGCUGUAGCACUGGGCUAGCAGGACUCCGGUGAACCGGGCUGUAGCAGGCUAACAGGACUCCGGUAUUCAUCGCGUGACAUUUCCCCGAAGGGACAGACACAGGAACGAAGAAGGACACAUGCCGGCCAACCUAAGUGUUCCGGAGCAGUAGCAAGCUACCAUGGCUCAGUGGAAACACAAGGAGACAUUUCCCGGUAAGAGAGGCUACUAAAGAUAAACAACUAGAUGGUCAGAUCCCACACAUACCAAGCAUUUCAAUAACAUACACACAAUAUGCUCGAUAUGUGCAAUACAACAUGGCAUCACAAAAUGACUCUACGACUCAAGUAGUUUAUUCAAUAGGCUCCGAGGAGCGAGAUAUUACAAACAUGGGUCUCAUGACCCAACACUCAGAGCAUACAAGUCAAAGCACAAGCGGAAGCUAUCAUGUCUGAGUACAGACAACUAUAAAUGGAAAAGGCUGAGAAGCCUGACUAUCUAUCAGAUCCUGCCGAGGGCACAAGAUCGUAGCUGAGGUAUCAAGCUAAACGUCGAAGACCACGCGGAAUUACUAGUGAGACUGAAGUCUCUCUGCAAAAACAUAAAAUAGGCAAACGUGAGUACAAAUGUACCCAGCAAGACUUACAUCAGAACUAACUACAUAUGCAUCAUUAUCAACAAAGGGAUGGUGGGGUUUAACUGCAGCAAGCCAGCUUUGACUCGGUGGCUAUCCUAAACUACGACUGCAAUGUAACUCUUUUGAGGUGGCGCACACGAGUCCACAUAUUCACCAUAGCAAUACACCACUAUGGAUCCGCUCCCGUCCCCCUACGAGAACGCCAUCCAUAGCACUCACGCUUAUCUUGCGUAUUUUAGAGUAUCCACUUUCACUUGUCUAUGAACUGAUAUAAGCAACCCAGAAGUCCUUUUCCGUGGACACGGCUAUUCGAAUAGAUGAUGAUAACCCUGCAGGGGUGUACUUCUUCAUACAUGUUUCCACCACUUAGCGUCUGCACACGACAUGUGCUCGGCAGACUUCAAGCGAAAGCCGACGUGGGUGUAGACCACGACCUACCUAAACACUCAAGUCUCUAGUCCAGGUUUAUCGCCUAUUCGGGUUCCAUCCAUGAGGAGAUCCGGCCGGAGUUGCGCUCACAGCCCCAAACGAUGUGAACAGGGUUCCGUGACACCAAACGGGCGCCCGGUUUACCCGGCCACGUGCCUACCGCAUCACAGCCCACCCCUACGGUCAGCGCUGUCCACGGCCUCCAGCAUACUACAAACACCAGAAACUACUUGCAACUCCUGGACAGAGGACGAGGGUGAAUAAGAAGUCGAGCGGGGUCAUAUUUCAGGGCCCAAUGUAUGGUAGUAGCUGAAUCAUGGAUCACAAACACAGAACUCAGUUCCUAAGGACGGCUUCAAUGAGACAACCCACCAUGUACUCCUACAUGGCCUCUCACCGCUAGCUUUACCAAAUCGUAUUCACACACUUAGCUCACACACAGUAGGACAUGUUCACACACCUCUGAUUCAUCCCGGAUGAAUCAGACCUGACUCGACUCUAAGCAGUAGCAGGCAUGACAAACAAGCAUGAAUGAGUAGGCACAACAGGGCUCAAACAACUCCUACUCAUGCUAGUGGGUUUCAUCUAUUUACUGUGGCAAUGACAGGUCAUGCAAAGGAUAAAGGGGUUCAGCUACCGCAGCAAGUAACAGAUGAAUCGGUGUUGUCCUAAUGCAUUAAAAGAGAGCAGGAGCGAGAGAGUAGGAUUGUAUCGGAAUGAACAAGGGGGGUUUUGCUUGCCUGGCACUUCUGAAGAUAACAUUGAGUCUUCAUCAGUGUCAACGAUCACAUCAUCGGUAUCACGUCUAUCGAGAGGGGACAAAUACCGGCAACACAGAAGGGAACACAAUCAAUGCAAUGUACAAUAUGAUGCAUGAUCAUGACAUGGCAAAAUGAAUGUGUUUUGGGCUAAUGCAACUAGCAACAGAAUAAAUGAAGUUGGUUUGAAUAUAAAAUUCAAAUUCAAACUCCAUAUGUGAUUAUUCAAAUGCCAUUUAUAUGAUUUGUGCUAAACAGCAUCUAUAAGUUGUUCUAACAUGCAUGAAAAUGGUACAGAUGGAUUCCUUGAAUUUUUCUGAUAAUUUUUCAUAUAUAAAUUAUUUAAUUUGGAGUUACGGUUAAUUUUCUAUGAUUUAUUGAAGUUUUAGGCAUUUUCUGGAAUUUCCUGAAUAUAAUUAAAUCCAGAAAAUACUUAUGACAUCAGCACUGCGUCAUGCUUGCAUCAGCAAGUCAACAGGGCUGCCCCGGGUCAAACCUGACCAGGGGGUCCCAUUAGUCAGUGACUUAGGGCUCGUUUAGGUCGCUGGCAGGUGGGCCCGGUCAACAGACACAUCAGCCUGGUCAACUCCGACGUGUGGGGUCGGUCAAAGUGUGACGGGGCCAGGUCAAACUGACCUAUGGGGCCCACAAAAUUAGUACUAAUUUAAACAGAAAUUAAGCUAAUUAACUUUGGCACCGGGGCCCACGUGACAGUGGCACCAGGGGGUGAUUACCGGGGUGUUUAGGACCUAGUUAAGUGGCCACGUCGGCACUCGCCGGGGUUCAGCCGGCGACAACCAAACCAACGGCGGAGGCUCGCCGGAGUUGAGCUACAGGCAAUGGUUGGACGCGCGGAGGCCACCAGGAGGUAGCCCGUGCUCUUCCGCAUCCAACGGAGCAGGAAGGAGCGGACGGGGUGCGGUGUACUCACCGGAGUCGAGCUCGCGGCGGCGGCCGGAGCUCGGGCAACAGCGGAAAUGGUGCUAUAGGGCAUGGCAGGGAGCACCCGUGGUUGUUUCGGGUUCGCAGGAGCGCGGUGAGCACGCUGGUGAUGCUCGGGCGAGCGGCCGAGCUCACGUGCACGGAGCUCGUUGACCAUGGCGGCGGCGAGCCUCGGUGGAGGUGGGGAAGCUAGCUAGGGGAGGGGAACGACGGGGAUUCCAGGGGGAAAAUGGAGAGUGGCUCACGUAGGGACUAGCAGGGUCGACGACGAGGUCGGGGAAGCUCUGGACGACGCGAAUCGGAUGACGGCGGUCGUCGGGGCAGAGGACGAAGAUGGCGAUGUUGCAGUCGUCUGUGGCCUUCUCCGUCCGCGUGCGUCAUCUUGGAGACGAAGCAGAGUCCGGCGGUGACACAUGACCCAUCGGUGAAGCCUGGGGUGCGCGGUGGCUAUGGAUGCGACGGCGGCGCCCUCCGGUGGCUCUCGGUGGUGCUCCAAAUCGAGAGAGGGAGAGAGCUAGAGCGAGCAGAGAGAAGGGAUAGCGGUCGAGGCGGUCGAGGGCAUUCCAACGGUGCACUGGAGAGGUCGGGAGCGGCUGGGACACGUCGAAGCAGGAGGUGGCGACCGGCGACGCACGCUCUGCCACGACUUGUCCUCCUGGCGAGGGGUUGAAGACAAACCUGCCCCUCGCUAGGUUGGGCUGGGCUGGCUCUAGUGGACUGGGCUGCUGGUGGGCUACCAGGUAAGGCCAGGUAAGUUCUACUCCUUUUAUUUUUUUUUCUGUUCUGUUUUCUAUUUUGUUCUGUUUUGUUUUAGUUUAGUAAAAUACUAAACCAUUUUAAUAAAUUCUGUAGUUUAUUAUGUGGCUUACUAAAAUAUAUACAAAGCCACUCACAAACUUCCAGAAUUAUUUGGAGUCAUAUUUAAUAUAUAUUAAAUAUAAAUCCAAAGCAAACAGUUAUUGGAUUAAUUCAAAUGGCCAAAAUAAAUAUCUCUGUGACUCCAAAAAUAUUGGUUUAAAUUUUACCUCUCACCAAUAUUUCCAUGGAAUAACAGGAACAUUUUCUUGGACUCAUUUGAUGAAAUUUAAAUGUUGGUUAUUUUUAGAGGUCUUCUGAGGCUUUGAAAAUUCCUCAAUUCAAUUUCAUUUGAAUUUAAACAUGAUGCUCACAUGAGGUCUAGCCUAGUGCAUUACCAGAAGCUAGGGAUGUGACAACUCACCCCCACUAAACAAGAAUCUCGUCUCGAGAUUCAAGCGUAGGGUAGGCUGAAGGGGAAGCGCAAACUAGUACAAUCUUCACGAUCCAGGUUGCACUUCAAAUGAACGUUGAUUCGAUCACCAUUAUUGUCUUGUCGUCUUGCUCUGAGAACUCCAGCUAAUCAUGACAGCAAGAGGAAAAGGACAACUCCGGAAGAAUCGAUCUUCUCGAAGGUCGAACAACUCAGGAUUAACUCACGGAAUGAGACAUAGCAACAUCUCUCGAGCUGAGAGGCGAAGCACACAUCCAUAGGAAUGGAGUGAAGCAGAUGACGAAGGUUCACUAGGUAGACCACAAUUUCACGCUUAAGAAGGUGGUGAACGGUUGUCAACAUAGCAAGGAGUUGAGUUGCCAUGAUACCACGACGAAACAUCCUGGAGGAGGGUGAUUCGUAGAUUAUUAUCUUAAGUGGCAAAAAGAAUUACUUUUGAUUCAGAGAUCAUCGGAACUCUUUAUACCAGCCUAAGGUAAUCACAAGCGAUCAUUUGGAGGGGGUCGGUAGAAUGGCAUACUCGGACUUGGAUGAUGUGGAUUACCUUGUUGAAAACAACGUAAUGGAUGAAUUUUGCUUAUCACCGGAAAUGGAAGAGACCCAUGGUAGAAUGGCACAUUGGCGGUGCAAGCUGGGAACAAAAUGCAAAUGCUGGGAAUGAUUCUGGUAACUGGGGAAGAACCCAACAAUAGAGAGUGAAUUAACUGGUUGAAAAGGUCAUAACAUUGCCGAGGAAACUGAGAGGAAUCCUAGUUAGAGCCGAUGGUAACACGUAGCGCUUGUACGUGCUUUCAAGAACUUGAGCAUUUCCACAAUCAUCAAGGUUCUACCAAUAUCCGUGUCAAGGAUCCUGGCAACACAGCUUGCUACCAUGACGAAUGAUGAUGGAUGAUGCAGAUGCAAAGGAAGAUAAUACUUUCUCAGAUUUCACCUUAGCGAGGCCAAGGAAAUAAAAUCUGGAUGAUCGACCGAGAGACAUUUAGCACUCCGCUUCUAAUGUUCUCCUUGACGUGCUAGUGUAACCAUUCAUAGAUAUGGUUUGCUAACUAGAACAUCAAGUAAAGGUCGGACUUCGGGAGCAAUAGAAUCCAUAAGGAACAGUUACGGCGGUAAUCCUGCGAAAUCCUUAUGGGGAGGUGGCCAACUUCCUCAAACAAGAUACUACAAUAAGAAGUCUUCCGGCUGGGUGUGUUGGCCACGACAUCCAAUUUACCGGUUAUCGAGGAACCAAUAUUAUAGUUCUUGGGAGAUAUUCCAACCAUCAUAUCUGCCUGAGACUCAGAUCUGGUUGGUGUCAGGAUAUUCCAGACUCAUCGAGUCUAGGAAGAAAAAUGAAAGUUUGCAACACAAAUCGACGAGAUGACGUUGCGAGAUUCUCAGGAAAUGAACUACGAUAGCAAGCUCCAAAACAUGAGCUGGUUCUGCUACAAACAUGUCAAACACGUUGUCCCAGACAAGCAUACCCACAUGGUAGUCUUACAAUAAAACACUACCGAGUUCUGGUUGGGAACCAUCAUUGAGGAUAUAGGAAUCUUGUGCAGGAACUAGUAUUUGCACAGCAACUCCUUUACCUUGAACAAAUCAGUCAGUGGCUUGGUGUGCUAGGGAUACAUAUAGAAUGAAGGUUGCAAGUCUCCAGACCACAGAAUACUUCGCACAUGUGUAUGACUGACUUGGGAUGAUUCCAGAGGAAGCAAAACUAACUUUCUCAAAUUCACGGCGGCAACUUUCACCAAAUGCACGUGUAUAAGAGGAAGUCACUCCUUUCAUCAAACAAAUACUUCAUGAGCUAGCAUGAAGAAAAUGCUUUCAAAAGUUUCCAACACUAGCUUAAUGCUCAGCAAAAUUAUGGAGAAGGCAAGGAUGUUGUCAAUGGGCUCAACAACAAUUCUUCUGGGUUUCCUUUCAAAAGGAAUUCCAUAGUUAAGUGAACAAGUGAUAGCAUUGGUCAGACCUAAAAGAUAUAAUGGUGUAUGCACGAGGGAUCAACCACGAAUAAGACAACAUUACGAGCAUCGUUGGUACUGAUUUGAUUUGACGAUAGCCCACACUCAAAUCAAAGGAUUGAUAAGACAAUAGGUCCAGCAACUGAUCACAGGGACCAAUCGAUGAAGAUAUCAUCUUUCUUCAACACACACUACACAAGAAUAUCCCUUUGGAACGAACUAAGUCAGACAAGCUUUUAUCUUCCACUCUCCAAGUCGUUGUCUAACUUAACCAACUAGCUCAGGGAUAUCCAACACAGAUUCUUGGAGAAGGAUGGUUCACAAAAAACCAACUUGAUCACGAGCUCAACAUAGCGGUCAGGUGACAACCUGGUAAUACUUCUGAGAAGAUAUUCAGAGAAUCACGAGCCACCGAUAUGUUACUAAGCUCGAGAACAAUCUUGCUUUUCAGGGCAAGACGAUAUGAUCAAUAGAGCAAGAAUUUGAGAUAAUCCUAACUCAUCGAUCGAGGAGUGAACCAGGAGAAUGGACUAGGUAGCACGAUCAAUCUUAGAAUGAUGAUUCAAAAACCAACAUACUAAGAAUAAAAUUAUUAUCCUUUAACUACCAAGCAACGAGGUUGCUGGGAGUAUUGAUCUCACACAUCACAACUCAUUUGUCGGUAUUCCGGUUGCAUCAACACGAGGGCCGAGGAAUGACUAAUGAUGGUGAGAAGUAUCACUGUACCAAGAGUUCAUAGGAUGGUGUGCAAUUCCUAUAACAAUCUCGAUAUAGAAUAAGGUAAUACUCCAAGGUAGAACAGAACCAAAAGCUGGAUUAGCAAUUUGAUCUGCGGAGCACAACUUCUUUGACCCAAUCCUGGAUAUGGAAGAGGUACUGGAGUUUGUUUCUCCAAGUCAUUCAGGACAGAAUGGCUUGACGGACCACAAGAGUAAUAGACAUCGAUGAACGAAUGCAUGCAUACUCUUGACUAUCAAUUGAUAGACGAGGGUCAGAAUGCAACUAAAGAGAACAACUCAAAGGAACAUAUAAUUUUCUGAGUUGUGGAUGCAUAGAUUAGUAUGUCGAACCAAGUUCAACAUAUUUCUUCCGGAUAACCCAUGCAGAAAGGUAGAACUGGCAGAGUCACGAUUUAUGAAUGGAGAACUCCUCAAGAGUACUCUAAUUGUGAUCUUUUGAUCCAAUAAACAUCUGCCAUAAGCGGUUCAUAGUAUUUGGAAGAAGGAAAUACCACGGACCUCGAGGACUAUCGCAAAGUUACUAAUAUCCUAAAGGCACUAGCAAUUACUAUCAACAUGAAGUAAGUAGGGUGAAUCUCGGGUUCAAACCCAGGAAUAGAAUACCUACUACUAAGUAGCAUCACGGGAUGCUUUCGAGAAUGAUGGCCAGAAUCAUCACACUGGGAACACAAAUCCUGGCUAAUUACUAGAUGAUCCCCUAAGACACCUAGGGUCAUAAUAGUAACUCCAAUAUAAUGUCAAGGCAAUAGAAUACCUCAACUCAACAAUUAGUGUGAUUGAGCUGGCAUAAAGGAACAUCGAAACCAGAGGGAAAGGAUUUUGCAAAUGCAUCAGACUAUUUAGAAACCUGGGAUGACUCGGACAGCAUAACGGCUGUAAAUGCUCAGAAAAGAUUUGAGACAUUCACAAAAAUGGUGGCAUAACCACUCAGAAGCACAAUAUCAAGGUUUCGAGAUCAUCAGUUAACAUACAUAAGUAGUAGGAACUGGACUCAAGCUUAACGAACAAUCUUAUAAGUCUACGGACUAGUAAUACGUGAUCCUGAUAGAAAGAAGAGAAAGCCUAGUUUCUUAACCCCGUAGGAAAGAUAAGAUGACUCAGAUCAGAAGGCCAUGAGGUAUAAGGAGUAAAAAGAGCCUUACGUUCCAUCCCACAAUCAAUUCCCUUAUAUAACUAAAGAAUUUCUAGACUCAACUUCGACCAGUUUGGCUUGGUAAUCCUACAGGCAGUCAAGCUCUGAUACCAACGCUGUCAGGACCCCGACUCAAUGCCACAUCGAUCUAGCAUGUAACACCUCAUAUCACUUUGCGGCCUCACGCACGGUAUUCCCACGGGUGUCGCCUUACCUUUGCCCAGGACCGUUUGCGCCUUUUGGCACACGUAUAUGACAGUGUCGCUAGCAUCCAUAUGAUAAGGAGCCCGGGCUGACAUGGCUAGUCGUAAACCCAAAGUGGCACAAACUUACAGGGACAGGCAUCCAUGACCCAGCAUCGAACGUGUCGGUCAUCAGCGAGUGAAUCCAGGCUGUAGCACUGGGCUAGCAGGACUCCGGUGAACCGGGCUGUAGCAGGCUAACAGGACUCCGGUAUUCAUCGCGUGACAUUUCCCCGAAGGGACAGACACAGGAACGAAGAAGGACACAUGCCGGCCAGCCUAAGUGUUCCGGAGCAGUAGCAAGCUACCAUGGCUCAGUGGAAACACAAGGAGACAUUUCCCGGUAAGAGAGGCUACUAAAGAUAAACAACUAGAUGGUCAGAUCCCACACAUACCAAGCAUUUCAAUAACAUACACACAAUAUGCUCGAUAUGUGCAAUACAACAUGGCAUCACAAAAUGACUCUACGACUCAAGUAGUUUAUUCAAUAGGCUCCGAGGAGCGAGAUAUUACAAACAUGGGUCUCAUGACCCAACACUCAGAGCAUACAAGUCAAAGCACAAGCGGAAGCUAUCAUGUCUGAGUACAGACAACUAUAAAUGGAAAAGGCUGAGAAGCCUGACUAUCUAUCAGAUCCUGCCGAGGGCACAAGAUCGUAGCUGAGGUAUCAAGCUAAACGUCGAAGACCACGCGGAAUUACUAGUGAGACUGAAGUCUCUCUGCAAAAACAUAAAAUAGGCAAACGUGAGUACAAAUGUACCCAGCAAGACUUACAUCAGAACUAACUACAUAUGCAUCAUUAUCAACAAAGGGAUGGUGGGGUUUAACUGCAGCAAGCCAGCUUUGACUCGGUGGCUAUCCUAAACUACGACUGCAAUGUAACUCUUUUGAGGUGGCGCACACGAGUCCACAUACUCACCAUAGCAAUACACCACUAUGGAUCCGCUCCCGUCCCCCUACGAGAACGCCAUCCAUAGCACUCACGCUUAUCUUGCGUAUUUUAGAGUAUCCACUUUCACUUGUCUAUGAACUGAUAUAAGCAACCCAGAAGUCCUUUUCCGUGGACACGGCUAUUCGAAUAGAUGAUGAUAACCCUGCAGGGGUGUACUUCUUCAUACAUGUUUCCACCACUUAGCGUCUGCACACGACAUGUGCUCGGCAGACUUCAAGCGAAAGCCGACGUGGGUGUAGACCACGACCUACCUAAACACUCAAGUCUCUAGUCCAGGUUUAUCGCCUAUUCGGGUUCCAUCCAUGAGGAGAUCCGGCCGGAGUUUCGCUCACAGCCCCAAACGAUGUGAACAGGGUUCCGUGACACCAAACGGGCGCCCGGUUUACCCGGCCACGUGCCUACCGCAUCAUAGCCCACCCCUACGGUCAGCGCUGUCCACGGCCUCCAGCAUACUACAAACACCAGAAACUACUUGCAACUCCUGGACAGAGGACGAGGGUGAAUAAGAAGUCGAGCGGGGUCAUAUUUCAGGGCCCAAUGUAUGGUAGUAGCUGAAUCAUGGAUCACAAACACAGAACUCAGUUCCUAAGGACGGCUUCAAUGAGACAACCCACCAUGUACUCCUACAUGGCCUCUCACCGCUACCUUUACCAAAUCGUAUUCACACACUUAGCUCACACACAGUAGGACAUGUUCACACACCUCUGAUUCAUCCCGGAUGAAUCAGACCUGACUCGACUCUAAGCAGUAGCAGGCAUGACAAACAAGCAUGAAUGAGUAGGCACAACAGGGCUCAAACAACUCCUACUCAUGCUAGUGGGUUUCAUCUAUUUACUGUGGCAAUGACAGGUCAUGCAAAGGAUAAAGGGGUUCAGCUACCGCAGCAAGUAACAGAUGAAUCGGUGUUGUCCUAAUGCAUUAAAAGAGAGCAGGAGCGAGAGAGUAGGAUUGUAUCGGAAUGAACAAGGGGGGUUUUGCUUGCCUGGAACUUCUGAAGAUAACAUUGAGUCUUCAUCAGUGUCAACGAUCACAUCAUCGGUAUCACGUCUAUCGAGAGGGGACAAAUACCGGCAACACAGAAGGGAACACAAUCAAUGCAAUGUACAAUAUGAUGCAUGAUCAUGACAUGGCAAAAUGAAUGUGUUUUGGGCUAAUGCAACUAGCAACAGAAUAAAUGAAGUUGGUUUGAAUAUAAAAUUCAAAUUCAAACUCCAUAUGUGAUUAUUCAAAUGCCAUUUAUAUGAUUUGUGCUAAACAGCAUCUAUAAGUUGUUCUAACAUGCAUGAAAAUGGUACAGAUGGAUUCCUUGAAUUUUUCUGAUAAUUUUUCAUAUAUAAAUUAUUUAAUUUGGAGUUACGGUUAAUUUUCUAUGAUUUAUUGAAGUUUUAGGCAUUUUCUGGAAUUUCCUGAAUAUAAUUAAAUCCAGAAAAUACUUAUGACAUCAGCACUGCGUCAUGCUUGCAUCAGCAAGUCAACAGGGCUGCCCCGGGUCAAACCUGACCAGGGGGUCCCAUUAGUCAGUGACUUAGGGCUCGUUUAGGUCGCUGGCAGGUGGGCCCGGUCAACAGACACAUCAGCCUGGUCAACUCCGACGUGUGGGGUCGGUCAAAGUGUGACGGGGCCUGGUCAAACUGACCUAUGGGGCCCACAAAAUUAGUACUAAUUUAAACAGAAAUUAAGCUAAUUAACUUUGGCACCGGGGCCCACGUGACAGUGGCACCAGGGGGUGAUUACCGGGGUGUUUAGGACCUAGUUAAGUGGCCACGUCGGCACUCGCCGGGGUUCGGCCGGCGACAACCAAACCAACGGCGGAGGCUCGCCGGAGUUGAGCUACAGGCAAUGGUUUGACGCGCGGAGGCCACCAGGAGGUAGCCCGUGCUCUUCCGCAUCCAACGGAGCAGGAAGGAGCGGACGGGGUGCGGUGUACUCACCGGAGUCGAGCUCGCGGCGGCGGCCGGAGCUCGGGCAACAGCGGAAAUGGCGCUAUAGGGCAUGGCAGGGAGCACCCGUGGUUGUUUCGGGUUCGCAGGAGCGCGGUGAGCACGCUGGUGAUGCUCGGGCGAGCGGCCGAGCUCACGUGCACGGAGCUCGUUGACCAUGGCGGCGGCGAGCCUCGGUGGAGGUGGGGAAGCUAGCUAGGGGAGGGGAACGACGGGGAUUCCAGGGGGAAAAUGGAGAGUGGCUCACGUAGGGACUAGUAGGGUCGACGACGAGGUCGGGGAAGCUCUGGACGACGCGAAUCGGAUGACGGCGGUCGUCGGGGCAGAGGACGAAGAUGGCGAUGUUGCAGUCGUCUGUGGCCUUCUCCGUCCGCGUGCGUCAUCUUGGAGACGAAGCAGAGUCCGGCGGUGACACAUGACCCAUCGGUGAAGCCUGGGGUGCGCGGUGGCUAUGGAUGCGACGGCGGCGCCCUCCGGUGGCUCUCGGUGGUGCUCCAAAUCGAGAGAGGGAGAGAGCUAGAGCGAGCAGAGAGAAGGGAUAGCGGUCGAGGCGGUCGAGGGCAUUCCAACGGUGCACUGGAGAGGUCGGGGGCGGCUGGGACACGUCGAAGCAGGAGGUGGCGACCGGCGACGCGCGCUCUGCCACGACUUGUCCUGCUGGCGAGGGGUUGAAGACAAACCUGCCCCUCGCUAGGUUGGGCUGGGCUGGCUCUAGUGGACUGGGCUGCUGGUGGGCUACCAGGUAAGGCCAGGUAAGUUCUACUCCUUUUAUUUUUUUUUCUGUUCUGUUUUCUAUUUUGUUCUGUUUUGUUUUAGUUUAGUAAAAUACUAAACCAUUUUAAUAAAUUCUGUAGUUUAUUAUGUGGCUUACUAAAAUAUAUACAAAGCCACUCACAAACUUCCAGAAUUAUUUGGAGUCAUAUUUAAUAUAUAUUAAAUAUAAAUCCAAAGCAAACAGUUAUUGGAUUAAUUCAAAUGGCCAAAAUAAAUAUCUCUGUGACUCCAAAAAUAUUGGUUUAAAUUUUACCUCCCACCAAUAUUUCCAUGGAAUAACAGGAACAUUUUCUUGGACUCAUUUGAUGAAAUUUAAAUGUUGGUUAUUUUUAGAGGUCUUCUGAGGCUUUGAAAAUUCCUCAAUUCAAUUUCAUUUGAAUUUAAACAUGAUGCUCACAUGAGGUCUAGCCUAGUGCAUUACCAGAAGCUAGGGAUGUGACACGGAGUUGAGUGACGAGCAUUGGUAUCUUGCUCAAGGGUUUCUUCAGCCGAGAUUGUAAUUUUCUUUCUCGAGUAGCUAAGGAUAGUUUUUGCAAUAGCUAGGGUUGUCGUAUCUUUUUUGGUUAUGUCAAGUUGGUUUUUCAGUGGAUCGUAAUUUGAUAUUUAUUUUAUAAAUGAGACACACAUUACAUCGAGAAAAUAAUCAAGGCUACAGAUCAACAUGACCUCGUCUGUCCCGCAUGACCGCUCAGGACCUGUGUAGUGCGUACGCCGGAUCGUAUGCUCAUACAUGAUAUUAGAGCAACUCUAGCAGACCCCGCAUCCCGUCCUGAUCCGCAAAAUAACCGCCAAAGUGCGGGUCGGGGCUUGAAAAACGUCCCGAUCAGACCCCGCAUCCUGCCUCGGCCCGCAAAUGUUUUUGCAGGGUGCGGCAAAACAUCUCCCCCAACCUCUAGAUUCAUGGGCUAGAGGGACGACCCGAGCUCAGCCCCUAUCCGCAGCGAGAUUUGGCGGGAGGGACAUUUCCGCGCGGCCAUUCCCGCUCCCCCCCGCCCUCCGCCACCAUUGCCCCGCCAUCACACGCUCCCUAGCAGUCCUUCCCUGCCAUGGAUGACUCCCUGUUGUCCCACGUCACCGUCGAGGUCGCUGGUGCUCCUUCUCCUCGGGCGGAUCUCGUCGCCAGCCCAAUUGGCCCCGCUGUUGCCCAAGGUCAAGUCGCGCCUGCCCGCAAGCGGCAGGGCAACAUGGUCAUGCAGGGCAGCGCUCCGGCAGUCCCCGCUGCGAGGGCCCGCGCUCCGGCCACCAACGCUGCUGCGCAAUCUCCGCCGGCGGCGGAGAAGGUCGCCAAGGUCGCCGGCGUCAAGAGGAAGAAGAUUCCAGCCACAAACAAGCCGCCUCCUUCAUCCGCUCACUCCGGCCCGGAAAGAGGUGCCCCGGCGAUGCCGCUCAACGGUGCUGCUCCCCCCCGCAAGCUAUGUGUCUUUGGUCAUGGCAAUUUUCUUUGCUUUUCGCCAUUUUGCGAUAGCUCGUGACUUGUUGUGCUUCACUAUAGCGGUGAUUCGAACAAUGCAACUGCCGAGUUCAUGAACUUGUUGGACACCAACGCCGUUCACAUUGAUCAAGUCCCGUUUGAAGCAUUCGACUACAAUGAAACAGAGGCCAGCGUGGAAGAUCAUUGUUUUUAGGACGAUUUAGAGGAGAUCGAAGCGGAAGCAUAUGAGCAAUCGCAAACAAAAACUGGGAAAAGCCAGAGAUUGAAGAACUACAUGAUCUUGGAAGAUCAAGUUCUCAUGAAUGCAUGGAGUGCGGUGUCUCUUGAUGCAUGCACGGGUACUUCUCAAACCGCCAAGAGGUAUUGGCAAAGGAUCAAAGAUCAAUACUUCCGCAUGAUGGCAAAGUACCCCAAUAGAACUCCACGCACAUUUCGGUCUCUUCAUGGUCGUUGGGACAAUAUCAAGCCUAUGUGCAGCCGUUGGGCAGCUUGCUUGGAGAGCAAGUACGCAAUGCACCUCCAAGUGGAGCCGUGGAAUCCGAGUAUGUGAGUAUGUUUUGCCUUUGUUCAACUUGUGCAUCAUCAUAUUACAUCAUAUGAAAUGAUUGCAUCAUUUCACUUUUUUCACAUUGUGUAGAAAAAAAUUGCCCAACAUAGAUACAAAUACAUGGAAGCUUCGGAAGGCAAAUUCUUCAAACUAUAGCAUUGUUGGGAGUUGCUCCAAAAGUGCGAUAACUGGAAGUUGAUCGAGAAAGAAUCCCCAUAGAAGAGAGGCUCACUUACAAACAUGGAUGAUGAUGAGGAUGAUGAUGGCCCAAGAAAUUUGAACACGCCCGAUGGUGACAAGAAGACUAAGGAGAAGAUGAAGAGAGAGCAUGAAGCAUCAAGCUUGAGGGAGAAGAUUGAUGCCAUGGUGUAAUCAAAUGAGUUGAUGUUGUUGAAGUCAUUGGAGAUCAAGAAAGAGUUGGCCGAGAAGAAGGCAAAGGAGAAGCAAGAAAAGUGGCAAUUGCUCAGGGAAGAGGGGCUGCACAAAGCGACCAUUGAGGAUAGAAGAGCACGUGCCGAUGAAAACAAAGCCAUGUCCAAGUUGAUCGCCGAAGAGAACAAGAUCAUGUCAAUGAACCGUAAUGACAUGGACGACCUCACCCAAACAUGGCAUGAUAUGGCAAGGAGAGAAAUCUUGAAGAGGAGAAUGGUUGUGUCGGCCGGUGCAUGUUAUAGUUCCAGAGAUGUUUUCUCUGCUGGCAAUGUCGAUGAUUCGGUGUGGGAGUUGGAACAAGCGCCGGAGGUGGAUUCGGUGGUGGUAAUGAACUUCGAGAUGGACUCGAUGGCGUGGAGUGAAGAUCGACCAAGAUGAUGCCGGACGUGGUCGUCACUUUUGCAAGACCCUCUUUUGCGUUAGUCCUACUAAACUGAGGCUUUUAUUUGCGCGUAAACUGUGUUAUGUUGUUUGAAUUUGAACUUAUUCGUGGGCACCAAUUUCAAAUUUGAGACGUUUUCUGUUUGCGGGUCGACGCGGCGGUGCCCGUGCAGACACCGCAAAAGCCAACCCGUAAAAAAGUAUAUUCCGCGAAUAUCCUUUUAUACGGGUCCGUUUGGGGGUCUGCAUCUGCGGCCGUGCGAGCCAGCCCACAAAAGCCGUUUUCCACAAACUGCAAAUGUGUUUUGCGGGCCGACCGGAUGCGGGGUCUGGUAGAGUUGCUUGUCAGUACUUCAUAUGUUCAUAUCCAUAACCAAAAUAAUAGGUGCGGAUAAGCAUGUCUUAAUUAACCACCAUAAAAUGGGAUACUAAUAGGAUCCAGUUUAUCCCCUAUACUUAGCAAAACUAUAAAUUUAUACUAACGAACUAGAAUAAUAAUAAGCUUCGCAUCCACCCAUUUACCUGUUUUAAUGUUUCAAUAAAUGUUAUUAAUUGAUUCCACUUAGUAUAACCAGAGCAUGGCUGCUAUAAAGCACCCAGCCUGUAUAGAUCCAUUGCACAUCCACAAAGAUAGAAAGCUACAGAUACAACCGCCGGAAACACAACUCCUAAGUAAAACAAAAAUCUCCUACAUAACAUAGUUUUUCUACAAAUCAAGGAUGAAGACUGUCCAGGUGGUGCUCAUAUGCCUUGUCCUUUCGGUGCUCUGUUCAGGUAUUUUGCCGGUAUGUUUUUCUCCACCGCACUUGUAGGAAAUAUAUUUCGGCAUAUCCGUGCUCCUGCUCUCGAAACCCCGCAGGCCUCGCUGCUCGUUGUGCCCAGUACAACGUCUCCAAGGCAUGUCCAAGCAUAGCUUCAUGCACAUCACUGUGCACCUAUACAUAUAAGGCGGACACAGUAUAUGGUGUAUGUGCCGAUAACGGAUGCUGGUGCGUAGUCUGCGUGAUACCACCUGCAGCUCAAUCUGCGUCUGCAGCCCAGAUUGCGCCUGCGGGGAAUUAAAGGAUAUCGCUUGCUUCCCUUUCUGCCUAAAUAGAAUAAAACAAUGUCUAAUUAAUGUAUUUUUCUCGUACCGACAACAUUGUAUCGGUGUAAGGACCUGCGAGGCAAAAUAACAUCCUAUUAAUAUUGAGCGCUCUUUGGCGAAAUGCAUGAUUAAUCAAUUGGACACUAUAGAGGAUGUAUAAAUAUCCUUUCAUUGCGAGUGGCCAUGAAAAUACGUUUGUGGUUUUUUUUUCUCCAUGUUGAGAACAUUACCAAACCAUUGGAACCGGUCCUCCAUGCAAGUUGCAUGUGGAUGGGAGAUUCACAGCCAAGAUAGUGAAUAACCAGCUCCAUAAGCAACCUUGUUCUGAUCUCGUCAAAACUAUCAAACCCAUCACUUCACACCAUAAACCUGGCAAGCCGGUUCAAAUCUGGUCGAGAAGAAGCCCUUGGGUCCUCGGUGGUCGUCUGAAAGGCAACUUGAAUCACAAAGGGAGUGUCCCUGACGGACCUGCAGGGUCUGAAGUGACGAUCAUCAGCAUGGCGGAUCGAUCAUGAGAUGAAUGCUAAAGCGGCAAGCUAACAUUUGGCAAACGUUGGGUGAAGACAACUGAUGAAAAGUACCCACACGGAUAAUCCAUGCUAACCGAGGCCAGCAGCCGCAUGCAUGGCCAGCACGAGACCUUGGUGCACUAGUAGAAAAAGGUCCAUUUGUCCCGGUUCCAGAGGCCCUUCUGUCCUGGUUUUGGACCCGGGACUAAAGCCCAUGACCUUUAGUCCCAAUUCUCUUACGAACCGGGACAGAUGGGCCUCCAUGUGGCCUCUCCGCCGAGCCCGGGCAGGAGGGCCUUUGUUCCCGGUUCGUAACCCCAACCGGGACCAAAAAGUGUCCACGCGUCAGCAGCUCAGGAGCUGGGGCUUUUGUUUUUUUUUUGAAGGGGGGAGGUUGGGGGUUCUGGAGUCGUUAAUUGGGCCAGACAGCCCAUCUAAGGAAGCCACAGGAGACGGUCGACGGAGCCCAGUCGCGCGAGUGGAUCGAGCACCAAGAUCCCUACCGAGGCGAGCGAGGAGGAGCGCGAGAAUUGAACACGACGCCCUUCAUCCGAGGUUGCAAGGGAAGCUGAUCCAGCCGACGAGGGAAUCCAGCGGACAUGCCGGAUGCGGAUGAAUCAGAGGCCCAGUCGAUCCGUCUAUGAAGUGGGAAGGGGGACGCGGGCGAUGAUGUUCGGCAACCCAUCUGUUGGGAACUGAUCGCAAUCGUACUUUAGUUUCUAAGAUCACAUUCAUGGCGAUUGUUGUGCCCAUCCUUUCCGCUGUCGAGUGGUACUUCUAUAUUUUUCCUCCCAUAACAAUCCUCGGUCACCCUCUCUACUCUGACAUCACAAGCAUCUUUCAGCAUCAUGCUCUGGUAUUACUUAUGCAUGAUUCGUGAAGAUUUGUCAUUGAGGUUUACAAUCGUUCAUUAUUAUACUUGUUCUUUUAGAUUUAUCAUUGUGCCCUACAUGAGUCUCUGUCAAAAUUUGCAUGUGUUAAUUCUGUAUGUAUGCAAUUUGAUAUUUUAAAAUACUAACAUUUGUCCACUUUGUCCUAAAGUAGUUUUUGCUGCCUGGAGGUGAGCAAAGCGAAGGUAUCCCAUUAUCAUGAUUCAGAGGACUCAUGUUAUUCUCUUUAUUGUUAGUGCAACCGACUCCGGUUUAUAUCUCUUCUUGGAAUAAAAAAAUGCAUAUAUGGACCUGACUUCUUAUGUAGCUAUGUUCAAUCAACACAUCAGCAUGUUUUUGUUGGGCUGCAGACAUCCCCGUUCUGCGAUAGGUGCUACAUAGGGAAUUAGGAUUUUACAAAAUUUGCAUACAGAAAUCUUCGGAAUUAAAACAUGUAAAUGUGGACAAGUAUGAAAGAAUACAAAAGACAACAUUUUUAUUUUCAAGUUAUAAAGUGGAAUCCAUAGAUUACAAAGGAAUGUUAUCUCCUAAAAGUGAAUAAUAACAAGACAUCCGUUCAUUCAAAUUUGUGAAUAUUUCUCAAGAUGGGUAAGAUUGACUUUCUCAGAUAGAGUGCGGUAUUGUGACGGUCCCUUUGACUACAUACAUGUUUGUCUCUUUGUUGUGAACAAGCAAGACCUGGAAGAACCAACCUAUUUGUUUAAAUUUCGAAAUCUUGGUGAUGUUGUUUUUCCUUCUUUGCGUAUACUUCUCCUAUUGUUUUGGCGACAUACACUUCAUUGCUAAUCUGCCUUUCAAUGACUAUAUCCUUUUUGGCUGAUAGUCCUCUUAAACCUUUAAAUCAGUUUUUUUAACUGGUGCUCAAUAUAAUGGAUUGUAAUGGUAAGCUGCUUAAUAUAAGAGCUUGGUAACUUGACUUUACGAAUUUAUCGUCCCUUUUUUGAAAUAUUUACUGUCAAUUCUGAGGUGGUGGGCAGCCUAGUGGAGGCUUAGGUAUGUUGAUGGUCCAUCUCCCUUGAUUCCAUUAUUUACAUCCUCUCGACCGCUAGCUCUCACUAGCUACCUGCAGGCACAUAUUUCGCCUAGCCACGCCACACAUGGUGCUCGAGAACUGAUGCUGGUGAGCAUAUCGUUGUGUACAUUCUACUCAUGGGUAAGAUUUUUUAGUUGAAUACAGUUUUGCAAACAGAUUACUUAUGUAUGUUUCUUAGAAAACAUUGCUCCUUGAAUAAUACCCCAUGAUACUUAAACAAGCUCUAUGUCGUUUUUACUAGAUCAGUUUGGUGGUGAUUUAUAUUGAGGAUUUGAUCAUUACUCAUGCAUGCUAAAAGAUUUAUCUGACAUCCAAUUUUGUUCAGGUACAUUUCAUUCUUUUGUACAUUGAAAACUAUUGUUGGUAUAUUUGAUAGCUAGACUGUGCACAUAAGUGUAGAGGCCAUUAGUUAUGUUUUUCAAGCUAUGUUGGUAUCUGUUUGAAGAUUAAUUCCAAUCUGAUAUGUUCCAUUGUCAUCUGACAUUUAAUAGUAAAAUAUACUAUUGAAAAUUAGUUAAAUAUACAUUGAAUAGUUCAAAUAAAGAAAUGCCAUGUCAGAUAAGUUAAGGUGACUACAUAUUUGUCAAUGGCUUUCUCAAAGGUAGGUUUCAAAUCAGAUGUCAUUCAAAACUCAUCCUUGAAUUACCUUUAUACUUGAUUAACUGGACUACAUCACGGAGUUGUCGUCUUUGAAGUUUGAUGAAAUAAGGCCCAUGGUUGUUUUCCACUCUUAAAUUGCCUUUAGUUUGAAAUAAGGCCCAUGGUUGUUUGCUUUCCACUCUUAAAUUGCCUUUUUGACAGCUACAAAAAACUAUACUGAUAGGAGUUUUGAUUUCCCUUCUUCCUGUACUUUUUCGAUAUCACAAAGAAUUGUUCACGCCUUAUUUGUCCAUUUCGUGUUGACAUUUCAACUUGACAAUUACGAGAGCAGCAUGAUUUUAUUUAUGAUUAUUGCUGUUGUAGAGGUGUUAAAUAUAUAAAGUAUGAAAGUCGUAAUUUCAUGAAAGUACUUUGUAAUAUCAGCUUCCUUUGCCUGAUUGAUGUUGCUUUACAGUCUUAUUUGUCAGCAUUUUGUUCAGCGAGUUAAUGCUUUUUCCAUGCUGUGAGGUCAUAUAUGUUGCAGUCACAAAGCACCAAUGAUUUUUCCAUAGACACAAAAGCAAUGCUCCGGCUAUAGCAUUAAUUACACACACUCGUAUUUCCUAGGCUGCUGUAUAAAUAUGUACAAAAGGAUUGCUAUAUCAAAUACACGUCUAUGAUCAGUGCGUAUUAUCUUCCUUCUGACAAUGCUUACCAUGCUUAUAGUAAUCUACAUGGGUCUGGUUCCUUUUAAUAUCAAUAUUUGUCAUCAGAUUCUGAUAUACAUUGUUUCAGUCCAAAAUGUACAGGGUGCACAUUUUCUACAUUUAAUUUCGACUAAGACUUUCUUUUCUUGGUGGUAUGAUCACUUAUUAGUAAUUUGAUGGUUAUCUAUAUAUGUUGAAUUUUCAUAGCAUUUUAACCUCCCAUAUCAAUAUAUUUUCAUAAUAUAAAUUGUUCAAUUUCAUUUCCAAUGUAUUUUACUCAUAUAUUUUUAUUAUUUCAUAAUAUGAAUGGUAUGACAAAUAUAUGAUUGAGUCUUUUGCAAAAAAAAAAUCUUGACUCGUGUAUUUUUAAAAAUUCCUUUCAUUCUUUUCAAAAUAGACGGGCGCGAAAACGCGUGCCAUCAAUGAUCUAGUCAUAAGUGAUGUCCCGACCAGAUUCUUUCAACGUCAAUGAUUUUACUUUUUGGCAAGAUACUUUGGAGGUACGUAAAGCUAUAGAUCAGCGAUGGAUCAACGUUGAGGUCAGGUAAAGAGGCGAUUUGUCCACUUCUUCUAGGGUGGCCGCUACGGUGGUGCCGGAGUUGAGUGACGGGCAUUGGUAUCUUGCUCAAGGGUUUCUUCAGCCGAGAUUGUAAUUUUCUAUCUCGACUAGCUAAUGGUAGUUUUUGCAAUAGCUAGGGUUGUCGUAUCUUUUUUGGUUCUGUCAAGUUGGUUUUUUAGUGGAUCGUAAUUUGAUAUUUAUUUUAUAAAUGAGACACACAUUACAUCGAGAAAAAAAAUCAAGGCUACAGAUCAACAUGACCUCGUGUGUCCCGCAUGACCGCCCAGGACCUGUGUAGUGCGUACGCCGGAUCGUAGGCUCAUACACGAUAUUAGAGCAACUCUAGCAGACCCCACAUCCCGUCCUGAUUCGCAAAAUAACCGCCAAAGUGCGGGUCGGGGCGCGAAAAACGUCCCGAUCAGACCCCGCAUCCCGCCUCGGCCUGCAAAUGUUUUUUGCGGGGCGCGACAAAACAUCUCCCCCAACCUCUAGAUUCACGGGCUAGAGGGACGACCCGAGCUCAGCCCCUAUCCGCAGCGAGAUUUGGCGGGAGGGAUAUUUNNNNNNNNNNNNNNNNNNNNNNNNNNNNNNNNNNNNNNNNNNNNNNNNNNNNNNNNNNNNNNNNNNNNNNNNNNNNNNNNNNNNNNNNNNNNNNNNNNNNNNNNNNNNNNNNNNNNNNNNNNNNNNNNNNNNNNNNNNNNNNNNNNNNNNNNNNNNNNNNNNNNNNNNNNNNNNNNNNNNNNNNNNNNNNNNNNNNNNNNNNNNNCCACCGCACGCUCCCUAGCAGUCCUUCGCCGCCAUGGAUGACUCCCUGCUGUCCCACGUCACCGUCGAGGUCGCUGGCGCUCCUUCUCCUCGGGCGGAUCUCGUCGCCGGCCCAAUUGGCCCCGCUGUUGCCCAAGGUCAAGUCGCGCCUGCCCGCAAGCGGCAGGGCAACGUGGUCGUGCAGGGCAGCGCUACGGCAGCCCUCGCUGCGAGGUCCCGCGCUCCGGGCACCAAUGCUGUUGCGCGAUCUCGGCCGGCGGCGGAGAAGGUCGCCAAGGUCGCCGGCGUCAAGAGGAAGAAGAUUCCGGCCACAAAGAAGCCACCUCCUUCAUCCGCUCACUCCGGCUCGGAAAGAGGUGCCCCGACGAUGCCGCUCAACGGUGCUGCUCCCCCCGCAAGCGAGGUGUUUGACAAAAUGGCCGGAAGGUAUGUGUAUUCGGUCAUGGCAAUUUUCUUUGCUUUUCGCCAUUUUGCAAUAGCUCGUGACUUGUUGUGCUUCACUAUAGCGGUGGUUCGAACAAUGCAACUGCUGAGUUCAUGAACUUGUUGGACACCAACGCCGUUGACAUUGAUCAAGUCCCGUUUGAAGCAUUCGACUACAAUGAAACAGAGGCCGGCGUGGACGAUCAUGGUUUUUAGGACGAUUUAGAGGAGAUCGAAGCGGAAGCAUAUGAGCAAUCGCAAACAAAAACUGGGAAAAGCCAGAGAUUGAAGAAGUACAUGAUCUUGGAAGAUCAAGUUCUCCUGAAUGCAAGGAGUGCGGUGUCUCUUGAUGCAUGCACGGGUACUUGUCAAACCGCCAAGAGGUAUUGGCAAUGGAUCGAAGAUCAAUACUUCCGCAUGAUGGCAAAGUACCCCAAUAGGACUCCACGCACAUUUCGGUCUCUUCAAGGUCGUUGGGAGAAUAUCAAUCCUAUGUGCAGCCGUUGGGCAGCUUGCUUGGAGAGCAAGUAUGCAAUGCACCUCCAAGUGGAGCCGUGGAAUCCGACUAUGUGAGUAUGUUUUGCCUUUGUUCAACUUGUGCAUCAUCAUAUUACAUCAUAUAAAAUGAUUGCAUCAUUUCACUUUGUUCACAUUGUGUAGAAAAAAAUUGCCCAACAUAGAGACAAAUACAUGGAAGCUUCGGAAUGCAAAUUCUUCAAACUAGAGCAUUGUUGGGAGUUGCUCCAAAAGUGCGAUAACUGGAAGUUGAUCGAGAAAGAAACCCCAUAGAAGAGAGGCUCACUUACAAACAUGGAUGAUGAUGAGGACGAUGAUGGCCCAAGAAAUUUGAACAUGCCCGAUGGCGACAAGAAGACUAAGGAGAAGAUGAAGAGAGAGCAUGAAGCAUCGAGCUUGAGGGAGAAGAUUGAUGCCAUGGUGUAAUCAAAUGAGUUGAUGUUGUUGAAGUCGUUGGAGAUCAAGAAAGAGUUGGCUGAGAAGAAGGCAAAGGAGAAGCAAGAAAAGUGGCAAUUGCUCAGGGAAGAGGGGCUGCACAAAGCGGCCAUUGAGGAUAGAAGAGCACAUGCCGAUGAAAACAGAGCCAUGUCCAAGUUGCUCGCCCAAGAGAACAAGAUAAUGUCAAUGAACCGCAAUGACAUGGACGACCUCACCAAAACAUGGCAUGAUAUGGCAAGGAGAGAAAUCUUGAAGAGGAGAAUGGUUGUGUUGGCCGGUGCAUGUUAUACUUCCAGAGAUGUUUUCUCUGCUGGCAAUGUCGAUGAUUUCGGUGCAGGAGUUGGAACAAGCGCCGGAGGUGGAUUCGGUGGUGGUAAUGAACUUCAAGAUGGACUCGAUGGCGUGGAGUGAAGAUCGACCAAGAUGAUGCCGGACGUGGUCGUCACAUUUGCAAGACCCUCUUUUGCGUUUGUCCUACUAAACUGAGGCUUUUAUUUGCGCGUAAACUGUGUUAUGUUGUUUUAAUUUGAACUUAUUCGUGGGCACCAAUUUCAAAUUUGAGAAUUGGGCGUUUUCUGUUUGCGGGUCGACGCGGCGGUGGCCGUGCAGACACCGCAAAAGCCAACCCGUAAAAAAGUAUAUUCCACGAAUAUCCUUUUAUACAGGUCCGUUUGGGGGGUCUGCAUCUGCGGCCAUGCGAGCCAGCCCACAAAAGCCGUUUUCCACGAACUGCAAACGCGUUUUGUAGGCCGGCCGGAUGCGGGGUCUGGUAGAGUUGCUUGUCAGUACUUCAUAUGUUCAUAUCCAUAACCAAAAUAAUAGGUGCGGAUAAGCAUGUCUUAAUUAACCACCAUAAAAUGGGAUACUAAUAGGAUCCAGUUUAUCCCCUAUACUUAGCAAAACUAUAAAUUUAUACUAACGAACAAGAAUAAUAGUAAGUUGCGCGUCCACCCAUUUACCUGUUUAAUAUUUCAAUAAAUGUUAUUAAUUGAUUCCACUUAGUAUAACCAGAGCAUGGCUGCUAUAAAGCACCCAACCUGUAUAGAUCCAUUGCACAUCCACAAAGAUAGAAAGCUACAGAUACAACCGCCGGAAACACAACUCCUAAGUAAAACAAAAAUCUCCUACAUAACAUAGUUUUUCUACAAAUCAAGGAUGAAGACUGUCCAGGUGGUGCUCAUAUGCCUUGUCCUUUCGGUGCUCUGUUCAGGUAUUUUGCCAGUAUGUUUUUCUCCACCGCACUUGUAGGAAAUAUAUUUCGGCUUAUCCGUGCUCCUGCUCUCGAAACCCUGCAGGCAUCGCUGCUCGCUGUGCCCAGUACAACAUUUCCAAGGCAUGUCGAAGCAUAGCUUCAUGCACAGCACUGUGCACCUAUAAAUAUAAGGCGGACACGGUUUAUGGUGUAUGUGCUGAUAACGGAUGCUGGUGCGUAGUCUGCGUGAUACCACCUGCAGCUCAAUCUGCGUCUGCAGCCCAGAUUGCGCCUGCAGGGAAUUAAAGGAUAUCGCUUGCUUCCCUUUCUGCCUAAAUAGAAUAAAACAGUGUCUGAUUAAUGUAUUUUUCUCGUACCGACAACACUGUAUUGGUGUAUCAUGUAGCAAGGACCCGCGAGGCAAAAUAACAUCCUAUUAAUAUUGAGCGCUCUUUGGCGAAAUGCAUGAUUAAUCAAUUGGACACCGUAGAGGAUGUAUAAAUAUCCUUUCAUUGUGAGUGGCCAU
rnacentral:lncRNA from 1 species